rnacentral:lncRNA from 1 species
CUACUUCCAUAUGGAUAGUCCUACGGAUAAAUCCUCCGGACCCUGGACCUUUCUUUGGCCCUGCGGACUCCGGACUCCGGACUGGAAGAUUUCCGCUUUCUUUUUCAAUAGGAGAGGAUCGGGCCCGCUAACCCUAUCAUCGGGGAAGGAGGAAUCGGGUAGCUGAUCGAUCGGAAGAAGUCUUUCUCUUGCAGCUUGACCAAAGGAUCUCUUAUCCAGUAUCCAGAGAUGUGUUGCCGAAGCAAGCGAGAACAAAGUAAGGAAGAGGAAGGAAUAAGGCUGGCUAGCUAGGUCCUAAUCUGAUUAAAGGCUAAGUUGAAUCAAUACCAGAAGUAGACUUAGCAGAAGUUUAUGUGGAAGUGGUUUGUGGAAGCUCUUUCUCUUUGGUAACUGAGAUACCUUCUUUCGUCUUUUAGUGGAAUGAAACUCAUCUGGAGCUUUGAUUUUAGGAGUAUUAAGACCGCUCCGAAGGACUACUAUUUUAGUGGAAUAAGACUCGUCGAUCAUUCUUUCGAUAAUUCUUUGAUUGGGAAUAUUAGUUAAGACUCGUCCGGAGCGCUCCAUAUUAAGCUACGGAGGCCCCAUAAGACAGGGAUAUUCUUUUCUUUGGAUAGUCCUUCGGACUGAUUAAUGGUCUCAUUGAUAAGGACAUAUAGAAUGAAGCGAAGGACUUCUUUAUCCAUUGAAUUUAGCCGACCUCAAUGAGUGAAAAGAAUUAUCUCAGCUCUUUAUUUCUAAAAAGUGGGCAGUCGCUUCGCUUCGCGCCUUGACUCCGGGGGUAGGUUUAGUAUAGUAGGUUUGGAAGGAAAGCCUAUGGUCGAAACCCCAACUCGUCUUAGUCUCGAAUUGACUCUGCCGGAUUAAGUUGCUGGAUUUCUUCUUUCAGUAUCGCCUUAAAUGAUUUAUGGGAUUAAGAUAAGAGGACAUGAUGUCCCCUCGAAAAGAAGGUUGAAUAGUGGCUCGACUGAGUUGUAGAAGGAGAGAGAUCGGGAUAAAAGGUUCAAAGAUUCCUUCUUGCACUCCUUAAGAGUGACGGCUUUUUUCUUUUCCUCUCUAUCUACUUUCAUCCUAUAUAUUAGCCGACUGAUUUAUGGAACUAAAUCUUUCUGGGAGUCCCAUAAAUAAAUAAAUAGGGAUAUAAAGAAGUCCUUCGGUCCUCAAUGAUUCUGGAGGGAUAGGCUUUCUUCCUUCCCCUAUUAGCCCUUUUUAGGUUCCUUAGGCUUUCCUACUUUCUUCAGUGGAUAGUCGGACUCCUCCGCUCCGCCAUAAGAAAAGCCCACUACGCUACGUAGUCUUAUCUUCUUCUUCUUCUUAUUCUACUAAAAUAUCCUAUUAUUAUACAAGAAUCAAACUCCUCCUUCUCCUCAACGAAAGUAUGAAAGGACUCAAAUUCUGAUCGCCAUUCUCUUCUUUGCUCUUCUCGCAAUAUUCUUUGCGCCUGAGAAAGACAGGUUCAAGUGCUCAUUAACGAGAAUGAAAGAAGCUAAAAAUUCAUCUGCUAGAUUUCAGACGGAGUUCAAUCCCAGAAUAUCUAAGAAAAGAAGAAAGGAGUGCAAACGAAAACUAAUGGAUUUCAUAGUCCUUCGGACGGACUACCGCACCUCAAUUCAUGAAAUAUUCUUUGUCAAUAUUCUUUUCACCUCCGGAGCCUCUCUUUUCUUUCUGUCUUCCCCGUCCUCCGGACUAUUCAACCUAUUCCCCGUGAGACUCAGAUUACUAAUUCUCUGUUUGAGACUGGAUCGCAUAUGGUCUGACUCAUUUUAUCGCAAGAUCGAAGACAAUAUCCAUUCUGCCCGCUCCCUUCUGAUUGAUCUCUUGACUGCUGAAAAUCUUCCUUUUCCCCGCUCCGUGGGCUACGCUAUGGGAAGAGUUAGUCCGAGACUUUCCAGUUGAGAUAUUCAAACCUAUCCUUGACUCGUACAGCUUCAUGAAAAUACAAUAUCUAGUACACAAUCACCUUUAUAUUGGCGUCGGCCUAGGCCAGUGAAAAGCCUAUGGUACGAGAGAAAAUGCUUUAGGAAGGGGGGGGGCCCGUGGAUCGGAGCGAAGCAGCUCACUAUAAGAGUUGGGCGCUACAGAGGUUAUGAAAUAACUCGACUGAAAGGAGAGGGGCGAAGAGACUCGACCGUAGGGAGAGGGGCUCCGGUAUCGGUGAAUAUGCUCUCCCGUGCAGGUUAGUUCCCGAGAGUCCGCCUAUAAAUGAACUUUGCUCCGUUUUAGAGUCCUUCGGUUAAUUACGGAUGGUCCUACUUCGGUUAAUUACGGAUGGUCCUACGGAUAAAUCCUCCGGACUACUUCCCUCCAUAUGGAUGGUCCUACGGAUAAAUCCUCCGGACUACGGAUAAAUCCUGCGGACUCCGGACUCCGGACUACUUCGGUUAAUUACGGAUGGUCCUACGGAUAAAUCACCUGGACCUUUCUUUGGCCCUGCGGACUCCGGACUCCGGACUACGGAUAAAUCCUGCGGACGUAGGACUCCGGACGGGUCAAAGAAUUUGAGAAGCUGCGACGGAAAGGAAAUAGUGGAUGGACGAGUCCUCCGGACCGGACGACUAUGAAGAAUAUUUGAAAAAGAAAGAAGAUUUGAGGUGCAAAGAAUAUUGCGGAAAGGAAUCUUCGACAAAUCUCAUUACUACUACUAAUAGAAGAAAAGCCUAAAAUAAGCACAUUUGCAUCCGUCCUCAGUCGCAAAGUUCAUUUCUAGAAGGCUCAAAGGAUAUUGAGCGAAAGGCGCCAUAAGACAGGGAUAUUCUUGGACUCAUUUCAUGGGGAAUUUGGGCAAGACGCCUCUAUCUGAGAGUCGAGCUACUUCAAUCCGUACGUGAUCCUACUUCUUUCAUCAAAUGAAUAGCCCGUAACCAGAAGACCAAGAGCUAUGGAUAAUGCGAGCGAGACGUAAAGAGAUCAUGACUCGAUUCCCAUCUUCUUGCUUUAAUGGGACUAGGGCUCAUUCCACUUAUUAUCUUACCUCCUUCUCAAAUCAAAUUCUUUGAGCAAAAUCAAGCUCCCCUAAUGGAUAGUCCUUCUUCGCAAAUUCUUUGCGCCUGUCUCGCAAUAUUCUUUGCUGCACCUUGCUGACUCAUGAAACUCAUAAUCCUAUCUACAGAGCAUAUGAGAUGAUAAGAAGAUCGGAAACUUCUCUUUCUUCUUCGGCAACGGAUAAUUCAACCUCCACUAACCGCUGAAUACCUCUGUAGCAUCCGAUCCGCGAGACCUCUUCUCCUGCCUGCCGGAUAGCUGCUUCUAACCGCGUAGUGGGCAGGGAAUGCCCACUCCUCCUCUUGUUGGAACCUUUAUUCCGACUAAUAAUUGUAUCUGAGUUCCGAUUCUUCUCUCUCUUUCUUCAAGUUCGGGAUCCGGAACGAUUGAUCGUACUUAUUCAACAGGUAAUUCCCUUUUUCUCCUGAUAAAGAAAGACCCCAUCAUUCCCUUUCCGGCUAGUCCUACUCACAGAAAGACUAUCAAAAACCUCCCUCCUCCGCCGAAAGAUGAGUCUGAUACCCGCAGCUUUCUUUCAUAUUCCUUCUAUGAAGUUGGUCGUAUUCGCCCCUGAUACAGAGAAUACCUGCCUCCAUAAUUACGUAACUAGUCCUAUCACUGAAAGAUCUCAUUUGACUGAUUCCCCGCUCCGUGGUAUCCGCUUGCCCUCGUAAACUCUGGACUGAUGAUCAUUCCUAUCCUACAGAGCUGAACUUUUGGAGUACGAAAGGAAUCCCUCCCAGGUUUCUGCUCGCCAGAAGACGAGAAAGACGAGACCAUGAGGCGAGAUGGUAACUACCUUUUAAGGAGUUCAGGCAGUUGAGAUCAGAAGCUGCUCGAUUCCCUUCCCCUCUCAAGAGUCCGUCCUCACUUUCCCUGCUUUGUUUGAAGGCGAAGUUCUCACCGCCUCAAUGAACAAGGGGUUUUCUAAUAGUCUUGUAAAUCAGAAAAAUCCUAUUAGUAGUUUAGUUGGAGGCAGCUAUCUCUCCCAAGCCUUGUGUAAUUCAAGCCGAAUAUACCGCCCCGUAAUACCGCGUUCAAGCUAAUAGUUUGCGUAGAAUUCUCGAUUAAUAUUCUAUUAGGAGAACUCUCUUCUCAUCUCUUGAGAAAAGAAUAUGACGAGACCUAGCCCUAGCCAUGAACUAUUUCUAUAGACCUAGUGAGAAAAGGAAUGAAAUGACUCGACUAAAGAAAGAGGAAGGAAUGCUCUUGCCUCUGAAUUCCGAAACCUUUCUGCUCUUGAAGUAGAGUUGAGGAUGCUGAUCGAUAGGGAAUGCGCUCGAUCCUCACCCCUCUCCUCUCGCCUGGUUCUCAAUUUCUUACGUAAAUACUUCCGCUGGACACAUUUCCAUAAGAGGUUGAAGAUUCCAUCUCUCACGAUCAGCCCACUACGCGGUAAGAGACUGAGAUACCUUCUUUCUAAAUCGGAAGUUUGAAGCGGGUCUCUCGGGGAGUCGUCGUUGAAAGGGAUGCUGCCUGCGGAAGUUGAAUCCAUUUCAGUUCCUCUACCUUCUUCGGAAGUUCUUGCUGAAGAAGUAUUUAGAUCGCCGCUCUGAGUUAUUAAUGAAAUUAAUUACUAGAAUACGACCCGGAAAGGUAGCGAUCGGAUUGACUCGGUGCGGGUAAGGUCUUGAGUCUUGAAGUGAGAGGAAAAGAGGAAAAGCUUACCGCGUAGUGGGUUGGACGCGCCUCAAGCUCAAACUAAGAAGAAAGAGUCUUUUUAGUCGGGAAUGAGAUGAGAAGGAAGUUAUCUUUGUAUGAGAUCGAUCAUAGGAUCGACCGGGAACAGGAAGACUACGAGGUCUCAGUUUGUUUUCUUAGUCUCAUAGGAAUUCUAUAAAGUAGAUAUUCCGGUAAGACCGCCAUAAAAGAUAGGGGGGAUUUAAUGAGUUGAAAGACGACCAGUGGGAGUCAUCAGACUUCCAACAAUCAGACUCAGAGGUGAGGCGCUCGACCUCUUUCAUUCUCGUAUUAUCUUAUCAUCUAUUAGUAAUAAGAAUCCCCUGCGAGCAUGCCUUCCUUUCGUACCGAUCGUCAUAGACAAAAGAUGGAUUGGGUCCUUAAAUAAAUACGAAGAAAGCAUGAAGUAAGCAAUUUCUUUUCUAGAGUUCUCAUUAUGUGAUAGAAUGAAAUGAGUGAGAUUUCUUUCCGGAAGUACGAAGAAAGCAUGAAUUAAGCAAUGAUAUAGGCCAGCUUAUCGUGCUUAUCUUCCUUCUAAGAGGAGCAUGAAAGUAAUAGCAAAGCUCAAAUACUUUGAUCCUCGAACCUCUUCUAUCUUCUACCGUAAUUCGCCAAUCUCGAUGAAAGAGCAGGUAACUACCCCCCCCUCUUUCUUUACGAUUUACGGGUACUUACUCGUGCACGGAAUCAAAGAAGAGGCAGGCGAAGCAUUUUUGAAAUGAGAUCAGCAAGGUGCAAAGAAUAUUGCGAGACCACUAAAUAGAAGACUUAGCCUCAUUCUUCGGCCUUUAUUUGCGUAAAGAUAGUAUUAAGCAUCGAUUGACAAAGAAAGUACUCCAGUACCCAUUGAAAGUUCAGAAGUCCAGCUCUUUGUCAAUACGAACCAACCCUAGCUUGCUUGCCUUCAACUAGAAACUAUUCUGAUUUAGCUUCCACCUUGAAAGACGGAAAAAAAAGAUAGCUAAAGCAAUUCCAUUCUCAGUCAAGUCUAAUCGUACGAAUCCAUAUUCACCUUUUCUUUGCCGCCUUGAUUUUGCAAUAUUCUUUCUCAAUCUUCUUUGAGCCUUAUAAUUGAACCAGAUCCCCAUUAUUAAGCUACGAAGGCCCCAUAAGACAGGGAUAUUGAUUUCAUGAGUUCAAUAUUCUUUGAACCUUAUUCUUAGGCGAAGGACUGAUUUAUCAAGCUUAACUGAACCUUGUUCUGCGCUCUUUAUUUCUUUUCAAAAAGUGGGCAGUCGCUUCGCGCCGCGUAGUGGGGAACUUCCGCGUAGUGCUUUCUGGAUCGAAAGGUUAUCAGCCGAAAGAGCGAAUUCGCACACUGCUGAAAGGCAUAUUUCAUUGCACCUCAAUUCAACUCAUCUGGAGCUUUGAUUUUAGUCUUUCCUUUUGAGUUUGGGAAUCUACUUUGUCCCGCGUAGUGCUUUCUUUAUUGUCGGGAUGAGGAAGUAGGAAGUGGUAUUUCUACGAAUGAAAUGUGUCUCGCAAAUGCAAACAAGGAUUUCCCAUCAUAAGAAAGUUCACGGAAAGCCCUUGCCCUUAUGACUUCAUAGGCUUCGCUUCGCGCCUUUAUCUUUUUCUUCCUUAUUUUUUUGAGGUCUGCUCUCGCUGUGGUUGAAACCCUUGUUUCAGUAGAUUGAGUUCUUGUCUCCUCCCCGGUGGCUGUUGAAACCAGCUAUUAGAAAGAAGAUAGUUCAUUAUAUCAUAAUAUAUUCCCGUGUAGUGGGAUCCGCGCCUCGGGGAAGUGACCAUACACUUGACCAUAAAGAAGGGCAUUAGAAAGAAAGCUAGAAAAGGAGGAAACUUCAGCAUUACUAGUAAGCCCACGUAGCGGAGUAGUCGAGUCUAAAAAGGGUAGAUUCAUUCAAGGCAUAUUUCAUUGCGCCUCGUCCUUCCGCGCUCCGCUCCUUUUUAGUGGACGCUACUUGAUUAUGGGGGGAUGAGACCCAACUAUAAGACUUCGUCAUAUUGAAUUUCACCUUGCCUCCAGUUCCUUGCCUCCGGGAGUAGGUGAUGAGGUUUCGGACUUCUCCUUUUGACUCCUUUUGAGCUCUUUCUUUAUUCCUUUGAUUUUAGUAGGUUCAAUUCAAUAUUCAUGAAUUCAGGCCUAUCCAUUAGAGAAUUUGACUUGUUUCAAAAACAAAGGCUCCAGAUGAGAGGUGCCAUAAGACAGGGAUAUUCUUGAGUCACUAAAGAGUAUUUUCUUGUAACAAAGGCUCAAAGAAUUUGAGGAUGGAUAGGAAAUCCUGAAAUCAGCCUAUCGUCAGGCCUUGGUGGGAAUAGCUGCAGCUAUUUCUUAAACAAGAACAGCCACUGACGAUUCAACUUCUGCAACUGCUACUGCCACAAGAACGGAUGCCUCUUCUUACAGUCGAUUCGACUAAUCCUCUCUUCGUGCCUAAUCCGAUACCUCCCUCUCCCGGGCAGCUGCUUCUCUCAAUUACUGUGACUGUCGAAAGACCGACUACGUCGAGCUCCCUCUUGCUAUGGGGAGAGCGCCUAUUCCAGUCCAGGAGAUCAUAGAGAGAAUAACCUCUUGGUCCAGCUACUAAUGAGUGCAGUGAACUACUCAUGAAAGAGAGAAGAUGGUGCUAUUCCCGCUACGUGGGGGUCGAGCGAGCUCAUACUCACUUCAUAGGCUUCGCUUUUGCCCUCGUUCCUCAACUGGGGGGAGGGGACCUCAUUCUUAGUCUUUUCCCUUGAACCCGACGAAAGAGGCUUUCUCCUAAGAAAUAAUCAGGGAUGGUGCAUCCUCAACUAAUGCCAAUGGGUCGAGGUCGAGCAUUCGCACCUCACCGAAAGGGCUACAGCUUCUACUCCAACAGCAACGUCUGCAACCGGAACAGCCACUCCAAUCAUUGAUAAGGAUCUUUGAACCUCUCGCAACUUCAGAAAGAGGAGCAAGAAAAGCAAGAGCUUACUCAUCAUCAUCAAAUUUCAUUGAUCCUCCGUCCCCCUUUCUUCUUUCAAAGAUUCCGAUUCAGUGAAUCAAAAGUACUUCUAUUCCGUUUGGGACCACUAUUCUCGCUACCGAAAGAACCCCGUAGACCUAUGAGUUCUAGCAGGAAGGAGGCGCGUCCGUCCCGAGUCCUAAGACUUUUGUCGAGCCGUUCCACUCAUCGGGUAAAUCAGGUCUCUGGCUGAAUAAUAUAGUUGUUGUUCGCGCUUCUUCUCGUAAAGAUGAAAGUGUACUCACCGAGUCAACUCCAACAAAGCCCGACCCUUUUUCAAAGAGUGACUUCGUUAUGACGGACAAAGAUACUCAACUAGGUAUGGACGAUCCGACCCAGCCGGAGGCUGAUUAUCUGACUUUAUCGUCUUCAGAUAUAAGAAGCUAAAUAGAGGUUUAUCAAGUCAAUAUUCUUUGAACCUUCGCAAUAUUCUUUGCGCCUUCGCUCAAUUCACAUCCAUAAAUAAAUAGGGGUUAGGAGCUUUCUGAUCCUUACUCUUUCUUUGCUUUCUCCUAGGCUUUCUUCUUUCUGGGAGUCUUCCUAUAUCUUUUUCUGAUAUAAGGAAUCAAACUCCGCUCUGCUUCUUUGCUUCCAAACCUCAAAAUCAGACGAAAGCACUUAAAGAUUGUACAGUUUAGCUUUGACUCUCAGACUCUUAUUCAUAGCCAUCCAGGAAAGAAAAGCAUGACUAGGGAUGUGCUUCUUACCCCAAAGAAGCUUGAACCAAGGGACAGUAUUACCAGGAAGAUGAAAGAGCUUCACUGUCUUAGCAACUGAAAACUGACCUCUGAGGCCAGAUAGUUCUAUCUUCAGUAACCUUGUCCAAAGUCACAUUACUAACAAUGUCUCUCCAAGCAUUAGACAGCAUCAAUGGCUACAAGAAGCCGAAAUGAUCAUCCUUCCAUACAGCAUUCAGCCUGCAUUUCUUGUUAACAUCAGCAUCUCUGCCGAAUACUGAGACAGAGGGUCAAAGAAUUUGAGAACUCGGAAGACUAAAGCUCAAGCGCGCACUAAGAAGAAAAAGGGUGAGGGCCGACGUUCUAAUGGAUAGGACUGAGGCGCAUCAAAAAAAGGGUUGAAGAUGACCUUGAUUUUUUGGACCCUUAUUUAUUGUUUAUUGAGGCGGUUCAAAUAUCGAGACCAGAGGAAGCAAAGAAGCUGCGAGAGGUUUCGGAAUCUCCGGCUCUUGUCCCAGUGACGUCUGAGGCAGUUGAGUAUUUAGCCGAUAUAGUUCUUUCUUCUCAAAUUCGCCUCUCCUUUCAGUCGAGCCUCAAUGCAAUAUUCUUUGCGCCUUUGAAUCUGCGAUAACAUUGAGAUUUCCCAUCACCGACUGGAAGUCGCUAUUUUCUUUCGUCUUGCUCUUCGAUAAUUCUUUGAGCCUCCUUCUACCUCUUUUACACGGAGCGGGUUGGGAAGGCCUCAAGCAUACCAUCGAAUGCCACCAGUCAACCGAAGGCUGCAAUAGGUCCGAUCGCGCCGGUGCCGAUUCAAUUAUUCACCUGGAGACAAGGCUAAGAACAUCCCGCCGAAUGUGAACAAUUCGAAGAAUGUUUAUGUGAAUGCCCUCAGGACGCAUCCUAUGGUAUGCUUUCUGGCCGCUUUACCUCGUAUUGCUAGCGGUCGUGGGUGGCCCUGCGUCGCUCGUCACGUCCGCUUGUAGUGGUCACACAGGCAGUGCCUUUUUCUAUCCUAAAAGAAGGGUAAACCGAGAAACCCGUAGGCUUUCUGUCUUUUCUUUUUGCCUAUUUUAAGUCAUCGACCGCCUUGAUUUAUGUUUUCUCGCUCGCUUUCUCUGCCCUUCGCUUCCUGAUACCGGAAGGGGUAAAGCGGAAGUUCACUCCUAAGACUUGUAAUCAUCUUGCGUGACGGAGAGCCUUCGUCCUUGUCUUGAAUAUCCAUCCUGGACCGGAUAUCCCCGUGCGUCUCAGCAUUAAGCCUAUGCCUUAAAAGAUCCGGCGGACCCCAUCCUAGGGCAAGGUGAAGCCAGUAUGCUUUUUCCAGCUUUUUGCCCCUUUCGUACUGAGACUGAGGCUUCCGUGAUCCUUUCCUCUCUCCGCACCGAGAUAUAUAUCCAAUCGGGCAAUUCUUCCUUGAGCGAAGGAGUCAGACCUCCUUCGGCCUUAGCCUUUUUUCGGCAUUUUGGCCGAAGUGCAAAGUUAGCGAGCGAGCUUCCCCCACUACGCGGGCAGUCGGAUGUGAACUGCUUGUUCAACGAGAAUACCAGAGUUAGAAGAAUUAACCUUCCCACGCAGCGGUGACGAUGCUGUAGGUUCUUAGUGUACUUAGAUUGCAUGGAUUUUUCUUCUUUCUAUAUUUUAGAUAUACUGCUUGGCUAGCUCAGAACGCUAACGCUAAUUUGGAGAAGAUUUUGCAGGUUUGUGAAACCUUUAAGUAAAAGUAAUUAUCCGACUUCAAGCCUCCGGCAACUCUUAGCUAACCCGAAGAGAAAAGGUAAUUCCCGCUCUCGCAAUAUUCUUUGCGCCUUUAUUUAUCCUUUCUUCUUUUCUUAGAUAAAUGCGCUUCGCUUCGCAAUAUUCUUUGCGCCUUUAUUUAUCCUUUCUUUAUCCGUCCGGAGUGCCAAAGAAAGGUCCAGGGUCCGGAGUCCGCAGGAUUCUUAUCCGGAGGACUAUCCAUAUGGAAGUAGUCCGGAGGAUUUAUCCGUAGGACCAUCCGUAAUUAACCGAAGCAGUCCGGAGUCCGGAGUCCGCAGUGCCAAAGAAAGGUCCAGGGUCCGGAGGAUUUAUCCGUAGGACUAUCCAUUAGAAGCAGGAUUUAUCCGGAGUCCGGAGGAUUUAUCCGUAGGACCAUCCGUAAUUAACCGAAGUAGUCCGGAGGAUUUAUCCGUAGGACCAUCCAUAUGGAGGGAAGGAGGACUAUCCAUAUUCAGGAGCGGAAUCAAGAAUAGACCCGUCAGUAUCCGGACCAUAAACUCAAACUAGAACUGAUCCAUGUGAAUUUCUGGGAUAGGCUUGAUUCUUUCAUUGCGUUUUCCCGGCUUUUUUGCUUCUAAAUAGGACUAAAUCAAAGAUUGAUAUUUAACGAAAAUUGUCUAAAAAUGACGGAUUUUUCAUGAUUUCUUGCUACUUUAUAGGCCCAAAACCUAGCAAAAUCUGGGAUUUCCCUCCGUCUUCAAUCUAGUAUUGAACUCCGUAAAAACAAGGUGAUUCAAUCAGAAUUAUUCUUUCAUUAUCGUUAAUGAGUGAAUUAUUCUUUCAUUCUCGUUAAUGAGCUUCUUUCUUUGCGCCUAACGUCUGCUUUAAAGGGAUCAUGACUUUCGCAUAUUGAAUUGCGCCUCCUCCUUCAGCAUAAUCUAUAAGAAGAUUUGCACCUAUCAUGACUCUUUCGCAAUAUUCUUUGCUCCUAACUACGGGGUCCAGACUCCCUGAUGGAUAGUCCUUCGGACCUGUCUUCUCGCCUUACUAUUUUUCUCAUUCUUCCCGUCCUCUCCUCCACUCUCAGUCGAGCCCAUGGAGAUGCGUAGAAGGAUGAAUUCAAUAUGAGAGAAGAAGAUUUUCGGUUCAUUUUCUGUCUGAACUUUUUUGAUUGCUUUCUUCUUUUUCUCGAGACUAAUUGUACGGAUUCUCAUCUAGAUUUCGUUAGUCUUUAGUUUCCCUAGUUUCUAGUCGGACUAAAAUGAAAAUAGUCCGAGAUCAUUCUUUGAGCCUCUUUCAUUGAUCUAUUUUGAUGCUUCCUUGCCAGCAUCUUUCUUUCUCCCAUGCUUUCCGUUGGUCAACAACCAACCACUGCUCUCUAUAGUUCUUCACUACUCGUACAGGAAGGAUUUCUGUCUGGAGGGAAUUUUCUUGAGAAAAAGAAAGAAUGCCUCAACUGGAUAAAUUGACUUAUUUCACACAAUUCUUCUGGUCAUGCCUUUUCUUCUUGACUUUCUAUAUUCCCAUAUGCAAUGAUGGAGAUGGAGUACUUGGGAUCAGUAGAAUUCUCAAACUACGGAACCAACUGCUUUCACACCGGGGGAAGAACAUACGGAGCAAGGACCCCAACAGUUUGGAAGAUCUUUUGAGAAAAGGUUUUAGCACCGGUGUAUCCUAUAUGUACUCUAGUUUCAAAGAAGUAUCCCAAUGGUGUAAGGCCGUCGACUUAUUGGGAAAAAGGAGGAAAAUCACUUUUCUCUCUUGUUUCGGAGAAAUAAGUGGCUCACGAGGUCUCGAAAGAAAUAUAUUCUAUUUGAUCUCGAAGUCCUCAUAUAGCACUUCUUCCAAUCCUGGAUGGGGGAUCGCUUGUAGGAAUGAAAUAAUGCUAAUCCAUGUUCUACACGGCCAAGGAAGCAUCGUUUUUUAAUCAAGGUCGUUCGGACAAAAUAGAAGUUGCGCUUUCUUGAUUCUUAGUAGAAAGCAUUACAAGAGAGAUCAAUAAGAGAAAAAGCGAAGGAGCAGAGCCAAGUUCGAACUAAUAGGAGCGGAGCCAAGUUCGGAACUAAUGGACGUAGUAGGCUCCCCAUAAAUCAGAGGUUAGGAGCCCCUGUUCAUUGACUUUAGAUAUUAUGUCUGAAAAUAUCCUCUUAUUCACUUUGAAUUUCAGCCUAUCCUUUUUAUUCAAUUCAAACCGCGGAGCUCCUAUUCUUUUCAAAGUAAUAGCCGCACUUUGCACCUCCCGCUCUUCAUUUGCAAAGAUGUCCUUAUCAAUGAGACGACUGAGGCUCAAAGAAGAUUUCGAAAAACAAGGCUCCAACUAACCGUCCGGAGGACUAUCCGUAUGAACCUAGCCUUCGGACCAGUCCGGAGGAUUUAUCCGUAGGACUCUAAAACGGAGGACUAUCCAUUAGAACCAUUAGAAUAGAUCAAAAGAUCGUCUUGACCCAGCCUCCGGCUUCUUAUUCCGCUAUCAAAGUAUUCCACUACUCAAAGUAUUCCACUAAGGAAAUGCGCUUCUCACGCAUAUUUCAUUGCGCCUCUUGAGCUCUCUUCUCUCUGUCUUCCUCUAUUUUCUUCUUAUUCUGAUUCUUCCGAUAAUAGAAAACCUUGAACUCUCUUUAAAGAGGCAGAAAGGUAACUGAAAGACUCAUAAGUGCAGCUGUCAAUAUUCUUUGAACCUUGUUCAUUCAGGCUAGGCUUUCCUCUGAAUUCAAACCUUAUAUUCCCUUUCUCGUUGUUCAUAACUAUUCUAUGUGAAUGAUCCCUUGUUCAUUGAGGCGGUCUUCUAUGUUUACAGGUUUGAAUAGAAAGAGUCAUCCCUUCCCACGUGUAAAGUUUCAUAAAUUAAUGCUGCCUCAACCAUAGGCUUUUCUCAAUUCUAUGUGGCCGCCGGGCGGCGCAGAACGCACUAAUCCGCGACCAACAAGUUUUCCGAAACCAAACUGAAGAGAAUUGUUACUUUCCAAAAAUGCUUGCUGAAAAUCAUAGGCUUUCUCCUUUCAGUUUCUCGUAUUCAGUCUCAGGAUAGGCUUUCUUCAGUAUUUAUUAGGUUCUUGGGAGAAUCCUCGUCCAAGACCCCACGGAGCGGGAGAAUCCUUCGUCUGAAAAAGAAGAGAGCCUACUAAAAUAAAACAGAAGACGUAGAAGUCUGCAAUUGAGAUUCAUUCAAGAAGACGGAGCGGAAUAAAGAGAAGGUAAAGUCAGAAAAAGUGAAAGGAAUAGGAAAGCAGUUAAAGGAAGUUCAAGGCUCCCCGGUUUUCAAAUAUGAUGAACUCAAUUCAUUCAGCCUUAACUCGCAUAUUUCAUUGCGCCUCAUCUAGAGCUUUUGUUUUUGUAGUCGCAAUAAGACAGGUCCGAAGGACAGACGGGUUAAUAUGGAUAGUCAUCUGGUCCCUUUUAUUUUGUUCUUUGCUCCUAACGUUCCCUCAAAUUCUUUGAGCCGUCCGGAGGACCAUCAAAGAAAGGUCCAGGUGAUUUAUCCGUAGGACUAUCCAUUAGAAGUAGGACCAUCCGUAAUUAACCGAAGUAGGACUAUCCAUUUUCAGUCGGACUAUCCAUAUGGAAGGAGGACUUUCCGUAAUUAACCGAACAAAGCUCCUAACUACUAAUGGAAAGGACUGAGGACGUCCGAAGGACUCUAAAGCGGACGGGGGGGAUUUCCGCUUAAAAAGUCUUAUUCCAAUAAUAUCCGCGGGGGUAGAUUCAAUCUUCUUUUCACCUCCGUCUCAUUCCCUAAUGGAUAGUCCUUCGGACCUGUCUUAUGGCGCAGUUCUUCCCUCGCAAUAUUGGGCCUCAGUAGCUUAAUAUUCAGGGGUGGAAAUCUUGUUGAAGACGGAGGUUCAUAUGGAUAGUCCUUCGGACCAGUCUUAUGGCGCAUCUGGACCCCUUAUAAUUGGGCCAUAGAUCUUUGCACCUUGUUUUUCUUCUUUGCGCCUAACGGAGGGGAGGGGAUAGACUUUUGACUUUUUCUUCCUGAUCAUCGACCGCCUUUUUUUUGAUUCUUUUCACCUUGUUCAUUGAUUGCGCUUGCACGAGUAUUCUCAAUAUUCUUUGAACCUCUCCUCUGUCUAUUAGAAUAGCGAAUAGUCCCCAGAUCCAAGGCGAAGGACUAGUCUGAAAUCAACCAUAUUAACCUGUGGAAUCUUUGAUACAUCCACAUUGUUCAAAGAAAGCCUAUCCUCCGUCCUUUUUCAAUAUUCUUCGAUCAUUCUUUUUCAAUAUUCUUUCUCAACAAUAUCCCCCACGGUGCGGUAGUCCGUCCGAAGGACUAUUCAAUCCAUUAGUUUUCGCUUGCACUCCUUUCUUCUUUUCCGCAAUAUUCUUUGCUCCGAUCAUUCAUAGAUUAUGCUGAAGGAGGUCCUCCGGACUAUCCAUAUUAGUGACCGCGGAAGAAAAACAAAGGUCUAUAUGAACUAGUUAGGCGAAGGACAGACAGGUUAAUAAAUAUGGAUAGUCCUUCGGACCUGUGGAAUGUAAAAGAAAGCCUAUCCGUCUCAUUGAUAUUGAUAAGGAACCCUCCUCUUGAGUCUGAAAUCUACCCCUAUUUAUUUAUGGAUUUCAUUGAAGGCGAAGGCGCAAUGAAAUAUGCGUUGACGAGCGCAAAGAACUAAAAAGAAAGGUCCAGAUGACUAUCCAUUAGGGAAAUUAAGGAGCAAAGAUCAUGGCCCACUCCUCCUUCAGCAUAAUCUACGAAGCGCAUUUAUCUAAGAAAAGAAGAAAGGCUCUUUGAAUAUUGAGAAUAUUGCUGGAAGAUUUGCACUGGGGGAUAUUGAUUUGAGAGAAAGAUUAGACAUUGAGCCUCCUUCUACGUCUUUUAGAUAAAAAAGAGAUUUUUCUUCCAUAAGGAUGAAAACGAGUCCUCCCCUUGUUCAUUGAGGUCCGCUCCCUCCUUUUGAGCUUUCUUCUUUAUUAUCCCGCUCCGUCUUCAGCUCCGUGGGCUUCCUUUCAUAUUCAACCGCUACGUGGGAGAUAGAAGAAAAUCAAUGAAGAAGUCAAUGCCCACUACGCGGGGAAGGAGACAAGACUACGUAGCUACUUUCAGUGGAUAGGUCGUCCGGAGGACUUGUUUUUAUCCAUCUGAGGAACUCAAACUUAUGGCCUCCGUAGUCCGCUCCCUCCUUUAUUUUCAAGGUUUCAUAUGAAAGGUUUGAAGUUAGAAGUGAAAGGAAGAAAAAGUCAAUGGAAGUCCUCCGUCUCUCUUCUUUAUGGUCCGGAGCCUUCGAUCAUUCUUUGAGCCUCCAGACCUACUAGAGAAAGCCCCACUCCGCGGAAGAAUCCAGAAAGCUAAGCUUGAUAAAGUCCUCCGCCUAAUUCAAUGGAUCUAAUGGACGCAAUAUUCUUUGCACCUGGACCCAGCCUCCAGCUUCUUAUUCGACGUUAGGAGUAUUAAGACCGAAGGACAGACGGGUCCUCCGGACCUGUCUGUCCUUCUAUAUAUUCUUUGCACCGCUCCGUGGGUCCUUUCCAUUAGUAGUUAGGAGUCUUAAGACCUCAGUCCUAUCCAUAUUAACCCGCGCUAAGUUCCAUUAAGAGAAAAUUCUUUGCUCUCUGCGACUCAAAGUAAUAGUAUUCAACAAUAUCCCUGUCUUAUGGCGCCUCGCAUAAAUACGGCUUCGAUCAUUCUUUGAGCCUCCGUCGCAAGUCAAAUUCUCUAAUGGAUAGGCCUUCUCCUUCGCCUAUAAAUUCCCAUAUUAAGCUACGAAAUAAAGAAAGCACUACGCGGGAAGAACUGAUCAAUGAAAUUUGAUUGAUUGAAUUUCAUCAUAUCAUAUUUGAAAAAGAAAGAAUAUUGAGGUGCAAAGAAUAUAUAGAAGGCGCAAAGAUCUAAAAAGAAAGGUCCAGAUGACUAUCCAUAUUAACCCAGAGAAAGUUCAGUCAGUUUCAGUGGAAUAAAGGGAAAGCCUAUCCAACAACAUUUCAGUGGAAUAGGAGAAAGGAAGUCCUCCGCUCCGUUGGAGUUGAAUUGGUCCUACGGGAAGAAAAUCAAUGAAGAAGUCAAUGCCCACUACGCGGGGUUAAAGUGAAAGAGGAAAGCCACUAAAAACCUCAAAAUAAUACGGAAAGCCUAGCCUUCUACGGCCUCCAAACAAAAAAAGCUUUACUAGACUCAAAUUCUUUGAGCCUCCGGAGCCUCAAAAAUAUAGCUUAAAGGAAGAGGUGCAAAGAAUAUUGCGUGAUUGAUGCCUCCGUCUCUCUGAUUUAUGGUUAUGGUUCUCCUGAACCUACUCCCUACGGCAAGGCAGAAGACUGCCAGAAAGAAGAAAGCCUAGGAGAAGACAACUCCCAGAAAGUUUGAAAGUGGAAUCAAAUAACUAAGAACGAAGAUUUGUUGGGAAGGAAAGCCGUCAUAAGUACUUUCGUCUUAUUUUUAGUCCUCUUUCAUUGAUCUAUUUUGAUGCCAAGAAGAAACUUCAGGAUUACUAUCAAUGAACAAGGGAAGCACUACGCGGAAGUUUCAGUUCCUCAGUCGGAAUAUGGACCUCGCAUAUUGAAUUGCGCCUUCUCUCCUUUCAGUCGAGCCCUCAGUCCUAUCCAUUAGACUGCACCUCGCAAUAUUCUUUGCGCCUGCGCCUGGACCUUUCUUUGACUAGAAACUGAAAGUAGGCUUUCUUCUAAUAGUAGAAUAAGAGGAUAUUUUCAGAGAAGAGAUAAUCAAGAUAAAUAGCUAAGGAUAUUCUUUCUUCCCGUGUAGUGGGCUUACGGAGUGGGUCGCAAAGUGAAUUUCUAGGCGAAGGCUGAAUGAAUUGAGUUGCGGCUAUUACUUUAUUUGGAGCGAAGGUGCAAAGAAUAUUGCGUGGAUGGAUAGGUGCAAAGAAUAUUGCGAGGCUCAAAGAAUCCCACGGAGCGGGAUAGUCCUCCGGACUGUUAAGGCUCAAUGCAAUAUGAGUGAUUCCUAUUCCCGCCUUCUACGCCAUAAAUCAGUCGGAAUAUAGAGGGCUCUAUCCAAGGAAAGCCUAGGGCUCGGUCAAAGCAACGAGAUCUUUUUCUAGUUAGACUUCUAUCAAUGCAAUGAAAGAACCAUCCCUUCCUAUUUUUGAGUCCUGUCAGAUAGAAAGAAAAUGAGACCCCAAAGAGCCCUUCUUUACCACUUUAGCGGGUGGGGGUGAAGGGGGGGUUUACAUACAACCGAGGCAAAGUGGUUUAUGAUUGAAUCUCAGAGGCAUUCUUAUCAUUUGGUAGAUCCAAGUCCAUGGCCUAUUUCGGGUUCACUCGGAGCUUUGGCAACCACCGUAGGAGGUGUGAUGUACAUGCACUCAUUUCAAGGGGGUGCAAGACUUCUCAGUUUGGGCCUCAUAUUUCUCCUAUAUACCAUGUUCGUAUGGUGGCGCGAUGUUCUACGUGAAUCCACGUUGGAAGGACAUCAUACCAAAGUCGUACAAUUAGGACUUCGAUAUGGUUUUAUUCUCUUUAUCGUAUCGGAGGUUAUGUUCCUUUUUGCUUUUUUUCGGGCUUCUUCUCAUUCUUCUUUGGCACCUACGGUAGAGAUCGGAGGUAUUUGGCCCCCAAAAGGGAUUGGGGUUUUAGAUCCUCGGGAAAUCCCUUUUCUUAAUACCCCUAUUCUCCUUUCAUCCGGAGCAGCCGUAACUUGGGCUCAUCAUGCUAUACUCGCGGGGAAGGAAAAACGAGCUGUUUACGCUUUAGUAGCUACCGUUUCACUGGCUCUAGUAUUCACAGGCUUUCAAGGAAUGGAAUAUUAUCAAGCACCCUUCACUAUUUCGGAUAGUAUUUAUGGUUCUACCUUUUUCUUAGCAACUGGCUUUCAUGGUUUUCAUGUGAUUAUAGGUACUCUUUUCUUGAUCGUAUGUGGUAUUCGCCAAUAUCUUGGUCAUCUGACCAAGGAGCAUCACGUUGGCUUUGAAGCAGCUGCAUGGUACUGGCAUUUUGUAGACGUGGUUCGGUUAUUCCUAUUUGUCUCUAUCUAUUGGUGGGGAGGUAUAUGAAAGAACGAAAGAGUGGAUUGAGGAAUUCAAGCUCGAAGACAAAGAGAACCGGGCUUUUCCAAAGAAUUACAGCAGCUUUCCCACUCCCUCUCAUUAUUAUAUACCACAAGGUCUCUUCCACUUUCCUACCAAAUCUCUCUUUAUUCUGGCACAUAAAUUCAGGGAUCGAAGAGAUUAUGGCAGAUCAUGUUCACCAAGAAAUGACCCGAAAUUGGAUCUUGGUCUAUUUGAGAUUCUUCCUUUUCAUCUCCAUCAAAGAUCUUUUCUUGUCUCUCAUUUCUUUUCCGAAUCAAUCGAAGAACCUAAUGGACUCAUCCUUGCCUGCUAUGAAAGAUAUCGGCCUUGCGGAAGGAAGGAAGUGAAUUUUGAGUUUCAGUUUUGUGUAUAAAGGUUUGAAACUCGAUCUCCCUCCCCUGAUUUAUGGAUGUUCCUACCAAGAACAUCGAUCAGUCUAGGCUUUCCUCUUUAUAGUACUCCGAAGGCUCCGUCGGACCCCUUAUUCAUUUCCUCCUAUCGAGCCUUUGUCCUCUUAUUCCUUGAAUCUGAUCUUCCUUAUUCAUUCGUCUUCAUAUUCUGGAGCUAAGACCCUUCCAAUGCUCCCUUUCGCCAUGCAUAAACUGCACCGCUCUAAGAAUUUCUCUAAAUAGAGAACGGAUACGCCCAUAAGGAAUGCUCAUUGCCCAAAAGACCUUUUCGACAUCAAAAUGUAAUGUAAUGAGAGUGUGGAUUCUCAAUUGUAACCUCCCAUUGCUCGAGAUCCGAUAGCAUGCAGCAACUAGUUGUAAGAAAGAGGGGGGAGUAUCAAGAGAUAUUUCAAGUGUGCAGUGAGGAGUAAUAGGUAGCCAUACUUAACUCGGCCCAAGCAAUGCCCAUCCCAUGCCUUUCUUGGUUGGACCAACCCAACCGGCGAUUUCCGUCUUCCUUCAUUGGGAGAGCAAGAACAAGUCUCUCUUUUUUUGGGGGGGGGAGCAGAGCAGUCAAAGAAUAAACCAAAGAAAAUGAUUGUUCUCAAAUGGCUAUUCCUCACAAUUGCUCCUUGUGAUGCAGCGGAACCAUGGCAAUUAGGAUCUCAAGACGCAGCAACACCUAUGAUGCAAGGAAUAAUAGACUUACAUCACGAUAUCUUUUUCUUCCUCAUUCUGAUUUUUGUUUUCGUAUCACGGAUCUUGGUUCGCGCUUUAUGGCAUUUCCACUAUUCUCAAAAGAAAAUACCGCAAAGGAUUGUUCAUGGAACUACUAUCGAGAUUCUUUGGACCAUUUUUCCUAGUAUCAUUCCGAUGUUCAUUGCUAUACCAUCCUUUGCUCUCUUAUACUCAAUGGACGAGGUAGUAGUAGAUCCAGCCAUGACUAUCAAAGCUAUUGGACAUCAAUGGUAUCGGACUUAUGAGUAUUCUGACUAUAACAGUUCCGAUGAACAGUCACUCACUUUUGACAGUUAUACGAUUCCAGAAGAUGAUCUAGAAUUGGGUCAAUCACGUUUAUUAGAAGUGGACAAUAGAGUGGUUCUACCAGCCAAAACUCAUCUACGUAUUAUUGUAACACCUGCUGAUGUACCUCAUAGUUGGGCUGUACCUUCCUCAGGUGUCAAAUGUGAUGCUGUACCUGGUCGUUUAAAUCAGAUCUCCAUUUUGGUACAACGAGAAGGAGUUUACUAUGGUCAGUGCAGUGAGAUUUGUGGAACUAAUCAUGCCUUUACGCCUAUCGUCGUAGAAGCAGUUCCUAGGAAAGAUUAUGGUUCUCGGGUAUCCAAUCAAUUAAUCCCUCAAAGCGGGGAAGCUUAAGUGGAAAUGAAAGACAUAAUAUCUCAGUGAGGGAAAAGGAGGGAGACCACUCAAUUUCAGGCUGAACUCGCUCGCUCUAACGCUUCUUUAGUAGACAAGGAGUUCCGUGCAUAAGCCCCUUUAGAGAGAGGGGGGAGUCCUACACGAACUCGUAAGUCAAGUACUAGACGAGCCUUGUCUACGAAGCAGAGCGCCCUCGUCUUGCUUUUGGCGAAGCUUAACGAACUAGAUAAUAGGCAUUUUUUUAUGGUAGGAAGACUACUUUUUAGGCCGACCACAAUACAAGUCAUGAGCGAUAGCGAAGCCAAGCCGUAUAAAGGCGAGCAGCCCUUAUAGCAAUAGCAAACGGCCUACUUAUAGCCCGCCCGCCCUCGCCUAUUUUUUGGACGCUAUCAGUCCGAAGGACUUAUCCAUAUUAACCUGACUCACCGAAGGCGCAAAGAAUAUUGCGAGACGAAGGACUCGGUAAAAUCGCAAUAUUCUUUGUCAAUCAAAUUCUUUGAUCCUUGCGACUGAGUAGGCGAGUGUCCAGGUGGUCAAAGCCCUCAAUAAUAAGGGAUAGCUCUGACUUUGAAAACCACUUUUCACCUUGCUCCCCUAUCCUUCUCCUCCGGAGGGGUCUUACAAGCUCAUAAAAUGGCAAUUCUUCACCGCCUCAAUGAAUCCACAGGUCGCAAUAUUCUUUGCGCCGCUCCGUGGGCAAUGAUCUUUGCUCCGGUCAAAAUCAAUAUAUAUGAUUCAUAGUCAAGAGGUGCAAAGUUCGGUUAAUUACGGAAAGUCCUCCGGACUCCUUCGGUUAAUUACGGAUAGUCCUACUUCUGUUAAUUACGGAUGGUCCUACUUCUAAUGGAUAGUCCUACUUCUAAUGGAUAGUCCUCCGGAUAAAUCCUGCGGACGUAGGACUCCGGACGUAGGAUAAAUCCUGCGGACGUAGGACGUAGGACUACUUCCUUCCAUAUGGAUGGUCCUACGGAUAAAUCACCUGGACCUUUCUUUGGCCCUGCGGACGUAGGACUGCGGACUGCGGACUCCGGACCCUGGACCUUUCUUUGAUGGUCCGAAGGCGCAAUUCAAUAUGCGAGUACGCGGGAAUGAAUUCUAUUACUUUCUUUUCAUUGAUAGAUAUGUGUACCACACCGAAGAAGCAAGAUGCCGAUAUGCUUGAUGUACCAAUCAAGCCCAGGAAGGAGGAGCAAAGAAUAUUGCGAGGCGAAGGACCACCAUGCCGAGAUUCGCGGCAAAGAGAGCGAUCAAUGAAUAAGGAUAGGGGAGGCCCUAACCGAGAAAGGAUCCACGGCGGGGAAACCAGAGUCAGCGAGAAAGAAUGAAUAAGUCACAAUCUACCUAGGAAAGAUAACAAGGACAUCGAGAGAGCUAUCUAAUGAAACCAUUUCUCUCUUCACUCCGCUAUGCUUUGUUCACUCUCUUCGUUUAAGCGAGUCAACUUCUAUAAAUCACUACUGAUAGUAGAUUCAGUGCUACUUGUCGAACUCUCAACAUAUGUCUAUCAAAUUUCUUUGUGUUCAGUGUACCGCUAUCAAUUCUUUUCCUGUCCCGUACCGCUACGCUACAACGUAGUCAACUAGAUUUGAGAACAGCGCCUGAACUGAACUACUACUGGCUUAGCUGCCUAGCUACUAAUAACUUGGCACCCGUCCUGCCAAUAUAGUAUAAAGAGUAGUGGUAGGAUUCCACUCAGGGCACACUUGUUAGCUACAGUUCCCAUCUGUCUUGUAAAGAACUAGAACUGCGCCCGCAGUUACGGGACUAGCUCCCCUGGCCAAACUCUUGCUCCUCAGAUUCACAGACUGAAGGUGCAAAGAAUAUUGCGUUGCGUUAGCUACUUACUUCUAUUAGAGUCAGACAAGGCCUUGACUCUCUGCCUUCCUAUAUCAUACUUGGGAACUACUAGAUCUAAGUCCGAAAUAUCGACCUUGGUUCAACUCCUAGCUCGAAAGGCUGCCAACUCCUUACUGAUAUUGUUUGGGGUUAGGGUAGUUUACUUGCAGGCUGAUAAGUCAGGUAGCGAAGCCUAAGAUUAGAUGACUAGUUUGUUUCACUUCAGUUCCCCGCCGUCGUCCCCUAUCUUAAAGCAUGGAAAGGUAUCCAGAAAGCACAGUAACAGCUAUGAGAUAGGCGGCCCUCUCACCUAAUACCCGCUACUAAGGAUUGAAAGUAGCACAAUCGGCUAUAGAACUCCAGAUCUACGAAUAGCCGCGGGCAAGCACCAAAGAGAGGCUAGCUUCCACCUUUCUUAACAGCAAGGCGCGAAAGCCUGAGCCUUUCCUAUAGCUUCUACUUAGACUUAGCAACCCAAAUAAAGGUUUUGAUUCCUUAGCUGUCGAGCUACUCAAGCUAGUAAGCUAGUAUACACGCAUUUGCCCGAUUGCUUUAAGAGAAGCUUGACCUCCACCUGUCCUGUCCAAAACUAUGGAACUCAUCUUCAAAGUAGAUUUUCUAGAUCAGAACGUUCACUCUGAGAAUAGGGGUAUAAAAGUGAACCACCUAGAAUCGAUCCAUGACCGCUAAACAAAAGGAGUCCUUUACCACUAGGCAACCGUCUUUACCCGCCUCAACCGAUCGAGGCUCGGACAUGCCAACAGCCAAUACUGACUCCUUUCCCUGGGACAGCUAAAAAAAACUAAUACGGCUCGGUAAUAGGUUUCAUAGUCAUCUGGACCAUUAACACUUUUUAUUGGACUGACGAAAUUCACAGCAGAUAGACAGAAGUUAUGACAACCACAGCCACAAGCCUUCUUUCGUCAAGGCUUUUGAGGCUCCUCAGGCUUUCAAGCGAAUAGACUUGGAGGGCCGAACCUGGCCUCUUUUCCUAAGUCGAAGUGAGAAAGGUUCUAUAGAGAGAUCGCCGAAUUCACCUUCUGAAUGGAGAUGAAAAAGGAAAGGAAACAAUUCCCCUUGCGUUGAGGAUAGAUCUGCUCUUACGCUUGCUUUCGUAGACCUACUGCUAAUAGGAGAAGCGGGAUAAGUAGGACAGGGAGAUGUAGGGCACCGUCCACUGAUAGAGUUGCUUGAGCUCUUGGAGCUAGUAUGAGCAUCUUCAUCUUGCUAGCGAGCCAGUCCAGGCUGAGAAAUUUGGGCCCCCACUCCCGUCCCGGGGCGUUAAGGCUCAUCGCUAUAAGGAAGAACUUUCCAAUCAAGGUUCAAAGAAUAGCUCCGUCUUCCUUAACUCGAUAGAGAUGGCCUGCUUUAUUUGAACUUCCUACUAUAUAAGGCAUCCCCCCAGACCUAAAUGGCUAUACCUAUAUCCGACCUUCUAACCACUGAAAGUAGCGGUCCGAAGCCUGAAUUAUCUCAGAUUUUCGGUUCAUCUUUAACGCCACUUUUCUAAGCUCCGAAGGAGGAGUCCUCACCCAUUUAUUUCGGAAGAAAAGAAAGUUCAAGUGUAGGCUUUCUCCAAACCUAAAAACGGCUAAUAGAUAAGACGACUUUCGCCUAUUUUUUGGUCCUCGAUAAUUCUUUCUUUUCAAAUAUGAUUCAUAGUGAAAUAGUGGUCCUAAGCCCACGGAGCGGGAAGAAAGAAUAUCCUUAGUAGUCGCAAAGUUCAUUUCUAGGCGAAGGAGAAGGCCUAUCCAUUAGAGAAUUUGACUUGCGACGGAGGCGCAAUGAAAUAUGCGUUGACAAGACUGCCCACUCCGUUUUAGAGUCCUUCCUUCCAUAUGGAUGGUCCUACUUCGGUUAAUUACGGAUGGUCCUACGGAUAAAUCCUCCGGACUACUUCCCUCCAUAUGGAUGGUCCUACUUCCAUAUGGAUAGUCCUACGGAUAAGAAUCCUCCGGACUCCGGACUACGGAUAAAUCCUGCGGACUCCGGACCCUGGACCUUUCUUUGGCACUGCGGACUCCGGACCCUGGACCUUUCUUUGAUGGUGCAAAGAAUAUUGCGAAGGCGCAAUUCAAUAUGCGAGGUCCAUAUUCCGACUGAGGAACUUGAACUGGCAUCAAAAUAGAUCAAUGAAUGAGUAGGCCUCAUUGACUUCUUCAUUGAUUUUCUUCCCGGUCAUACCUCGGCCUCUUUACCCGGAGUUUCACUAAGGCAUAUACCCCCUCGGAGCAGUGGGGAACUUUAUAGGCGUCUUAGCAUCAAAAGCAUCUUUUUCAAGUCAAUUACAUCGACCGUCAAGCAGAGGUACUCUUAGUUCAGAGAGUCGACUUGGCAUGCUUGAAGUUCAGUUACUCGCCUCUAAAGAUCUUCCGAAGAAAGUUUGAUUGCCCACCAUUUCUGAAACCCCCUCUUCUCGGGCCAAUAGUUCUUUCUGAGAAUUAGACCAAUUUACAUGAGUUUAGAUGCCGCCUAUAAAAAAAGGUAAGAGCCUUGACUCUUUCCACAGCCAGAAAGCCCAAGCCUUUCUCAGCCGCUUAGCGCUGUGACAAAGACAGAUGUGAAAAUCGAAGACUGAGACUGGAUCCCUAAAGACCUCAAUCAAUAGCGUCCGUGAAGUGAGUGAUCUUCGGUCUAGCCCCUUCUCUGAAUGAAUAGGUUAUCGAUCCUGAACUUCAUCGGUCAAGUCGAUUUUAAUUAAGAGAGAGUCGGCAUCAUUACUUUUUCCGUGAGAAGAUCAGUCUUUAUGUUAUGAUCUAUUCUCGCCCUUAAUAAGGGAACUAACUCGUACUUGCCUUCAACGAUUACAGUUUCUUUGUCAGGUGCUCUAGUGUACCGAAGAGGUGGAGUCUUCCCAUCAUGUCUUUGAGUAUAAGAGUCCCACUCCGCGGUGAUCAUCACUACUCUUUUCAAGCAAGAAGAUAAAGGUAGAAAUCCGACCGCCUUUCAAUGACGGAAUAAAGAGAAGGCGAUACCUACUACAUGAUCAAUGCGAGAAGGCCCAGUCGGAGAGGUCGUCAUCCUAUUCCUAUCUACAUUGGUCGUAUUCGUCCAGUGAAAGAGGGAAUUCCCUAUCUUAUCUGGGAAGGGAAAAAGCAAGUCUGAUCCCAGCCAGCAAGGCAUCCUUAUCUUGGGAGGACUCUCUUAUGGAACUGAAAGUUGCAGACGGAGGCGCAAAGAAUAGAAUAUUGCGGGAACUGAAACUUGGCAUCAAAAUAGAUCAAUGAAUGAGUCUUUCUCUUUCUGGGAGUCUUCCUCUUCCUCUUUACCUUUGCCUUUUUCUUCCUCUCCUUUAGCUUCCCUUCUAGCCAAAUAGUAGGUUUUUAUGCCUGAUGAUUGAAAAGACUGAAAUUCACAUCCAUAAAUAAAUAGGGAGCUUGACUCUGUUUCCGAAGAGUCUGCGAUAGCGAAAGGACUUAAUAGGCGAGAUGAAACCCACGGAGCGGAGACUGAGUUGUAGCAGUUGAGUCUUAAUAGGUAGGAGUGCAAGGCUGAAUCUAAUUUCACUCAAAGAAAGAAGGCAGAUUCAGAGAAAAAGGAAGAAUCAGUCCUCAUUCUAUGUGCCCGUAGUGAGAAAGGGAAGAAGGAGAGGAGCGAAAGCGGCUCGACUGUAAGGAGAGGAGAGGCAUCAAAAUGCAAUUCCCGACCGAACUUUCUCGUAGCAAUCUAAGUUGGCUCCCGGAAAUCCAACCUUUCUAUAAUCUCUGACAUGUUCGUAUCUUAGUUGGCGAUAUAAGGACAAGUCCACCCCCUUAUAGGAUUAGGGCUUUGUGAAGGUGCGGGUUUUCACUAUUCCCAACGGCCUUAAACAGGCUUUAUUGCGGCCUGCUCUGGUCUAUGGAAGAAGCUCAUCGGGACUUUAGAUCUGCCAUUUUUGAGUUAGGCGGAGUAGAAAACUUGCUUUUUGAUUCUAUUAUGAGCAAUGGCCUGCUUUCUUUCUGGUCUUGUGCCAGUUGAUGUGGCAGGGACGAAGCGAAGUGGAAAAGUAAUGGGCUAAUAGAAGGGAAGGUACGGUUAGGGACGGGACAGAUGGAAGCUGAGGCAGAUAUUGCAUCCUUUGCUUUGCCUUCUUUAAGAAUUCGUAGAAGCCUGUCAUCGGUAAAUCCCUCUUCCAUAGCAUCUUCAUUCUCGACGUCUUCUUUGGUAAAGAAAGGGGAUGUUUACCCAGGCGCCGUAGUCUUGCCUAAGAAUAUCGCUCUGUUCACUCCCAGCUGAAAUUCAAGCCAUCUUCAUGAAAAUGAAAAGAGACAGAGUUCUCAAGAAGCUCUCCCUUUCAUUCCAAAGCUCCGGUCAUGGAAAAAAAAGCUGUCAGUAGCCGGUUUAUCUUAAUAAAAACCGAUAGCGUACAAGUUCAAAGAGAGAGACCUCGAAAAAAGAAGAACUAAAGUAAAGGAGGCGCAAUUCAAUAUGCGUUGACAAGGCUCCUUUUUCCUUUUCUGCUCUCAUUUCAUCAAGUUCUACUUGGGGGGUUUUAUGGAUUUUCUUCGAAUUGCUGUCUUGCAGAAGACGCUAAGGGCUUAUGACUUGCUGCUUAAGGAGCUAAGUUUCCUAAAUAUGAAAGAUGAUGAGUCUAAGCUCCAUAAAAGAGGUAGGUUUGUCUAGCCCGCACCUUGCCCCUCGGCUUUCAAGGAUUAGAUAGAGGUGAUAAUAUCUCGACCCACGUAGCGGUGUAGAAGGAGAGGCUCAAUGCAAUAUGAGUUGCGAGACAGGUCCGAAGGACUAUCCACUAGGGAAUAAAGCGAGAGGAUAGAAGUGCUUCGAUCAUUCUUUGCCGCAAUAUUCUUUGUCACGCAAACAAUAUCCCUCAAUGUGGAAGGCAAUAUUCUUUGCGCCUCUGGACUGAUUUAUGGAACUCAAUCUUUCUGGGAGUCUGAAUGGCUAAGACGAUAAGGGAAGAAAAUCAAUGACCCACGGAGCGCGGAGGACGAGUCUCGCAAUAUUCUUUGCACCUGGGUAAGAAAAGAGAUGGAGCGCUAGAAUGGAAGAACUGAUCUUCUUCCUCCUCCUACACUGGGACUGAGCCCCGAACCCUCUCUCUUCCUCUAUAUAGGGGAAGGACUAGUCUGUAAAAUGCUAUUUUUCAUCGAUCAAUAUCCGAAGUAUUAGGCUCCAUAAGACAGGGAUAUUGUAAGAAGUAUGAAUAGCUAUUACUUUUCAGACAAAGUCGGACCUACAAGAUCCAGUCAAUUAAUACGGAGUGGGCUUGCUUUGGGCCUCAGUAGCUUAAUAUUCAGAUCCCCAUAUUCAUUAGGCGAAGGACUUCUUUAUCCAUUGAAUUUAGCCGACUCCCAUAAAUAAAGACAUAAUAUCGUCAGUCUUAUUCCCUUCUUUGAACCUCUUUUCUAGAUCGAGCUAUUUCUUGCCAGUCGCUUCUCAAAGAGCAAAAUCUCAAAUUCGCAAGUCAAAUUCUCUAAUGGAUAGGCCUUUGUUUUUCUAUGCGUCCUUUGCCUUUGGUUUGCGCUCUUAUAUUCACCUUUUAUUUGCCGCCUUGAUUCUCUUCUUUCUAAUGGAUAGUCCUUCGCAAAUUCUUUGCGCCUAACUCCGGCGCAUAUUGCGUGGGAAUUUUGCGUGAGAAUUUGAGAAAGAAUGAUCGUCAGCCCUUCGUUAAUUACGGAAAGUCCUACUUCGGUUAAUUACGGAUAGUCCUACUUCCAUAUGGAUAGUCCUACGGAUAAGAAUCCUCCGGACUCCGGACCCUGGACCUUUCUUUGAUGGCGCAAAGAAUUUGCGAAAGGAGUCUUAUUCCACUAAAAAACGAUAGAGGAGGGGUCGGAUCGGGGGAAUCCGUGGGGGUUGCGGUGGCAGCUGAAAAGGAAUCAAUCGUCCCAGGAGCAGUCGCGGAGGCGGAAAUGCUCUACUCCCACGGAGCGCUAGCCCUUGGCUGAUCAGUCAUCGGAUAAAUUCCCAAAACCCACGUAGCGGUAAUUACAGAAGUCAAUUCUCAUUAUUUCUUCCGUAUAGAAAAAACCUGAGAAGUUCACCCUUUCUACCAUCCCAUCCCGACUUCCUUCUUUGUGCAUUCAUGGGUGAGGCAUUCGGCUUUUGAAUCUGGAAUCAUUUCUCAUUCGCAGUCUGAUGAAAAGAAAGAAAUGAGGACCUCUACCUCUACUCCUUUUCCUGCCAUAAAAGAUAGGGGUAGGUAGGUCAAUUCGACCCCAGCCCCGCAGCUUUCAGGUCCUUGGUGCUCGAACCAGGCGGGCAACUUACUCUUUUUCUGUGGAUACUUCCGAACAUUAUAAGGAAAACGGAGCGGUGGAAUAAAGAGGUCAAAAGGACGGGAGCGUGAAUACGGAUGAAAUGGGACGUAAGAAGUCGAGCGAGUGACGGGGAAAUGGGACAUCAAUCUUGAGAAGAACCUCUAGGUCAAGGACAGCACUGGGCCGCACCGCCUCAAUGAACAAAGGGAAGAGUGCCGAUCCCGGAGUAGGAGUCUGAAAGAAGGCUUGGCCUGAGUGAAUUCUUCAUUCUCUCUUUCUCUUCGAGGAAGAAAUCUCUUGAUUUUAUUAUCCCACCGUCUGUAGCGUAGUGGGGAAAGUUCUCAGUCUCCGUUGAUACUCUGCCAGACCUUUACCGGCCGACUACAAGGCUGAAUAUGGCAAUUAUAAGGGGUCCAGAUGGUCAAAGCCCUCAAUAAUAAGGGAUAGCUCUGACUUUGAAAACAAAGAAGGACUAUUCCUCAAAUUCUUUGAGCCUAAAGAUGAACGGAAAAUCUUCUAAUGGAUAGGACUGAGGCGCAAUGAAAUAUGCCUUGAUUGAGAGCUUGAUUUUUCUUGUGUCUUUGUUUUGGAUGAGAAAUCUCUCAAAUACUUUGAGCCUUGGAAUGAGCAUUUCAGAGCUUACCGAUCAGACCCUACUACUGAUCCGAGUUGGCUACUACUUCCUUUUCUUCAACAAGGGAUGAGAUGAGGCUUAUCUUAUUCGAACUUCAAGUAGGUACUUCUGGAUCUUCCAAGUAUGCCUAUUUCCUGAGAGUGAGCUUGCGCAAGUAAUCCCCCUUUUUCUUACUCUCAGAACCCCAAAUCUUUUCGUACUUCCCCCUGAGGUCCCAGCUCCAACUCUUCUUCUCGCUUUAGGAAUUCAAAUUCUUCUUGAAUGAUCUCUUUCGUAAAGCUAUUUUUCUAUGGUAAAUUCACUCUUUAGCCGAUGACGCGGGAGAACACGGGUUCACUGGGGUGGAUAGAAUACGACCCGAGCGUCGGACCGAGACAGGAGGACCCAUUACCAGUUGAGGAAUUCAGUCGAGAUCGAGACCGUGCGGAGCCUUCCACUGGGACGUUCUCCUUUGUUUACGUGAAAACCUUUCCAGAUGAGCAUACGACCCAACUUCCCCGUAUGAGGAGGACUUGGUCCGUCCCUUUCUUCUUAGUAGUACUUUGACUUCUUCCCCGCGUAGAGGAGGAGCGAGCUCCCUCCCUUUCCUGGGAUUUAGAUGAAAGCAUCCCAAUGAGAGAAUAGAUUAUUCAACCCUACAGCGUCUGGGACAAGAAGGCGAACUACUUCUUUCUCUCUCUCUCUCCUUUCCUGAAGAUGAAAUAAGAUUCUGAUAAUAUAAGUCGAAAGGGAAAGAGAUCAUUCAAGAUCGAAUGAAAGAAGAUAAGUGAAUAAAGCUCUUUCUCUUGUUCCGCUCCUUACUUCUUCUUCUUUUUCAUACUCUUUUCAAUCAUAAGGCUGCCUCUUUCUCCUGAACUCCGUCUCCUAGGCUUUCUCUUUCUUUCUCUAUUUCGAAGAAUCUUUUCAAUCAUCAAAAUCAAAAGGCUGAACAUUGAGGUCUUCGCCCUUUAGGCAGUUCGCCCAGCACAGCAGUCGCAGCUCUUUCUCUUUCAAGAAGUUUGAGACUGAGAUUCUGAACGAGUAGGAUGAAAUAGCAGGCACAAAGGCCCCACCAAGAAGAAAGUCCUCCCCUUCUUAUGGUGGCUCUAGCAAAUAGUCAGCGAAGAAGCUUCCAAAUAGUAAGCUGUCGAGUAAGAGGGAGUCGAAAAGAAGCGCGAACUCCAGUGAUUAGGGUAGAGUCUCAUCCCCCCAUAAUCAAGUAGCGUCCACUAAAAAGGAGCGGAGCGCGGAAGGACGAGGCGCAAUGAAAUAUGCGAGGAUGAGGCAUCAUCGUAUAAGAGGGAGCAAAGGAUCUCCGUGAAGCUGCUCGAGGAGAGGAAUGAAAUGGCGAGACUGAAAGGAGAGGCAUCCCUUUCUCUUGCACCAGUGGUUGUCCCAGUUCUUCUUUAAGCUGUAGCCGGCUGUGGUUCUUCCGGUUGAGGAAGUAGCUCUCGCUCUUCCAGUCUCGGAUAUUAUUCUAUUUUCAUAUUGUAUAUUCAAAAAUAUUCCCAAUUAGAGUAGAUUGGGUGCAGCGAUCCCGGGAAUGAGUCGGACUAGCCUACAUAAAGCGCUUUUCUCACUAUAUAUGUCUCGACUCUUUUGUAUCGCUUAUUCAGGAGACUGAGUCAGAAAGGGAAGAAGCAGAGAAAGAUCAAGCUUUCCCGAUAGGGGAGAGUAGUUAUGAUCCGGGGUCUUUCCUUAAAAAGGUAUUCUAGAAUAAGAGUUUGUUAGCAUCUCUCCAUUCUCAUUGUCUGAGUAUGAUAAGUUUCUCUUUCAUGAGAAGGAGACUGAGAAGGCUUCGGGUCUGUCUUUCGCCUCUUUAGAUAUUAUGUCAACUUCUCUUCUGCUUUUCGCACCGAUAAGUCAAGUCCUCUCUCUCCCCUCUUACUCAACUUCGUAAACCUAGUCUCUAUGCACUUGCACUCCUUCGCAAUAUUCUUUGCGCCUCAUCAUCAAAAGAGAAAGUGCUCUCGCAAUAUUCUUUGCGCCUCCAGGACGUCCUCUGGACUAUCAACCUAUUACUUUGAACUUUUAUCCCUCUCAUAACAUAAAUAGUGGGACUUAUCCAGCCUGAGGAGGGCAGAAUCAAGGCUCCAUAAGACAGGGAUAUUGUAUGAGUUCUAUACAAAAAAUAGGCGAAGAAGAAUUGCGAGGUCCGUAAAUCAUCUGAGAAUCCCGGUAAUUUUGGGGGAGGUGAAAAGAAGAAAAGAGUCCAAUAAGAGACCGCGGCUUGGGAACUCAUUCCCGAAGAUAAGCAAGAACUUCUCCUCCUCCUCCAAGACUGAAAUUCCAAGAGCCACUUCUCCCUCUUCUGAUGACGCAUACCACCGGUGUCUCGAUUUCUUUGAUGAGUGGAAGGACGACAGGUUAAGCUUGAUAAAGAAGUCAUCUGGACCGCUCCAACUAACCUCUGCGGUCAGUCCUUCGGACCAGCUGACUAUCCCUAAAAUAGUAAGGAGUCUUAUGGCGCUCGUCUUGAGCCUGAAUUAUCGAAAAGACUUCUGCAGAGAGCCAAGAAUUUGCGAGCAGCAUAAGGAAUAAGGAGUCGAUCAAAUUAAGGCUUCGGACCGCGGAAGGACGAGUCUGAUUCCAAAAAAGACUUCUGCAGACGUUAGGAUCAAUGAAAUUUGAGAGAGGCGCAAAGAAUAUUGCUCAGGCUCGCCUAAAUUUGAAGUGGAAGGCAAUAUAAUUCAGGCUGAGGAUCAAAGAACAAGAGCGGGAAGAACUGGAUAUUGUAGGAGUUGACGGCUCGACUGUAAGGCUAAAUGUGGGGCGCAGUUGCGCAAUAUUGCGAGAAGUCUUUAUAUAUUGAUUAGCCUACUUUUCUGGAUUGGGACAUGAAUAAAUUAGAAUCCAAGGAUUGAUCGAACCUCGACGCAAAUUCUUUGCGCUAGUGCGAAUGAAAAAAAAUUCAGGCUAUAGGCGAGAUAGAAAAAUGACCCAGGGCGCGCCUUCUUCAAUGAAACUGGGUGGGGACCCGCGUGAGCCUAAUGCUCUUUAUUGGGCCGAUUCCCCGCUUGGAUCAGACAAGGGCGGGGGUAGAAGUUUGACCUUUGGAUCCGCAGUCAAGGAUCCCUCUUUCUAAAAGUAUGUCAAGAGCAUACUUGAGCUGAGAAAGAGAGAGACCAUGCGAUGAUUGAUCUACUGAAAUGCCAAGCCUUAUCUCAGUCUCCAGAACUCCACAGGAAAAUAGCAAGACGGGGGUUAGAAUUACCCAGUUCAUAUCCACUCCUUGCUAAGAGUUUAGUCUUCUUUCUCCCCGCAAGCCCGUUGAAUCAUGACUUCCUUAAUGCCUUUAUACCCUCGUAUGAGAAAAAAAACCUAGCCUGAAAGUGAGAGAUGGAAUUCAUUCUAUAUAUUCUUUGCACCUUCGCAAUAUUCUUUGCGCCUUUCUUUUAUCCAGCGGAGCCUUUCAACAAGCACUUGAUCCCGUAUUUAUCCUACGCGUAGCGGUGAAAGCUCAAAUUGCAUUGAGCCUGUGAAAAGUCAAGAAAAAAAGAAAAGAAUAAUUAACUCAUUAACGAUAAUGAAAGAAGCUCAAAACAAAAUGAAUCUGCUAGAUUUCAGAUUAAUCUGCUAGAUUUCAGACUAGUCCUUCGCGGAGGGAAAUACAAGAAAAUGCUAGGUUUUGGGCCUAUAAAGUAGCAAGAAAUCAUGAAAAAUCCGUCAAAAUUAGACAAUUAUCGUUAGAUAUAUAUAUGAGAAAAAGUCCUAUUUAGAAGCAAAAAAGCCGGGAAAACGCAAUGAAAGAAGAACUCCUAGGACAGGUAAAAUCAAUGAACAGAGUUUGAUUAUGGUUUCUGGUCCGGAGAAAUACGGGUCUAUUCUGGAUUUCCCUCCAGGUUAUGGGUGAUUCAAUCAUAAUGAUUCUUUCAUUCGAGUUAAUGAGCUUCUUUCUUUGCGCCUGCGCCUGGACCAAAGGUUAAUAUGGAUGGAUAGUCCUACUUCCUUCCAUAUGGAUGGUCCUACUUCGGUUAAUUACGGAUGGUCCUACGGAUAAAUCACCUGGACCUUUCUUUGGCCCUGCGGACUGCGGACGUAGGACUACUUCGGUUAAUUACGGAUGGUCCUACGGAUAAAUCACCUGGACCUUUCUUUGGCCCUGCGGACUGCGGACCCUGGACCUUUCUUUGGCACUCCGGACUGGAUCUUGUAGGUCAUUCUGACCCGAAAAGAAAAGUAGUGCUUUGAAAGGUAGGGAAGGUUACCCCACGUAGCGGUAAGGGCGCAGCAAAGGUUCUUUCCGGAGAUGGCCCUUUAUUCUGGCCCACGGAGCGGUUGUGCAUGAAGCAAGAGAUCUUGGAAGUAGCUUUCUUGCAAAGCGAUUAUGAGAAAUUCAUAAUGAGGUCUUGACUUUCAAGAGUCUUAAAGGUAACUUCAUAAAGAGUGCUCUUUCAGUUGACUCUUUCUGUCUAUAAAGCUCUUCUUCUUAUUAGUUUCGCGGGAGAGAGAGGAUGAGGGGUGCCCGAGGAAGAAAUGCUAUCCCAAAGGGCAGAGUACGUUGAUGUCCCCGUUCUUGUUUAAGAGGUGGCCUCAUCCGUUGAUCAGUAGGGCAUUUCUUUCCUUAGAUCUCUUUCGUAAGACCUCAUGAAAGGAUUAUUUAUUCAUUGUCGUCUGAUCGAAAGAUGUCAAUGUGCUUGCCCAUUUUAUGAAGAAAUACACCAGCCUCAGAUCUCGCCCAUGGAUUGAUGAAAGCCAAAAGGCCCUUUAUUGUAUUGUACAUCUUUCACGCAAGGAGACGUAAGAAGUCGACCGCCUACUCAUUUGGAAGAAGAAGAAAGACAAAAGAAGAAUGAGUCCUCCGGAAGGAAGGCUCGACCGUCGGAGGGAAGAGGGCUGCCAGAGAUGAGUAUGAGUCAUCCCUUGCUUUAGUUGAAAGAGCUAAAGUAGCAGUCCUUUCUUAUACCUUUCAUCUCGUGAAUGCACUCAAUUAAGGAUGAAAAAAUCUCGUCAAUUCUCAUUCCAUGAAGGACGACAAGAAAGUAGACUCGCCACGGGGCGCCGAAUCAGGCAAAUAGCCCUUAUCUCUCUUUAUGUCCCACUCGAGAAGACCUUUUCUUGCAGGUCCAAAUUAUGACAUUCUACCUCGAAAAGUGGUUAGGGCUUAGAAAGUAUCAAACUAGAAAAGGAUGCCCCAUGGACGCGAUUUCUUCCAUUCAGCCUAUGGUCUUUUCUCACUAAAAUGUCCAUUGGGUCUUCGCCAAAAACCUGCAUUGAAAAAGGAUGCAAACCAAGGUCAAUAUUCUUUGAACCUUUGAACCCAUGAAUUCACAUGAAAAGGAGUCCCAGAAAAGUGAAGGAAAAGAAAGAGGUUAAUAUGGUAGAUUGAAGACGGGUCAGAAUCAGGAGAUCUCGGACUUAAGGAAGACGGAGCGGUAGGCCUACUUUGAGGGAUCGACCCAGGAGAGGCAUAGGAGUUCAGCGGAUUGCCCAGAGUCUGAGGAGAGACCAGGUGCAGUCUAAUGGAUAGGACUGAGGCGCAUCAAAAAAAAGGUUGAAGAUGACCUUGAUUUUUCAUUGAGGCCGUUCUUCUCCUUGCAGUAGCUUUGAUUCUUUCAAGAGUUGAGGAUCAAAGAAGAUUGAUAAGUAUAUAGGGAUAAGCUAAGCAUUGAGCUAGAGAUCGUAAGACCCAGGCGAAUAGCGAGGCAGAAGGGAUUGUGAUGUCUGAGCUUCUUUCUUACCAUAAAUUAAGAACCUUGAAUGAGGCCGACGGAAAGAGAUCGUCCGAGAGGUUCAAAGAAUAUUGACUUGUUCAUUGAGGCGAUAACCACAAGAGCAAACUCUUGAUAUGAGUUUGAAGAGAUGAAUAUAAGGAAGGAAGCUAGACAAGAGCAUCUAAAUAGGUUUUCUUGAAAUAGGAUCUAAAGGUGCGAAUAGACCAAUAAGGAUCGAGGGGUUGUCCGGCGGAGACAGAAGUCUCCUUCUUCACUCUCGGUCUAUGAAAUGAAAUUGGUUAUACCGCUCUGCUUCUUUGCUUCCUCAUCAAGAUAUGAAUAAUAAGAGGAGUCUUCUUCUGAGAAGUCCGAUCCACUGAGACCCCUUAAGUACUGCUUCCCUUCAAGAAAGAACUCGUUGAGACGAGGUCCAUUCGACGGAGAACAAAGUCCCUCCCUUUUGGCAUACUUGAUGGACCCAGCGGCAUAUCGGGGAAUGGCUCACAAGCAAUGAAUGAGUGGGGGGCGUAGGAUACUCGUUGGGGACUCCCAACAGCACUAUUAGCUGUCUAGCGGAGAAUCUGUUGAGCUUUUGGAAGGAGCGGAGCAUAAGAAGGGGAGGACUUUGAUUCCAUAGUUUUCUUAGAGGCGUAGGAGGACGCUUAUUCCUUUUCUAGAACCUUCUAGAACCUACUAUUUGGAGGCGAAGGACUUCGCACAAUAUUCUUUGCUCCUAAGUCUGCUUUGAAAAGGAAAAAAAGAGUAUUCAUCCUUUCUCUACUUCUACUUUGAGCCUGAAUUUCCCCGUCCUCAGUCGCAGGUUAAUAUGGAUAGUCCUUCGGACGGAAUCAAAAAUCGCAAUAUUCUUUGCACCUUUGUUUUUUCCUUCCGCGGUUCAAGACGCCUCAUUAAUAUGGAUAAAAACAAGUCCUCCUACUCGUUCAAGUUCCACGCAAUAUUCUUUGCUCCUUGCUAAAAGAAAGAAUCUCAUCUUCUCAUAUUUCAUUGACCGUUAGGCUCUCGCAAUAUUCUUUGCGCCUCAAUCGCAUCGCAAAUUCUUUGCGCCUCCGCUCAAAUUCCCUAAUGGAUAGUCAUCUGGACCCCUUAUAAUUGGGGGCCAUAGAUCUUUGCGCCUCUCAUCAAAUCCCCUAAUGGAUAGUCCUUCGGACCUGUCUUAUGGGGCCUCCGUAGCUUAAUAUGAUUUGCGAAAAUUUGAUGCGUCUUUUCCGCUUCGAAUAUGAAUUCAUCCUGAGAGCAGAACAAUUGACAAGGUUUGCUGCGGAGUUAGAGUUCUUCUUUUCUCAUGCAAGCUUGUAAAUGAUAGGUCUAAUUACUAUCCGCAUCUCUACCCGUAUUACCGGAAUCUAAAUCAAAUGGGUCUUGUCCUACGGUCGGUCUGUGUUGGAUUGAGCUCAAGUUCACUUCUUUUACCUUUCGUUUUCUACCUGAAAAUGCUCUACUUAGAAAAAAAGAGAAAUUCUGAUGUUCAAUUUGGAGGUUCUUCAAUCUAUGAAAAGAGAUGCUAAGAAAGAAUUCAAGAAAGUCCAUUACUGGUGAUCUCGUCUUGCUUGCUGGGAGAGAGGACGGACCACCUUUUGAAGGCAGAUAGCGAGCGAUCACUCAGCAAUUCAGACUAAAAGCGGCCGAGAAUUAGUACCUAUCCCUUACGGGAAUCGAACCCGUGUCUUCGACAUGAAAAGACGAUGUCCUAACCACUGGACGAAAGGGACCAAAAAGCCAUUCUUCAUAUACCUAGUAGUGGGAUCCGAGAAUAGAAGUCCUUCCUUUGAUUGAUAUACGCAAUUCGACGAUUUCCUUUGUCUGAAUCUUGGCGAUUUCUGAUUCAGCGGGUCCUCCCCCCUUCCCCCACCGAUGAGACAGCAACCACGCCCCCUUCGUAAACUCACUCGACUCAAUUACGAAAGAAAUAAGAAGAUAUUAAUAGAUAUAAGAAGAUAAGAAAGCUCUGAUGAUGCGUCUUUCUGUACUCUUCGGGAAGCCCAUAAAUUAUGAAUCUUUGCGAAUGAAAGACUAUUACAAUCAAUGAUUGAGGGAGCGGAAAGAAAGGCUCCACUAAAGAAGGGCAGAGGAAGACUGAGAGUUAGUAUGAUGAAAGAGGUUAUCAGCUGCUAUCCGGUUAGGAGGGAAGGAAUUGAAGACGAAUCGAGGAUUUGAGACAGAGGUUAGAACGACCUACAGGAAAGGAUCGGGUAUUUCAUUCAUAGAGCUUUUAGGGGUCAAGACGAUCUAUCAUUCCCCAACUCCUAUCCUUAUAUGAGAGUCACUCAAAUUCUGAUCGCCAUUCUCUUCUUUGUUCUCUCUUUCCUUGAUUGAGUCUUCCACGCAAUCUAUCUAUCCUGUAUCGGGAAGGUUGGAAUAUGCUCUCCUCUUCUUCCUACAUUUCCUGAAUAACUUCAAGGCGUCACCGAUCGGGGACUUCGACUGCCUUGUAUCAGGUUCAGAGAAGGGGUGGUAGGCUUAGUAGGGCUCGAACCUAGAAUAUCACCCUUAUGAGCGGUACCUUGAAAGCAAUGAAACUAUAAGCCCGAUCUCUACAUGCAAUUCGCUCACUUCGGGAAGAGGAAAGAGGAGAGGUGCAAAGAAUAUUGCGAGGCGCCAUAAGACAGGUCCGAAGGACAGACAGGCGCAUUGAAUAGAUUAUGCUGAAGGCUAGGCGCAAAGUUCGGUUAAUUACGGAAAGUCCUCCGGACUACUUCGGUUAAUUACGGAUGGUCCUACUUCUGUUAAUUACGGAUGGUCCUACGGAUAAAUCCUCCGGACUACUUCCCUCCAUAUGGAUGGUCCUACGGAUAAAUCCUCCGGACUACGGAUAAAUCCUGCGGACUCCGGACCCUGGACCUUUCUUUGAUGGAGGUGAAAAGAAUAUUGACAAAGAAUAUUGCGAGGUUCAUACUAUUACUUUAAAUAGUGGGACUGAUUUUGAUCCAUAUUCCUGAGGGAGCGGUACUACUUUCUUUUUUUGUGCCCGGUCCAACUAGGAGGGAUGGAACUCAUGCCUCCCGCGGUCGAGCUAGCUUGUUCUCGCUGCUCUCUUUUCUUUAUAGAAAAGCAUAAAAGCUUCAUCUUUGAUUUGUGUGAGGUAAAAGGGGUUCUUCUUGAACGAGAUUUGUUCGUAAAUCUCUACUAUAGAGAAAGGAAAAAAGGAGUAAGUCCGCUGAUUUUACGUGAUUUCUUCCAUCUUGCCUAUGGCGGAAAAGAGCUUAUUAAGGGCGAAAGCAAAGAACCGUGCUCUAGGCGCAGGAUCUGGGAUGUCACAAAGCGACUGUAAACAACCGCCGCUACACAAGGGGAGGAGUCUUUGCAGCUUAGUUGGGUUAAGUUAAGUCGCCAAAUUCUCAAUUCUUCAUUUCCCUUGUAACAAAAAGUAGCCGCCAUUGCAGGAGCCGUUUCAGGAGUCGCUGCAGGCGCUCUUCGUCUUCUAGUUUCAGCUUUUGUUGAAGUAGCCCUUGUUCGAUCGAUCGAAAAGGCUAGAUCUCUGUCCCAUAUUUCCAAGGCUAAAAGAAAAGGCUGAUUCAAGGUCGUAGCAGUGAGAAAAAAAGACUUUUGACUCGUCCGAAGGACUUGUUUAUCCAAUUAUAAGGAAGACGGAGCGGUUCCAUCCAUAACAAGGUGAACCAACAAAGGAGUCCGUCGCUGAGGAGGUCGGAAAGUGAAGGGCACCACGGUCUGGUCCCAGACCGAUUCAGUGGAAGUUGCUUUGUUGAAAAGCGAUUAUGAAUAUUCUUGUAUAUAAAGACGUAAGAGAAAGAAAGGUGCGAAGCAAAAAGAAAGUGAAGGAAGACGUAGCGGUAGACUAAGAAAGUAGUACAAUACAAGAAGGGACAAAGGCCCCAUAAGAAGAAAGAGGGAUGGGAUCGCGCACGCCCACUACGCGGGGGAAUAGGUUUCAUAGUCCUCCGGAAUUAUUAAGGAGAAGGACGCUCGCAAUAUGGGCCUCCUACGCUUAAUAUGGCAAAGAAUAUUGCGUUUUGGAUAGCUCUGAUUUUGGUUUUCGUCCUUCGUCCUCUCAAAUUCUUUCUCAAUAUUCUUUCUCAAUAUUCUUUGCACCUCUCCUCCAUCUCAGUCGAGCCGCUAAUUUGUAAUUCAACUCCGUUAGGUCCUCCGGACUAUCCAUAUUAACCCAGAUUUCAGACUCCGCACUCAACGCAUAUUUCAUUGCGCAUCUGGACCCCUUAUAAUUGGGCCAUAGAUCUUUGCUCCUCGCAAUAUUCUUUUUUUCUGUCUUGUAAAUCAUCAAAAUCUUAUAAGAAGAGAGACCAAAAAAAAGGGAAGGAAGAUGAAGGAUCCGCGGAACUGAAUGAAGAAGAAUUAGUACGGGUCUGGAGCUGCCAAGCUAUUAUUUGAAAAAUAUAGAGUAGAUUAUGAGUACCCUCAUGGCUUGAAAACAAGCUUCGGUUGGGAGUCUGACUUGGAAUUAGAAGUUUCCCGAAGCGAGAGAGAGAGAGUUUACUUCGGAAUUCUCAGAAGAAUGAGUAAGAGAAAGAGGAAUUCCACCCUAGCCUCAAGCCUGAAUUUAUGUGGGAUCAGAUUCUGAUAAUAAAGAAGAAAGCUCAGAGGAUCGUCUAAUGAGUCAGAUCGGCUAUCUAUGAUAUAGGAGGAGGGUAGCUUGGAGACAAAGACCAUAAUAAACUGAGUUGGAGUUGACUCGCGGUGUGAAUAGACUGUAUCAGCAGAAGUCUCGGAAGAGGAAUGAGUUGGAGAAGAAAGAAUGAACUCCAUAAUCUCGUAUUAUAAUAAGAAGAAAGAAUCUCUUAUCAUAUUAGCUUUCUCUCUUUCAUUCAUAGUCAGCUCUCCCGGAUUCAGUCUCAUAACUCUGAUUAUUAGUGGGGGAGUCGGCCUUGGGGAGGUUCAAAGAAUAUUGACGGAGCGGUCUCGUAGACAAGGUAUGAAUGAGAACGAGAAGGAGAAUCAAGUCUCACGGAAAGCUUAUCGACAAAUCUGCCUAUUUUUGGGGUGCACGAGGCUCAAAGAAUUUGAGAGAACUCGAAGCCUGCUCGUAGAAUACGGCUAGGCACAGACUCUCCAAAGAAGGCUACUAGGAUCAGACUUGCUUGGGACCGGACCAGAGUGACCGGACGACCAGAAAUUCUUUUCUUUCAUCUUCGUAUAAGGUAAUUAUCUCUUUCUACAUCAGAAGUAGGGGACCAGGGAAUUCCCAGUCGACCGAGUUCUCUCUAAUGGAUAGGGUCGACGAGAGAAAUAAGGUGAUGAAUCAGUCGAGUCAAAUCAGAGACGAUCGCAGUCUUCUUAUCUACUUAGUUUCGGAAUGCAGUAGGAAGACGGGAAGAGGUUUGAGUAUUGAAUAGUUUCCGGGAGAGAGAAGAAGCAAUCUCACACUCAGUUUCAGAAGAGUCAGUGGCAGCCGCUGUGGCAGUUGCUAACCCAAGUGGAUAGUCUUGUGCCGCUAUUAUAGAAGAAGACUGAGAAUGAUCUCUUUCCCGAAGAGGGAACUAUCACAAAGCAAAUAUCUCAAUUCUAAGCAUUCUCAAUUAGUAGGUCGAAGCAAGACCGAGUUGGAGACAGCGUAGCGAGACCAAAUAGAGGGAGGCCUUAGCCUCUCUAUAGGCGUUCCGAUCCUUUUCCCGGCUGCGUCCUACAUAGUCAAGAGCACUUGUAAGAAUUCCCUAUAUCCGAUACUGGAUAGACCCUGUCUUCCUUCUAAGGAUCGAACUGGAACUCUUCACUCUGAAAGAAGAUCGACUGAUUCCGAUCUGGAUCUUCCCUCGUCAACUGAGAAUACCGCUUCCCGAUUUUCUGAUAAGAGAAUUCCGAAAUCAGUCCCAAGAUAAGGAUGCCUUGGUUAGCAUAUGAAAUGUGCACAGCUCUUGAUUCGUAAGAAAGCUACUUGCCAUUUAGAAUACAGAGUGAUGAGACUAAGAAUAUCCCUGUCUUAUGGGGCCUUCGUAGCUUAAUAAUGGGGGUCCGGGAUAGACUCUUCCUCUAGCUUCGGAAAGACUAUCUCAUACGAAGAGAAAGAAGACAGAUGAAACUUAAUCAACUGCGGGGAUAAGUUGAAUUAUUCAUACCGAGAGGAUAGACUUAGAUACCCGCGGGAAAAGAAAGAACUCUUCAAUUUAGCGCUCCACCCAUUUUAUUCUUUAGAAAUCCUAUUACAAAGAUUACUAUCGCCCAAGGCUUCUUCUGACUCUGGAUGAGGUCCCUGCCUCCCCUACUGAUGAGAAUAGUACUUCUUCCUCAACUUCAAGACCCGAGACCUUACGGCACGAGCUCUGGAAGGAGGAGAAUGCUCCUUCUUGUAGAAAUAGGUUUUUCUGCUUUAUAUCCCGCCUAUCCCCCCGGGUUAGCCCCUUGUUUGUCGAGGUCAAUAUUCUUUUCACCUCUUUCUCUGGGUCUGACCUUUCGUCCCUAGGGAUCCUGAAUGAAAGUCUUCCCAUUCUUCUUAUUCAUUCCCUUGCUUCCGAGUGAUAUUCUCUAAUAGAAAGAAGACGGAGAUCCCGGAAGAGAUAUUCUCUACCCUAUCCAGUCUCUCCUAUUCUCCUGAUGACAUCGACUUCCCUUGCAGCCUCAACUGAGCACUUGCUUCAUUCAACGGAUUUAUGAAAGAUUCGUACUGCCUAUGAAACCGAGACUAAGCGAUCCCGAAACAAAGUAGCAAGACGGAGAUCCCGAAAGAGAGAAUGAAAGUAAGUAGUUGACCUAUUCACACAUCUAUUCCUAGAAAAGUCGUAUUCAGACCGAAGACUGAAAAGAUAUGAUAACCUCGUCUUCUCUGUCGAGCUGACCUAUCCAACUAAUAAUCAGAUAUGCCGAGACCCUACUUUAGUUUUUAUAAGCUUCGGAUCUUCCCUUUAACGGUCUUCCCUUUCUCCCCGAGUGGGGUUCCCUAUUUCGGCGGCAACUGAGACUGAUGACUUUAGGGCUCCUUCUACCCUCUCUGCGUACUCAAUCCUAUCUUUGAGGCUUCCAAUCAGCCCUUAUUGAGGCGGUAUCGCUGACUCCCUAGCUUCGGGGACUUAGACGGAUGACUCUUUCUUUUCCAGCAGUCUAGCCUUUUUGUUCUCGAUGCUACCGCGGAGUGGGACUGAAAGCCUAUUCAUACCUUCCCCUCUCAUCUGGUCGAGACUGAUUAGUCUAAGUCUCCGAAGUAUUGGUCUCGAAGUAGAUAAGUUCGGGGGAUCCGGAACGAGUUUGGAAGUAAUAAAGAAGUAGUUCGUUCGCGCCUUGCCCAGUGGGUCAACUUCUAACCUUCCCCGCGGAGUGGGCGCGGAUCAUAUGUUCGUUCCCUAGCCUUCUUCGCAAAUUCUUUGCGCCUCAAGAUCUUUGCUUUUUGGUCCUCUUGACAUAUGAACUUCUUCUUUUCCAUCGCUUGAUUGAUACUCUGCCAGACGUGGACCGGCUUCGCGUGCGCCUGUAUAUCUUGAAGGGCCACUGACGGCCUCGCACUUUGGGCGCAGGGUUUGAGAAAGGAAAAGAAAGAAAUAAAGAAAGAGAAAGCUGAAACUAUCAGAAUCUAUAUGAUUCAGUAUGAAUUAGGCGAAGGACUUUAUCAAGCUUAAUCAUAUUUCAUAAAUAAGGGGCGAAGUGUAGUAAAUCAAAGAAAAUGAGCUCAUUAACGAGAAUUGAAAAGUCAAGAAUCAUUAUUCUUUCAUAACCUUGUUCAUUGGGAAUCAAGAAUAGACCUCUCUUUCUCCGUCCGUAGGACUAUCCAUUAGAAAAGUUUUCACAAACUAUGUGAAUUUCUUAUCCCUUUAUGAUUCUUUCAUUGCUAUUUCCCGGCUUUUUUGCUUCUAAAUAGGACUUUUUCUCAUAUUGAUAUUCUACGAUAAAAGUACUUUAUUGACUGAUUUUUCAUGAUUUCUUGCUACUUCCCUAUGGGCAAAACCUAGCAUUUUCUUGUAUUUCCCUCCGCGAAGGACUAGUCUUCAAUCUCCCAUAUUCACCUCUUUCUUUUUCAUUCCCAUUUUUUUCUUCUUUCAUUAUCGUUAAUGAGCUGUCCUACGUGCCAAAGAAAGGUCCAGGGUCCUACGUCCGCAGGGCCAAAGAAAGGUCCAGGUGAUUUAUCCGUAGGACCAUCCAUAUGGAGGGAAGUAGUCCGGAGGAUUUAUCCGUAGGACCAUCCGUAAUUAACAGAAGUAGGACCAUCCAUAUGGAAGGAAGGACUCUAAAACGGAGGCGCAAAGAAUUUGCGAUGCGACUUUGAGCCAAAAGAAAGAAUGUCAUCUUGAGCCUUGCAAUUCUUCCAAAUAGUAAUCCCUUCUUCCAUUGUGAAUCUGAGGGUAGCACUUUCAUGAGAGGGGGAAGAAGUCAGAAAAGCAUCAGCCCACUACGCGGUAGCAAGAGAAGGAGCUAACCCCUUUUUUCCGUCAUAAGUAUUCAAGAAAGGAAGCCGCAAAUCCUUUACUGGAAAGAAAAGUACGAGGCAGCUAGGGAAGCCUCUCUUUCUAUAGGCAGGCGCUGCGGUAUGAUUUAUAUCAUGAUGAUAUGCUUUGAGUAGGACUAGCGCAUCUUAAUCUUCGAGGUUAGCCCUAGCCUCAAGCAAGCUAUAACUAUUCAUUAGUAGGAGCGGACUCAAGUCAAUAUUAAAAGACCCUUGCUUUAGUUUCUGCUUGAGUUUCAGAAGUUCUUUCUUGUAUAGAUAGAAAGGCUUAAUUAAGCUAGAAUAAAUACGACUUAAACCUACUAUUUAGAUUCAAGCCUAUGGACUUCUGAUCAUUCCACUAAAUCUUUCUGACCCGAGCAAAGAAUAUUUCAAAAUCAAGCUCAUCCUCAACCUUGUUUUUGAUGAGCUUGAUUUUUCAUGGAUCUUUGAGCCUCUCCCGAUUCCCCUUUCUUUGAGAAAGAGCUUACGAUUUCAGAGUUCUUGCUUUCCACAACGGAUAAUGAAAAGAGUGAUAGCUUUCCCUUGCUUCUAAUGGAACUACUGCGGAUGGGGAAUACAAUUCAAUACUAUAAUAACGAAAGACAGAUCAUAACCUAAAAUCCCUAUGAGUUCGAGCUUAUUCAACUCUUUCUACUGAGACUGAUUGAUCUUCCUCUCCGGCUGUAGAUUGAGAGUGGAUUUCUGCUGAGAUAGUGUCGAGAAGGUAUUAGCCCUCACCUAUGAAAGAUCUAGAAAAAGGACAGUUCAGCUCUUUCGUAAACAAUUGGGCGGUGCUUCCUCUGCUGAAGACUGACUUCUCGCCCGCUCCGUCGGCCUUGAUCUGAAAGUUGGAGGAAACCUCCUUUUCAGUCCUUCUAGCCAUUAGAUAGAAUCCCCAGACUCCUCUUGCAAUGUCCCUAUAAAGUCGAGCCACUAUUUUUUCUCUGCCUUACGAAUGAAUACCUUUCUGCCUACUAAUGAACGGCCGCUUACUCUCCUCACUUUCUUAGUAUGUGGCCUCUUUAGGCUUGUAGUGAGAAAAGCGCUUUACUCAAGAUCUAAUUCAAGAGAAACCUCGGACUCAAGAUCAACUACUCCCCUAUUCUCUUCUGCCGAUGUCAGUUACCUUUAAUCCGACCCUACUCGGGGGUUAGCCACUUCGAUCUGCUUUAGGCGCCUCGUGUCGACUUUGUCAGUUAGUUCGAGUCUCGGGAACUCGGCUUUGAUCAUUUAUUCUAUUUCCGUUAUAUGAGUUAUCUUUUUGAUAAGCUUUGCUAUUUCAACAACGUCAGCAAGCAAGAAAAGCAACUUAGACGGAAAGAGCCGAAAGAGUAGCUCGAGCAGCGGCUUAGUUUGCCUGCCUCCGACAUGCCCUUGUCGAGCUUCUCUUGAGAUAAUUCUUUUCUCUCUUUGUAUUGGGUCAUUAUUUUGACUUCUUCUUGCAUUACCGCGUAGUGGGCGGGACCUGGCGAGACGUUUAGAACCCCACCUUUCAGGGAAUAUGCUCUUUAAGCGGGUAUGAGCUCUUGAAUGAGCAGAUUUGUGUCCGAUCCGAAUGUCUUAAGCGUAUGCGCACCUCUACAAUACGGUCGAGAUGAGGAAACCUCUUGCACUCCUGUUAAGUCCCUUCCCUUCUAGCCUUCUCCGUCCGAAGUCCGAAGGACUGUCCAUAUGAUAACCUUGCCGUAGGUCGUCUUCUUCCUUAAUUCUUGAGUAAGUCACUGAAAAACCUAGGCUUUCUCUUUUCAUUGACUUAUGGAUUCUUCCUAGUUUCUACAGUGAUUAGGCUUUAGGAAUGGUCAAGAGCUCAAGUACCGAAGAUGAGGCAUACCAUACUCAACCAAUAAGGAAGGGCUGCAAGAGGAGGCUCAAAGAAUCCCACGGAGCGGGAGGACAAGAACUGAAGAAAGAAGAGGUCUAGGCCCUUGAACCUCGAGCCUUGACUCCUCAACCGCGGAGUGGGGGUUAUUCAAGAGUAGUAGUUCGAGAAGGAACCUAAAUGCUUUGCACGUCCCCAUCUCACUAGACUUUGACUCUGGGAUUCCGGAUCAAAUGAAAAGGAAAAAGAAGGCGCGAAGCGACUUUAAAUAAGGGUCAAGACGGGCAGUAGUAGGCCCACUUGGAGAGGCUAAACGAAAGGGUCUACCUUUACCAAAAACAAAAACAAAAGCUCCAGAUGAGUAUGAGUUGACGAAACCCACGGAGCGGUUACGAGGCCUGGUGGCGGCAUCCACCGUCUCAGUUCUCGGAUGAGCCAGUCCCAAGGCUGAUCUAUUUUUCUUUUUCCUCUCUGGUAAUGCAGAAGAAAAAGAAGAAAAGGGGCGCUAACCCAAGGGCAGGGGAAGACGGAAGACGGGAUUGAAGAAGCUGUUUCUGGAGUGGUUGCUGGAUCAGUUGCUUAGUUUCGCCUACCCGUCUCAUGGGGAUUUUACCCGACAUGAAAAUAGCUUCUCCUCCAUUCAGCCAUCCACCUUUUAGACCUCUGUAAACAAGGAUGGAAACUUCCUUCCCCAAAGGCAGGGCAGCAAAGCGGGUGAGAUGAAAACGUCCACGAGUAAGGUCUCACCCAUGAAUGAAAGAGAAGAAGAAGAAGUGGAAUAAAUCAGUCCUAUAAGAAGAGGUCAAGGAAAGCCGUCAGUCUCAAUUUCUUUUGUCUUGCUUGUACAGCUGGAUAUGCUAAAUACUGAUAGCAGAUAGAGAGAUGACCCUCUGGGAACUCAAAAGACAUCGAAGAUCUUUCAUAAUGAGUCGGAUUCCUCAAACUAGUAAAGUACCCAACCAAGGGGAAUCCCAUUACGUAGACUGCCACGAAGGCUGGUGAGAAUGCUGGUACAAGGGAGAAUGCGAGAAUCUCAAAGGUCUCAAAAAUAUAGGUAUCUUUCUGGCUUAUCUAGUCUCACUGGAGACUUUGAUCUCUUCUAUGGAGCCGGAUGUGAGCUUCUCGCCUACUGAUCCAAGAGUCAAUGGCAGCGGACACAUCAAUAGCAGCAGACGCAGAGAUGCUCUUCGGGCUAAGAUGCUGACUUUUCCGUGGAAAGAGUAGUGAUCGGGUAAAUCCUCCCCAUCCAUUCAGGGAGUAUUCGUAAUUGGACUAUUUACAUGAAUCUAUCUCCCACUCUGAAAUAGCGAGGUAGCUACUUGGAAUCUUCGAUUGCCUUUAUCGUCAAAUCAAAUAUUAGUUCCAACGCAAUAUUCUUUGCCUGAAAUUUGAAGGAGUCUUAAGACCGAAGGACUAUCCAUAUUAACCUGUCUGGCCUCCGUAGCUUAAUAUCGUAGUCUGAAAUCAACCAUAUUAACCUGUCCGAAGGACUAUUCGCUAUUCUAAAAGCCUAUCCUCCGCCUAAGAGCGCAAACCAAAGGCAAAGGACGGGUGUGGUAUUCCUUCAUAUCUUUCCUCUUCGGAAUCAGAGUUGGAAAGAGAACAUCCAUCGUCCGCUCUCCCUCUUUCGGAAGCUAGGUAAGAAUCAGACUAAUCCCUUCCUUCCGUCUCGACUUCCAAGGUAUGAAGUUCAGAUAGGUGCUCUUUCAUCAGACAGGUAAUGAGAAGUGGAAUGAGUUAGCAGGCAUCAAAAUGCAAUUCUUCCGCCUCAAUGAACAAGGGCUCUGACGCUCCGUUUUCCUUUCAUUGGUCACCUCGUCAAAUCUCUCUCCCUAGGCUUUCCUCUUCCUUGAACUUUUUCGACUUUCAUCCCCCCCCGUCCUCCGGACUGAUUAAUGGAAUUCUAAAUAGUGGGACUGAUUUUUUAGAAUAGCUCAAUUCUUCGCAAAUUCUUUGCGCCUUCAAAGAAAGGUCCAGGUGACUAUCCGCAUUAACAUUAGAUUGGAGCAGUGAAUUUAUAGACCAGAUCCUAAAUAGUGGUCCGGAGGCGCCAUAAGACAGGUCCGAAGGACUAUCCAUUAGGUCCAUUGAAUAGGGAUAGUCGGACUGAUUUAUGGAUAUGGAAUAUACUCUGGAUAGGCUUUUGUAUUUAUUAGGUUUAGAAGCUUCCCCACUGGAAAUUCCCUUGAUUCUGAUUCCGACACUGAGAAUGCUAAGUCUUCCCUUUCUUAAUAAUAAUAAGGUCGAGAAGGUUCUAACCUUCAGAGUGAUGAGAAAAAGUGGAGUUAUUCGCCGAGCCCACUCUUUAUCUUCCCUUCCCGCUCCGUGGGUCAUUAAUCAUUCUCACUCUUCAAUACCGGAAUAGCAGAAAAACUAUCGAGUCGAGACUGAUUACGAUUCUUGUGCCCCAGCCACUUCUUCCCUUGUUCAUUGAUCAUUCCAAAGCUGCUGAGAUCCUUUCCUGGGUUGACUCUCCUUCUUCAUAACCUUCUCUUUCUCUCCAAGACAGUAAAGCGGCUUCUCCCCUAUCCCAUCACUGGGCAGCAGCAGAGCAGGUUUAUCCUGGUAUGCUUAUGCCGUCUUAGGCGCCCACGUAGCGGUAGUUUUCUCGCCGAUCCUAUGGUUAGGGGCGCCUAUGCCGAUCUCUUUGAGAAGCGAAGGUUCAGCAUAUGGAUAGGAAAAUCUUUAGACUCCCACUCUACGGCGCAGAGUUUGCGAAGCGUUUACGUCUAAAACAUAUGACUGUAGACCUUGAACCUAUCUCGUCAAAGAUGAUCCUCAGAGGCCUUUCACCCUAUGCUUUGGUAGAAUUACCACCUUUUUGUUAAGGACCCCAUGCGCUUAUCCACUCGCCUUAGAACAGCUUAUCUAGGAUUGAAAGCCGCCUCUCGUAUAGAAGUUUUAGACAUCAGAGACGUGCUAAGCGAUCAUUGUACAAAGUUUCUUUCUUCAUAGAGGCAGUGUGAUUUGGGUUUUCUUUGCUCCGCAAGGUAGCCAGAGCCUGCCAGUUUUUUCACUAAAUAGGCAGAAGAGUAUUUUCACUGCAGAAAAGUAGUGCUACGAACUAGUCAGAAUUGUGCCAGCCAUCCAAUUCCUACUUCAUGGAGAGAUUCCUCUACAACUCUGGUAGAAAGAUAACUGAAAGAGGAAGGGGAAGUAGUCCCAGUCUGAUGAAAGAAGAAGUACUAUUCACGGAUCUCAACAUCAAGAAGAUGGAGGCUACUCAUCAAAUGAAAAUCAAAGAAAUUGAGUACUAGCAGGCUGCAAAGAGGCUUUCUGCAAUUGCUGCCGAAAGAGAAAUGGGGAGUCGCGGGCCGCUAACCUCGUCUUAGCCUAAGAUCAGGCCGAAAGGCGUAGUCGGUUUUGAACAUUCUCCCUGUAGGGAUUUUCUAGGUUCUUCCAUCCACCUUCUGACUUAUGAAAAGACAUCUUAGCCCCUCCCUCUCCGUCUUGUCUUCCCUUUCUCGUCUUCUUCCUUAAGAGUUGACAGGAAUGAACCGCUACGUGGGGACUCCUACGUCAGAUAAGAAGCCAGAGGAGAGGAUAAAGGAGGGCUGGCUUCAAAACAAGCUUCAUCAGUUGGGGAAGAAAGGAUCGACUUCGGAAGUUUAGAGAAGUUCUUGUUGUGGAAAUCUUUCUAUUGAUUUUCUAAAGAAGAAGGAGAAAGUAAGGGAAGAUUUGUAUUCUCAGUUGCUACAGAGGAAGGAGGAUAGUCACUCGAGGUUUCGGAAGAAGGGUAAGAACAGUCUGCUGUCUAAGUUUUUCCUCUGUUGAAGCUUAGUUCUUCGAUCAGAAGUUUCUCUUUCCUAUCUCUCUUUCCCGAAAAAGGAGGGCAGAGUCCGCAUGUGCGUUGACUUUCGUGACCUCAACAAAGCCGGUCCCAAGGAUGGAUGAUUUCCCUUUGCCACACAUUGAGAUCUUGGUUGACAAUAAAGCGGGAAUUUUGAGAUGGGUUCUCAGGGUACAAUCAAAUAAAGAUGGGGCCAGAAGUAGGGGAGUCCCCCAGUGGGGAAGAUUUUGCUACCCUCGGUCUCAGGCAAGAACUCAUUUGAUUAGGGUAGUGCUAUGACUUGAAUCUUGAAGGAUAUGAUGCAUGUAUUCUCAUAAAUCUUGAGGUCUACACGAUAUACUUUGAAAAUCCAAGACAGGAGAAGGACAUCCGGAAGCUCUACAAAGGGUUCUUUCAAGAUCAAGAAAAUCUCAGUUGAAGAUUAACCCCCUAGGUAAUAGUAUCGUGCGCCUUCGAAGUCAGAUCAGGGAAAUUUCUUGCUUAUUUAUUUGGUGAAUCGACAAGGCACGAAUGUAGACCCAGCUAAAAGAAAAGCAGUGGGAGAUCUCGAGUGAAAAACCUCAGCGAAAGAGUUUCAGUCAUUUUUCGAAAAAGCUUCCUACUUUAGAAGGUUCUUAGCAGGAUUAGCAGCCUUAUCGGCCCCUCGGAAUGAAUUUUGAAAGAAAAAGGUAGACCACAAGCCUUUGCGAAAAUCAAGGAGACCUUAGCGAACGCCCCAGUGAUGAUGGCUCCAAUAGCAGGUAAGGAAGGUUAGCUAUAUCUUGCUUUUCAUGAUAAUGCUAUCUUUAUAGUGCUAGCGCAGGAUGAUCAAAAUGGUCAAUCAAAGGCAAUAUAUGUAGGUAGUAGAAUUCUCAAAGAAGCUGAAGCCUUAUACACUAAAGCGGAGAAAAAGAGUUUAGCGCUUAUAUAUUGCAGCCAAAAAGUUAAGACAUUCUAUUCUGGCGCAUAAAGUAGGUUGGGCUAAUCCGCCCACGUAGCGGUACUUGCUGUCAAGGCCAGCCCGCCCUAUCGGGAAGGACAGCGCGCUGGUUGUGACAGCUCUCAGAAUUUGUUUGAGAUAUAGUCCUUUUUUUGCGAUCAAGGAUGCGAUAAAGGGGCAAAUGCAGAUCUACUGGCCCAUCAAAAGACCGAGCUUUCUUCAGAAAUUCCUGGUGAUCUCGAAUGCAAGAUUAGAAGAUGGGCAAUGGACCUUAUACUUUGAUGAAUCAUCCACAGUGGUGUAGGAUUUUGAAAUCAUCAAAAAGUCCACGCAAUAUUCUUUGCUCCUUUGAAUUUGCCUUUCCAUGCUCUAAUAAGAGUGAAUAAUAUGAGGCCGAUAGGGUUGUCUAUCGCUAAAGAAAUUCAGAUCAAGAAGUGAAAAGUGGUUGCUGACUCAAAUUUGGCGGUUCGACAGAGAGAUGGGACAUUCGCACUGAAGGAGAUUUCCCUAGCACCUUCUCAGUUCCUUGUGCUGAAGCUCUCUUAUUCAAUUGAUGUGGAAUUAACCCAUGUCAACAGGUCUACCAAUCGAGAUGGUCUUUGGCCACUGAGGCUUCAAAGAUCAAGUUCGAAGAAAAAUCUCAUUCAUUAAGAGAAGCAAGCGACGAACUCCAGCUCAUGGAACUUUAUUGAACGAUAAGCUAUAUUCAGAUCUCAUGAAAAUGAAAGAAGGAGAUUAAAGACAUGCUGUGAUUCAAGAAGAACUAAAGCAAUCAGUGUCGUCAGUGCACAUGGCCAGGAUUUCAUCACAAAGUGGCAAUUUUGGGACUACUCACUCGGGGUCUUAGCUCGGUGCCUUGGCCUUGAAGAAGGAGCAAAGAGACUUUCAGAAGUGAAUGAUAGAUAAGGUCUGAGAAAGAAAGGGUAAACCUCUACAGAAGAUUGCAAAGACAAGGUUACUAUUGGCUAAAGCAAAAGCCAUAACCCUAGAUGCAAAAGAAAGAGAAGAGGAUAAAGGCCAUAAUAUACUCAUUCAUUGAUCUAUAGAAGCUCGUAUUCUCCAACUCCGUUGCCUUCGCACCUCUCGAGCAGAAUGUCCAUUUAUCGAUGUAGUGGAUUGGAGACAGCCAUAUAUCUUUUAUCUGACAAAAGGAAGCGAACCUUACCGGAUGAUAGAUAGGAAGCGAAUAAGCUAAAGAAGAUAGCCAACCUAAAGGUAUAUAGUGAGGUAAGCUAUGAAAAAGAGGCUUAUCGGGAAUUCAUCCCACUCCGCGGGAAGAACUUAUCCACGAUCUUACAAUAGACCUCUCUUUCUCCGGACCUGAAACCAUAAUCAAACUAUGUUCAUUGAUUUCACCUUCGGACCUGUCCUCCGGACAGACGGGUUAAUAUGGAUAGGACUGAGGACCUGUGAAAAGUCAAGAAAAGAAGCUCAUUAACGAUAAUGAAAGCAUAAUUCACUCAUUAACGAGAAUUCUUCUUUCAUAACCUGGAGGGAAAUAAAGAAUAGACCUCUCAGUAUCCGGAACACAAACUAGAAGUUCUCAAUGUUCAUUUCUUUGACCUAGAUUUUGCUAAUGGACCAGUUGCAAUUUCCCGGCUUUUUUGCUUCUAAAUAGGACUUUUUUGAAGAUUGAUAUUUAACGAAAAUAGAGUGAAAAAGAAGGAUUUUUCAUGAUUUCUUGCUACUAUUUCUUUUCAGCUCUCCUUAUCAGUCGAGCCCAAAACCUAGCAUUUUCUUGUAUUUCCCUCCGUCUUCAAUCUAGCAGAUUAAUCUGAAAUCUCCCUCUUUCUUUUUCAUUCCCAUUUUUUUCUUCUUUCAUUCUCGUUAAUGAAGAAUCCACAAAUGUCUAUUCUUUAUUGACUGAUUUUUCAUGAUUUCUUGCUGCCAGCCAAAAGUUAGUCAAUGUGGGAUUUCCCUCUCAAUCAUAAUUCUUCUUUCAUUCUCGUUAAUGAGUUCAAAGAAUAUUGAAAGUAACUGAUUUAGAACAGUAUUAAGUCUAAUACUCCCCCUCAAGAUGGAGAGUAUAUAUCUUUCACUCCCAUCUUGCAUAAAUGAAGAGAUAAAGUUGUGGCAUUAAGGGGCUUUGUGAGAGCAUCAGCAAGCUGAUUUGAAGACCGUAUAGUAGUUUGAUAGAUCCAUCAACAACUCUGUCUCGGACAAAAUGACAGUCAAGCUCUAUGUCUUUGGUUCUCUCAUGGAACAUGGGAUUUUGAGCUAUGUAAAUGGCAGCCUGGUUAUCACAAAAUACAGCAGCUGGUGAGCGUACUGCAAUUUUCAGUUCUCUGAGGAGACUUUGGAGCCAUAUGACUUCACAACAAAGAGUGGCUAGUGCUCGAUACUCUGCCUCAGCUGAUGACCGUGAAAGAGUUUGUUCUUUCUUUGAUUUCCAUGAUAUUAGAGAUUUACCAAGGAAAACACAGAACCCUGUAACUGAUCGUCGGGUGUCUGGACACGAUCCCCAAUCUGCAUCAACAAAAGCUUGAAAAGAUAGAUCAUCUGUUUUAGCCAUGAAAAUACCUUGGCCAGGCGAACCUUUGAUGUAUCUCAAAAGGUGAUUUGCAGCAUCCAUAUGUGUCUUGUCCGGGUGAGCCAUGAAUUGGCUGAGUUUAUGGACUGCAAACGUUAUGUCAGGUCUUGAAAUAGUCAAGUACAGCAGCUUCCCAACUAAUCUCCGAUAAGCAGUUGGGUCUUUAAGAGGUUCUUUCCCUGAACCUUUUAGUUUGACUGUGGGAUCCAUUGGUACUGUUGCUGGUUUGGCACCAAGUAAACCAGCUUCCUCUAGCAAACGUAAAGCAUAAUGCCCUUGUGAUAAGCAAGAAAAAAUGUCAGAGAACCCAAGUCUUUAAGCAGAAAUUGACGAUUAAGCACUGCUUGUAAACCUCGAAUAAGCCCAACAUUUGCUCCAGUGAUUAUAAUAUCAUCAACAUAGACAAGUAAUGCAAUGAAAGUAGUACCUUGGCCUUUUAUGAACUGAGAAUAAUCUGCCUUUUCUUGUUGGAAGCCUAAGGAAAUGAGGAACUGUGAAAACUUGGCAAACCAUUGGCGAGAGGCUUGUUUUAAUCCAUAGAUAGAUUUAUGUAGUUUGCACACCAUUCUCUCCCCCUGAAUGGUAGUAUUUGAUUUAUAGCCAAGCGGUAAGCCCAUAUAAACUUCUUCAAAGAAAUCUCCAUGAAGAAAGGCAUUGUUCACAUCAAGUUGGACUAGGUGCCAAUUCUUUGAAACUGCUAUGGUCAACAAGGUUUUGACAGUCACCAUUUUAGCUACAGGUGAGAAAGUUGAAAAAUAAUCAAGGCCUUCUUCUUGUGUAUACCCUUUCCUUUGGCAACGAGUCUUGCUUUAUGACGUUCAACAGUGCCAUCAGCUUUGUCUUUCAUUUUGUAUAUCCACUCCUACAGCAUUCUUGCCUUUUGGUAAUGGAACAAUACUCCACGUGUGAUUAAUCUCCAUGGCUUUUAGUUCAGCUUCCAUGGCUUUUCUCCAGCAAUCAUGUAUGACAGCUUCAUGAUAAAAGGCUGGUUCAUGUAAGGUGGAAACAUGUAGUAUGGAGUCUUUGAAAGGCUGAGAGAGGGCUUGGUAAGAUAUGUACUGGUUUAAUGGGUAUUUUGUGGAGCUUUGGUGAUGAGAGGUUGUGAUGUAAGGAGGCUACAAUGGUAGGCUUGGAGAUAAGAUGGUUGUUUGCUGACUCGAUUUGAUCUUCUUACUGGGGGAUUGCUGGAAAUCAGAGAGGAAUUUUCCUAAAGUGUAUUCUGUUGGAUUGACGAGGAUGGACUAUCCAUGGACUGGGCGAUGGCUUCUGGUAUGCUGUCAAGACUCACAUUUGGUGAAGAGAGAGUUGGGAUAUUUGAUGAGGGAUUAAGGCUAUCAUUGGGAGAAUCAUGGAAGGCUUUUGGUAGAGAAAAACCUGGUAUUGGAUCUUCCACGGGCUGCGGAUAAGUCUUUAAAAGGAAAGACUUCUUCAUGAAAUACAACAUCUCUUGAGACAAAAAAUUUCUGUUGAUCAAUGUUGUACAAUUUAUAUGCUUUCAUGCCUUGUGGAUAGCCUACAAACACAGCUGGUAUUGCUCUAGGUUGAAACUUGGAACGGUCAUGCGGCAGAGUGGAAGCAUAACACAGAGAACCAAAGACCUUUAAGUUCUUGUAGUCAGGUAGGUUCUUGUUAAGUAGUUGGAACGGUGAUUUCCAAUGCAACAACCUUGAUGGAGUUCUGUUGAUCAAAUAAACAGCAGUUAAUACACAUUCUCCCCAGAAAAUCAUAGGAAUACCUGACUGAAAGAAUAGUGCUCUUGCUGUAUUAAGUAUAUGCUGAUGCUUCCUUUCAACCACAGAAUUCUGUUGAGGGCAAUUUACACAAGAAAACUGAUGUAGAACUCCUUUCUCUUUAAAGAAAUCAGUGAAUUUGAAUUCUGGAGCAUUAUCAGAUCGCAUUUGCUUGAUUCUUUUACCAUGUUGAGUUUCAAUGAGUUUGAAAAACUGAGGUAUGACAAGCUUGACAUCAGAUUUCUGUUUAAGCAUGAAGACCCAUGUAAAAGGAGUAGCAUCAUCUACUAUGGUAAGAAAAUAACAGUAUCCAGCAUGAGUAGCAGUAGACAUAGGACCCCAGAUAUCAACAUGAAUGAGAUCAAAAGCAUUAGAAGACAAAUGAUUAUUUGAAGGAAAAGAGAGUUUUCUUUGUUUUGCUAAAGGACAAGUAGUACAAUGAUGAGAAGUAAGAAACUUCAAUUGUAACAGUAAGGAUUUCAAAGUCUCAAUAGAGGGAUGACCAAGUCUUUGAUGCCACAAGGAGCUGUUAUCAUUGGUGACAGCACAUAUUGAGGAAUGUACAGCAGAGGAAUUUCCCAAGUUGAACACAUAGAGUCCAUAUAAAAGUUCAGCACUGCCAAUCUUCCUCAAAGUGAACUUGUCCUGAAUUAUACAAUUGUUAGUGGAGAAACUAAGAUUAAUCGGUAGGUCUCUUGUCAAUGCACUCACUGAUAUAAGAUUGAACGAAAAUUCAGGAAUAUACAGUACAUUCUUCAGCUCUAUGAAUUCAGAUAGUCUGAUGGUACCAGCAGUUUUCACUUCAAAGACUUGUUUGUUAGGCAAUCGAAUGGUCGUGGAGCAAGGUUCCAUAGAUGUAAAGAAAGACUUGCAGCAAGAAAUAUGAGUGGAUGCUCCAGAAUCAAUUAUCCAUAAAGGAAAUGAACAAGUGGUACCUGCUAUAUGUGAGGUGGUUCUUUGAUUAGAAGCAUUCAUCUGGGACUGAAGUUGAUUGAGAAGAUUUUGACAUUGAAUCAAAGCUUCUGCAGUGCUGCUUGCAUUUACCAUCUGAUUGGGUUGUACAGUAGCUUGAGAUGUGUUUUCAUCAUUCUGGGUUGUCACUGAAUUAGCCACAUUAUUGGCUCGUUCUUGCUUCGUCUUGUAUCCAGGAGGAUACCCAUGGAGCUUGUAACAUUUAUCCACCGUAUGAAUCUUACAAUGCGUGCACACAGGUCUGUCUUUCCUCUGCCGAUUCAUAGAACCAUUCUUAGAUGGGUUCGAAGCUACGGCAAAAGCCAUUGCUGAAGUUGUGGAAGAAAAAGAUCCAAUUGAUCUUUGCUGUUCUUCUUGAGAGAGAAAAUGCUCGGCUUAUUGAAGGAAGAGAAGAGGCUCCAUAAGAAGGAGUUGUGCUCGAGCUUGAGAGAAAUUUUCAUUGAGUCCCAUGAGGAAAUCCAUAAGGUAUUCCAUUUGAAGAAAGUCUGCCAUUUCUCUUACACCAUCACAGUUGCAAGCUCCACAGGUGCAAGCUGGUCUAUAUGUAUUUAGUUCAUCAAUGAGAGUUUUGAAUUUAGUAAAAUACAUACCAAUGGAAUCUUGGUUUUGUGAUAAAGUCGCAAGAGAUCGCUUCAACUGGAAUAUUCUUGGUGCAUUUUUCUUCUGAAAUCUCUCCUUGACUUGAGGUCAACCCAAAUAGUUCUUGCUGAAUCCGAGAACAAAAUACUUGCUGAGAUGGGUUUAGAAACAGAGUUCAGUAUCCAAGAAAUAACUAUGUUGUUAUUUCUAAUCCAAGCCGGAAGAAGAUCGCCGGUUGGUCGGGUAAUGGUUCCAUCGAUGAAAGCAAUUUUGUUCUUCACUGAAAGACCAAUGGUCAUUGCUCGGCUCCAAGAAAGAUAAUUGUCUUCAGUCAAUUGCUCUGUGACUAAGACCAGAUUUGUGUUGUCGUUGUGAUGAAGAAAGUCAGGAUGAAAAUAUCCUUGGCUUUGAUCGAAGUUUGAGCAGAAGUAUCAGUUUGGCUAGAAUGAAGAUUUUCUUGGUUUUCCGGCAGGUUCUGUGAAGGGUUGAUGGUCGGAGUUGUCAUUAUGACAAUGGGUUUCAGCGGAAGACGAGGAAAAGAGAAAAAAAGAAAUUUAGGAGGAAAGAGGACGCUCUGAUACCAUAUCAAACAAGUAUUUACAGAAUGCUUGAACUCAAACUUUAUUCAUCAACAAGGAGUGAUAUUUGGUGGUUGGUAACAAGAAAAUAACAGAAAUGAACAGUAAUGAAACUAAUGAAAGAAUAUUGAAAGUAACUGAUUUAGAACAGUAUUAAGUCUAAUAAAAAGGAAUAAAGAAAGAGCUCAAAAGGAGGCUAGAAGGCUCAAAGAAUGAUCGGAGUGGAAUGAAUGAGUUUCGGUCUUUAAUGAGACCGGAGCUAGGCUUUAUCGGUAUAGGUUUGGAAGGUUUCAGAAGAGGAAGGUGAAAGACUCUCCGCAAUAUUCUUUGCACCUCGCCCUCUUCUUUAAAAUAGAGUUCAUGACUUGCGCUCCUUAACAGUCGCUUCUCAACUCAUAUUAGAUCUCGCCUCUCCCUAUGGUCGUCCGGAGGCAGGAAAAAUAGUAUUCAUCUUUGCGCCUUGCACUCCUCGCAAUAUUCUUUGCGCAUCCGGUCCAUCUUUUCUUUUAUUUACUCGCGCCUUCGGACCGUAGGACGAGUCUUAUUCCACAGGUGUCUAAUGUUUCUGACUCCUUCGGUCUACAAUAUCCCUGUCUUAUGGAGCGGUCAAUGAAAUAUGAGAAAGAAUUUGAGAGGCGCAACUUAAGGACAUAGACAUUUGUGGAUUCUUCUUAAUCAGUUCAUUAACGAGAAUGAAAGAAUCAUUCUGAUGUUCAUUGUACUCCUUCAUUGAUUUUGAGAUUGAAGACGGAGGGAAAUCCCGGAAAAUGCUAGGUUUUGCCCAUAGGGAAGUAGCAAGAAAAGACAAAAAAUCAGUCAAAAUUGAUCUAUUUUCGUUAGAUAAGAUAAGUCGAAAAAGUCACAUUUAGAAGCAAAAAAGCCGGGAAAUAGCAAUUCAAGAAUCAAGCCUAUAAAAGGGAUAAGAAAUUCAGACUUCUAGUUUGAGUUUAUGGUCCGGAUACUGACAGGUCUAUUCUUGAUUUCACUCCAGGUUAUGAAAGAAAAAUGAUGAUUUCAUUCUCGUUAAUGAGCUUCUUUUCUUGACUUUUCACAGGUCCGAAGGACCCGUCUGUCCGAAGGACGGGAUUUCAGACUAGUUGUAUACCACCACUGAUAUGAUAAAGACCAGAAUAAGCGAUAUUCACUGGGCCAAGAGCACCACCUCGAGUAAAAGCUUCGACGGCCGGUUGACCAGAUCCCAAAUUGCAUGAGCAAUAGGUCUGACAUGUAAAGGGUCCUGUACCCAUGCUUCAAAAUUUCCUUGCCAAGCUACAUGAAACAGAUUUCCGGAAGUCCACAGAAAAAUUCUUGCUAAUUGCCCGAAAUGAGAAGCAAAAAGAUUCUGAUAAAGACGUUCUUCAGUAAUAUCAUCAUCAUCAUGACUUUCGAAGUCAUGCGCGGUAGCAAUACCAAACCAAAUACGACGAGUAGUGGGGUCCUGAGCUAAGCCUUGGCUAAACCUUGGAAAUCUUAGUGCCAUAAUGCCUUUCAAAUCCUCCUAGCCAUUAUCCGACUGCAAUAAUUCUUGCUAAGAAGAACGCCCAUGUUGUGGCAAUUCCACCCAGAAGGUAAUGGGUUACUCCUACUGCACGUCCUUGGACAAUGCUCAAGGCUCUAGGCUGAGUAGCAGGAGCAACUUUGAAUUUAUUAUGAGCCCAAACGAUGGAUGAAAUAAGUUCUUGCCAAUAACCACGCCCGCUGAAUAGAAACAUUAAACUAAAAGCCCAUACAAAAUGAGCACCUAGGAAAAACAGGCCAUAUGCAGAUAAUGAAGAACCAUAAGACUGAAUUACCUGGGAUGCCUGUGCCCAUAAGAAAUCGCGAAGCCACCCAUUAAUAGUAAGAGAACUCUGCGCAAAGUUUCCUCCCGUAAUAUGAGUUACUACCCCUUGUUUGCUAACAGGUCUCGCCUAAUAGAGUCCUCAAAUCACAGCUACAUUCCUCUUCCCUAUCGGUUGAGCAACUUGGAACCUACUAUUUGGAAGAAAGCCUAUCCUAAACGUCUAUAAACUGAAUUCCUCUCCUUACAGUCGAGCCGCUUUCGCUCCUCUCCUUACAGUCGAGCCGCUUUCGCUCCUCUCCUUACAGUCGAGCCGCUUUCGCUCCUCUCCUUACAGUCGAGCCGCUUUCGCUCCUCUCCUUUAUGUCGAGUUGCUCCGCCUCUCUCCGCUCCGGUCCUCACCUUGAUUUCAGUUGGAAGGUGGGCUUUCUUCUUCUUCUUCUCACCUUUCCUUUCUCUUUGGAAAUGCAGCAAAUUCAGAAGGCUCAAAGAAUUGGAGUUGCAACAUCCCUUGCCUUGCUUUCGAGCCCAAGCCUACUUUCGUUAUAGCUUGAGCGCAUAAGGCUCUCGUACCAAAUCCAAGGUGUAUAAGCCUAGACCGAAGGGAGGAUAAGAAUAAGGCGCCCCCCAUCUGCUGCAUCUCUUUCAUCCGUAGCUGAGACAAAAGGAUAUGAAUCAACUCUUGAAGAAGAAGCAAGUCCAUUACGGAGUGCGGCGGUACCCCCUUUCGUCGGCAGCUAGAGAGAUAGGCCGAGCGCAUGCGCGGGAAAGGAGCAAAGCAGCUUGACCCGACUAAUUAAGAGAGCAAAGCCACUUUAUCGAGUUGUAGCGGGAAAGGCAGGAGAUCCUCUUCCAGUAAAGACAUACGAAUGCAGCUUUCUCUUCAGAAUAAGGAGGAUCGCGGAUAGAACGAGACCGGUAGAUAAUAACUCCUCCACUUAGAUUAGAGGGUCCGUAAGGCUCCCAGUCAGAACCACCAGAGUUUUUUUACGACCAAGAAGAAGGUUAGGCCGGAUUAGGCGAGGCAUCCGUCCCACGUAGCGGUUGGAAUCCCGCUCUUGUGUUGAAAGGGAUCUUUCUCGGCAGUAGUGGUCCUGAGACUGAUCGAUGUUGUUGGGAGAAUUGAAUUUUGAUCCGUCUUCUUCCUUUUAUUUAAGUAGGCGAGGCUCCUUUCUCGUCUUAUGACUUUUGUUUGAGUGGUUUGUUUUCUAUUUUCAUCAGUUCCACGCAAUAUUCUUUGCACCUUCGCAAUAUUAGUUCCAUUAAGAAAAACAAGUCAGAAGGUGCCAUAAGGGAUAUUCUUGAGUGGCUCCAGCUUCUUAUUUGACGCUAGGCGCAAUUCAAUAUGCGUUGUUUGCGUUCCGCUUAAAAAAAAAAGAAGAAAGAAGAGAAUUAUCCGUAUUAAUUGACUGGAUCUUGUAAGUCCUCCGUCAUAUGGAUAAAAAUCAGUCCUUCGGCCUAUGGUAGCCAAAUAGAAUUCGACGCUCCGGAGGCGCAAAGCAAGCCCACUCCGUAUUAAUUGACUGGAUCUUGUAAGUCCUUAAUUUAAUAUGGAUAAAGACUCAAAAGGAGCUUGAUUUUCGCUCAAAGAAAUAUCCUAGGCUUGAUUCAUGAAAGCUAUAAAAGCAGAGCGCAAAGAAUUUGCGAAAGGCUCCAUAAGACAGGUCCGAAGGACUAUCCAUCAGGAAGGCUCAAAGAAGAGAAUCAAGGCGGCAAAGGUGAAUAUAAGGACGAGUCGAAAACAAGAGGUAUUUCGACAGCUUGUUCUCCGUUGAUAGUAUUUCAGUCUGGGAUUCGCCAGGAUCUGGGCAUAGGCGGCCGCACAUGCAACCAUACAAGGUUGCCACGAUCCUCUCCUCCUGUAAGUCUUCUAAGCUAAGCAGGAAUAGAAGUUUCAGGGCAUAAGGUGAAUUAUCAGCCAAGGCCUGUCUUCAUUAGUUCAGCUUCCCGGAAUCCGGUUUCCCAUUAGGAUAAUGGGUACGUUAGCUCUUUUUAGAAAAGUUCAAUCAUAUUUACAAUCUAGCCUGCACUCCUGCCCAGUAGGGUGAGUAUCGCAUGAAUAUAGCCGCCGCGCUGCUCCCUUUCAUAUUGGGUCUGCGCUCUUCGCAAUAUUCUUUGCGCCUUGUCUUUCUCUUCUGUGCUUUCUGGAAGCUUCGCCUUCCAGUAAUAUCUCGUUUAGCUCGAACUUUCCCCAGAGUUGACAGGAGUGAACUAGCAAGAAGCUAUCACAAAGUAGCGAGAGAAGAAGUCUUAUCGACUUAUAUCUUGUUCAUACAAACUUCUUUCUUUCGCGGAGAGAGAGGGGGAAGAAUACCCGUUCUUCUUCUUAAGCUCUUUCCCCGUCGUCCGUAUUCUAUUCAACCUUGUAAGUCAAAGAGUCAGCAACCCCACCAGUCGUUGUUGCCGUUGCUGAGUCGAUCGGCGGAAUCUGAGGUCAACUCUUUCUUCAGUCGCUUUUCUUGUCUUUUUCUCUUUCAUUCUUCCACGAAUGCGAAGUUGCCGCUGAGUUGGCCGAGUAGGGUAGGUCGGGGAAUCGGGCUAGGCCCGAUUGACCUUCUUAAGUUCUUUUAGUAGCUUUUCUCGUUGCAGGAGUAUCGGUUUCAGCUUCAAGCUUCUAUGAGAAAUGUCUCAACAAGAACAGCUACUGCCGAAACAUCUCAAUCAAAAUCAAGCGGAAAUCUCUCAAAUUGCAUUGAGCCUGCACCCUCGUAAACUCUUCCUACUGAAUUACCUUUUUUCAUUACCUUCCUUUGUCAAUUCCUAGAGAAAGAGCCUGUCUCGGAAGGGUCCCGUAGAACGACCUUGUCCGUAUCUUUUAAAGGGAAGAGAGUCAGACUUCCUCCAGUUUCUAGGAUCGGGAGCUAGACCUGAGGGGACCGAGGGCUCCUUACCUCUACGGCUGACUAUCUCAGUUCGAAUUCUUACCCGGCGGCUUUCUUCUUUUUAGUCUGAUGAACGAGAAUCAAGGCUCAAUGUAAUAUGAGUUGAGAAAUCCAUUAUUUUUGGACGGGUAGAUUCAUUCACGCAUAUUGAAUUGCGCCUCGUCCUUCCGCGCUCCGCUCCUUUCGCAAAUUCUUUGCGCCUCAAAAAAAAAGAAAGAAUGUCCAUCUGAGUCAGAAACCGCAUCUUUGCAACCUUUGGGAUCAUGACGGAUAUUAUUGGAAUCAGACUCAAGAGGAGCGGUCUUAAGACUCGCUUUAGCGGAAUAACUCCGGUUAAUAUGGAUAGUCCUUCGGACCUGUCUUAUGGCGCCUCCGGUUCCCGCAAUAUUCUUUGCGCCUAACUACGGGGGUUCAGAUGACUUUCAAUAUUUUGAAAGGAGUAGGCGUAGUCUUCUUCCAUUGAAUCAGCGGGUUAGCCCAAUUGUAUGGACGAGCCGCUCUUCGAUAACUCUGAUGAUUGUACCGCGUAGUGGGUCACUUUAUUCAGUAGAAAGAGAAUAGUCAUUUUUCACUUUUGGCUAUAGCUGGCAGCAAGAAAUAGGGGUUUUCAGUCAAAAAAGAUCUUUUAUCGGCAUCAAAUUUUCGCAAUAUUCGAUAAUUCGCAUAUUUCAUUGCCUGAAAUUUUAAGGAGUCUUAAAACGGAGGACGAGUCUGAAAUCUGGGUUAAUAUGGAUAGUCCGGAGGACCUAACUACGGGCUCAAGAUGAGAUUCUUUCUUUUUGCCGGUAAAAAAAGCUUGGUCCUUCUAAAGAAAUAGGAUGAAUGUCAAUAUUCAAAGAGCCUUUCUUUCUCUCUCCAUUUCAUGCGCCUCAAAUUCUGAUCGCCAUUCUUUCUCUUCUUUCAGUCGUCCGGAGGCGCAAUUCAAUAUGCGACUUUGAACCUCCGGACUGUUAAGGCGCAAAGAAUAUUGCGACUGCCGGAGGACGGAUAGUGGAAUAAGACUCGUCCUCCGCGGUUCAAUGAACAUCCAUAAAUAAAUAGGGGGUUUUGCAACUGGAUGAAUUUGAAUCUCUCGUCUGAAGUUCAUUCAGAAAAAUCUCCGCGGUUGAGUCCGUAUCCUCGCUCUCUCACUGAAAGAGUCCUUAGACCUUAUUGGGUUAGUAGCUUAAAACUAGGUCUCGUGACGAACCAUUCAUUAAGAUAAGAAUAGGGUUGGCUGAUACCGAGAGUGACCUCUCGAAAAGAGAAGGAACUCUCAUGCAUUCAAUGUCUUGGGUCGAGUGCGAGAAUCCUACGUCCGAUUAAUUGGUAUUCUCUCAGUCCUUGGGUUAAGUCAAGCGGGCGGCUUCUCCUUCUAUCUAAUUAUUAGAUUCAGACGAAGAUGCUCUAACCGCGUAGUGGGGUCGGAAUAGCAGCUGUUAAUGGAAUGUGGGAUAAAGGGUCCAAAGCCUUUCUUCCAGAACCUUUCUGACCCUAGUUGCUGAUAUCCCACGCAAGGGUAUAUCGUCUCCAUGAAGAUAUAGUGAGAAAUGGGAAAAAGCGAUGCUAUUUCAUCUGGCUUGAUAAGAGCCAAUUCCACUCAAAAAAAGGAAGGGGGAAAGACUGAAGAUGGCUAAGCUCGCAUGCCUCAUCCAAGAGGAGAACUCUCAACAACUUUAGGACUGCAGGGCUUAUAUACAAUAGAAAGAAAAGGGGGGGAAAGGGCAUGAAAAAAGAGCUUCAAAAGGGGAAUAGAAUUGGAUGAGCUUACCAUUAUCAUUACAUUAGACUAGCACUCCGACUAGAUAGGCUUUUUCUCGAAAUGCAGCGGGAAGAAUUCGUCAACCUAACUUCGAACCUGCUUUCCUACAUAGAACGAAGCCAGGAUUCAAGCCUUAAGCGAGAGACUAUUCGCUGGACGGCCAGUAUUGAUGGGAGUGUAGGAAAGGUCCUACAGGAAGGGGGUCUCGAAAUUCCCGAUAAGAGGACAGGAGAUAUCAUCUUCGCUCAUCGGGGAAAUCUUUCUUAUCUCAACGAUAUAAUUCGCGAUCUGGGGGGGACUGGACUGAACCUCAUGGUUUUUCAAUGAGGUGAUCGACUUCGUGCUUGGAUCUUAGAGUGUCUCUACCUUCCAAAAGAAGAUGGAAGUUUCUGAAAGGUGAAAUCAAAGUGCUAAAGCACGAACCCCGGACAAAUCUCUUUGGAUCGAUAGAUCUACUUUAACAUUUGAAUUUCUCUGACAUUCUACGUUCCCGAAACGGAUCCUAUCAAAUAUUUCACAUUUUCUAUGAUCAUCUCUAUUUUAGGUAUUCGGGGAAUCCUCCUUAAUAGACGAAAUAUUCCUAUUAUGUCAAUGCCAAUUGAAUCAAUGUUAUUAGCUGUGAAUUCGAACUUUUUGGUAUUUUCCGUUUCUUCGGAUGAUAUGAUGGGUCAAUCAUUUGCUUCAUUGGUUCCAACGGUGGCAGCUGCGGAAUCCGCUAUUGGGUUAGCCAUUUUCGUUAUUACUUUCCGAGUCCGAGGGACUAUUGCAGUAGAAUUUCUUAAUAGCAUUCAAGGUUAAACAUCACUCCUAGAGAAUUACCAAAAUACGAAGUUCGAAUCUCCUUAGCACAAGCACUAAGUAAGCAAGCAACCUCUUAUGUAGGCGCCAACUCCAAGUUCUUUCUCUUCUUUCUUUUUGAGUUUAGUGAGAGUUCAUCAAAUUGUCCUCCUAGAUCGAGCACGCGAGGCGCAUAGUCUGAAGUUCAAGGAAAGCCGCCGCUUUCUUUACUAGAUUUCGACUACUUUUCAUCAAUAUUCUUUGUCAUCUGUCGCUCGCAAAUUCUUUGCGCCUCCAUACCAUACCUUCCCUCUUCUUUCUUUGUGGCUUCUUCAUCAUCUUGUUCCAUCCUUCUGGUUCGGUAGGUGUCCGGGCCUCCUCAAAAAUCCUGAAGACAAGAAUGCUGGCUGCUUUCACAUUGUAAGAGAUUGAACCGUCUUGCUCUUGUGAAGACUGAUCAUAAGUGGCAAAACGGAAUCCUCAUGUCCAUAAGCUCUCCUCUCUGAAGUUAUGUCUAAUAAGAAUAGUUAUGAACACCGAAUAAGUUGAUAAGAUAAGAAGACCAGCUAAAAGGAAGGAAAGAAGUUAUGAACAACGAGAAAGUAAAGAGCUGCUAGCAAGACUGGUCACCGCUACGUGGGUAAGAGAGAAUGAAAGAAAGAGAGUUAUGGAUCGGCCUCAAUGAACAAAGCCUCAAUGAGUGAAAAGAAUAUUGACAAAGAAUUUGAGUUCUUAUUAUUCAUAAGAAAGGGAAAGAGUUUGAGAGUCAAUGAUAAAGGAGAGGGUAGAUAUAGGCUCGACCGCCCCGUGGGAGGGAAGACUGACGUCUAUCUCAUGGAUCGCAGAAGUUCUAUACCCGUUCAGUCAUCAGACGAAGAGGUUGCGGAUCUUGCAGUAUCCUCCCCUGUUUCGGCAUCAAGGGGAAGAGCUCUCCCAAUAGAGAUAGAGAGAGGCCUCCAUCAAGGCAAUUCCCCGUAAGAGGUCGUCCCGGCCGAGAGAAAGGCUGGCAGUUUCCGCAGAAAAGGAAGCCCACGUAGCACGCUAUCCUUGAGACUGUUAAGGCUAGGCGUAAUUGAGUGGAGAGUGAGUUUACGAACGAGUCCAGAAUAUAAUAGAGAGGCGCCGUCCUCUCGGCUCCUAGGGUAGCUCGGUAAUGAAGGUUCCAUCCACGCUAGGUUGCCGGAGACUGGAGAGCUUAGUCGGGUAGAAAGGGAAUAUGUCUCAACUCCUGUUGAGGAAGAGGAUGAAAUCCCAGUAUCUGUCUCGGAAGCUGUCCCAGUUUCAUUAUCCGUCUCUACAGGAAGAGGCGGACUUGGACAGUAACCUCAACAAUAAGAGCUUCCCCAAAAAAGAUAAAGAGGUUGAAGCCCCGAUCGACUGAACUUAAUACUGAAAAUAGGAAAGAGGUGAAAAGAAUAUGGAAUUGAGUCGAGUUAGUUUACGAAGGAGAAGGUGAAAAGAAUAUUUCAUCCGUGGGUUUAUUUACCUGUAUUUAUGGUUCAUAUUUCAGUCAUUUACCCGUCCUUUGCCUUUGGUUUGCGCCCCAUAUUAAGCUACGGAGGCCCGAAGAAGAAAAAGAAGGUGCGGGUGCAGAUGCGCCAUAAGACAGGUCCGAAGGACUAUCCAUUAGGGGAUUGAGAAAGAUUAGACUUUAACCCCCGCGUAGUGGGCCUUUUUCCCUUUCCUCUGCCUAUGAGAUUGAAUUUUGAAAGCUUAGUAAGGAUAAGUAUUUACUAUCCUCUUGACUGAUAGCUCACAUUCCCGACAAAAGAGCAAAGAGAACUGCCCUUUCUAUCUUUCCCCCUUAACGGAAUCGCACCUAGGACCUCUCAGUCAUCAUACUAGGGGGAGCCAUAUACAUAUUCGAAAUCAGAAAAGGGCUAACUUAGCAAGAAAGCAGAGAGAAAGGGUGCCCUAAUGGAGUCAGAGCGUACGGUUAGGAAGAAGCAAUUCCCUACUCUAUUACUAUAUAUAUAGUACACUAUUCCCCCCUUUUUUUUGCAGAAGAUCUAUCUGUUGCUGGCGGAAGGAGAACGGGGAACUGAACUGGCCAAUUCGACUGGCUAAUGAUGUAAUCCUCUGAUUAUAGGAAGCGACUUGGGGUAGCCAUCCAUGCGAGAUUGUGACUGAGCUACCUUUCACCUCGCAUUCAGGGACCUUUUUUUUCAUUUACACUAAGCCGUCUUAUAUUGAUUUCCGAAAAGCGAGAAAGGGGGGCUUUGAGUAUGAAACUUAGCACCUCAUUCCUUUGUUGGGAUAAUUUACUCCCUUCUGACUCAGCCAAAGGAUCAAUGGACAAAGGCUGCAUUCAGAUUCGGUAAGUCUGAUAUUAUUUUCUCUUGUCUCCGCUCUGCUGAAAUCAUCAGCUGUUCCAGUAACCGGUGCUAGUGGUAGUAGGAGUUCUUGGUCAACUAUCAUUGGUGAUGCAGAAGAGGAUUGAGGGAAAAGAGGAUUACAAUCAAGCUAGUAAGGCAAGGUGCCCACUACGCGGGGGUUCAAGUUUCAUCUUUCUUUUUUGCACUCCUAAUGGAUAGUCCUACGGAUAAAUCCUCCGGACUCCGGACUAUCCAUUAGAACUUUGACCCUCUCCCUAUGGUCGUCCGGUUUAGAGUCCUUCGGACGUCCUCAGUCCUUUCCAUUAGUAGUUAGGAGCUUUUCAUAUUGCGGAAAAGAAGAAAGGCUCAAUGCAAUAUGAGUUUGAUAUCCAUAUUAACUUUUCUUUUAGAACUCAAAUUCUUUGUUCUUUGUUCGCCUCUCCUUUCAGUCGAGCCUUUGUUUUUGGAAAUUCAUGGAUAGGGCUUCAAACCUUUAAGCCUUUUUAGUAGGUUUAGGAGAAGGAGACUGAGGAAGACUUAGUAGGAAUAGGAGAGGCUAUAAUAUCUCAACUAGGGAUAGGAGCUGGAUACUGAGUCUGAGUGAGGGAUCGAAAGGGGAAAGCCGCUCUGAGAAGAGAGAGGGGAAGAGUCAUUCAAUCGUCAGAAGAAGGCAGAAUAGGGCAGUCUAGGCCUCGUCUCAUUCAUAUGCUUUCCCGAGUAUUCUCUCUUUCCUUAGCCCCUCCUAUAGUCAGCAAGGGAAUUCUCCUCAAUAGAAUAUGCUCGAAAGCGUAGAUAGAAUUCUCGUAUCUUUGAGUAGGAGUUUACGAGUAUUUUAUCUUAUUCGUUAUGCAAUAGACCCCGAUAGGGAUAGGUUAGUUGUCCUCGCAGCUCUCCUAGGAUCCAGGUCAUUCUUUCAUGAGUAAGCUAGAAGCGAUAACUAAGAUAGAUACGCCGGAAGCAAGGUAACUGAAAGAGGAAGCUGAAGCUGAGUUGACUCGGGGGGUUAGGGUAGAAGCUACUUUCCCCAAUGAGUCGGAUUCGGAGCUCAUAAUAAUAAUAAUAAUAAGCGGAAGACUUCCGAUAGGGCGAGGUUAGAAGGAGUCCCGCCUCUUCUCUUCCGAAAGUUAGUGGAGGUGGAGCUCUAGCCGAGUCAAUCUAUACCUUAAUAGCUCAUGGUACGCUCACAUUUUCCCUUGGCGACGUACUAAACUGCUAUCUUUCCUUGGAAGUAGAGCAGCCCACCUCUAACCCAGCCGAUUUCUCUUCUUAUGCUUCAGCCGAUCCAUCCGAGACUGAUUAGUCUUUCUCUUCCUGGCCGAGAUUCGGGCUUCCGAGUGAAGGAAGGGAGUGAUCGAUCUCUGAACCUAAUAAAUACUGUUCAAAGAAUAUUGACCUAUCUCCAACUCACUGAGGAAAAUUCCUCUCCCUACGGUCGAGCUAUUUCAUUCCUCUCCCUACGGUCGAGCUAUUUCAUUCCUCUCCUAAACUCUAUCCCUCAACGGAAAAUACUCACUUCAUAGGCUUCUCAAAUUCUUUUCACCUGGACCUCUUCCUCUGUCUUUUCUCUCUCCCGCUACGUCCGAAGUCCGAAGGACUGUCCAUAUGAUAACCUUGCCGUAGGUCGUUGAUAGUCUUUCUAAAGAUAAAAAAGGGCGGCUCCUUCGCACCUCUUCCCCAACUUGCCAGUCUCGACUUUUCCUCAUUCUAUUCUGAUGAGAAUGAAAGAGCAAGGGCACGGACCAGGCUGAGGCAAGGAUCCGAGGAACUUUCCUUCAUCCAGUAUGAAAGCCAAAGGCCUAUGAGAAGAAGAAGAAGUUCAUUCCUUAGAAAUAUAAAUGAGAGCGAAAGCGGCUCGCUCGCAAUAUUCUCAUGUCAGUGGAAGGCAAUAUUCGAUAAUUCAGGCUGAGGCGGAGGAGGAGUUGACGGCUCGCCUUAGAUAGGAAAUAGGGGGAGAGGCGCAAAGAAUAUUGCCCAUGGGCUCGACUGAGAUGGACGGAGGACGAGGCGCAAAGUUCGGUUAAUUACGGAAAGUCCUCCUUCGGUUAAUUACGGAUGGUCCUACUUCCAUAUGGAUAGUCCUACGGAUAAGAAUCCUGCGGACUCCGGACUGCUUCCUUCCAUAUGGAUGGUCCUACUUCCAUAUGGAUAGUCCUACGGAUAAGAAUCCUCCGGACUCCGGACUACUUCCAUAUGGAUAGUCCUCCGGAUAAAUCCUGCGGACUGCGGACGUAGGACUGCGGACUGCUUCUAAUGGAUAGUCCUACUUCGGUUAAUUACGGAUGGUCCUACGGAUAAAUCCUCCGGACUCCGGAUAAGAAUCCUGCGGACUCCGGACCCUGGACCUUUCUUUGAUGGAGGCGCAAUGAAAUAUGCGGCGUGAGAAGCAAGGUUUUAAGUGCAACUCAACCUACUAAAAUAAAAAGAACCUAAAAAAUACUGUUUUAAGUGCAAGGAAUGAUAUUAAUCUUUUACAUAGUCUUUGAAAACUGGAGGCAAGGCAGACCAGUUUGCUCUUUUCAAACAUUAACAUGCGAAGCGAAGCAUUAAAAGAAGAGAUAAAUAAAGAGUUAAGGAGCGCAAAGACGCAAUAUUCCUUGCGCCGGAGGACUAUCCAUAUUAAGAAAGACUAUUACAAACAUUAGUAUGGACUAUUCCGUGCCUUUUUACAUAGUCUUUGAAAAUCAUCAACACCUCCGGACGGAGGCUGGGUCAGGAUAGGUAAAAGAAUAUGCUCGACGGGUAAAGCCUUAAGCAAGGCAAGAGGUAAGCACUACACUAUUGUAUAAUAGGUUGAGUUUUGGUCUCCCUCUUGAGUACCCGCCCGGGACGUCUUUCUUGUGCCUGUACUGCCAAGAGAAGGUGCCCCAUAUAGUUAACAAGACUUCUCCCGUUGCCCAGUUUUCCCGGUUUGGGGACACUGCCAGAAUUAGAUUAUGAAGAGUGAAAAGCGAGAAAUGAGAGGGAGGAAGGAAGUCGAGACCUCCCACGUAGCGGUAGAGGAAGGAAGCCAUUUCCAGCACGAGCCAAUCGAGAAAGCCGAAAAAGUAGAACACUUUCCGCACGAAAGGGAAAAUUCAGAGUAGAAGGAGUUGAAGAGGAAGAGCAUAACCGAGCCAAUUCAGAGCUGACGCGCGGGUCUUUAUCCGAGACAGAUGUAGACCCGAAGGCUCGACCGGCCGAGAAGAAUCCCAGUUUCUAGGGCGAACAAGUAGCUUAUUUGUCCAAAUUCAAUGUGUUAAGCAAAUGAGAACUACAAAAAGUCAUCCAUUCAUUCUUUGUCAAUAUUCUUUGAACCUCCUUUCCUUUGGACGUAGAAGGACUUGCGCUUGCACUCCUUCAGAGCUCUUUCUCAUAUUACAUUUCACCUUUCUUUGUCUUUUAAUGCGCUUGGCUUCUAACAGUAUUUAUUAGGUUCUAUUAGCCGUUUUUAGGUUUGCAGUCUCUCUUCUUCUCACCCUAUUUAGUAGUAGGAGAUGUAGUGCCUCUACUUCCCUUUCCUUUCUUUUCUUCAGUAUUUAUUACUCUGGCUUUUCAUUGUCAACUCAUCUCUCGCUCGCAAAUUCUUUGCGCCUUCUUCUCUGCGAAUUUUUCUAAAUCAUAAUUGAGGGAGCAGUCUUAUCCUAUUUUACUCGCUAGGCAAAAAUAGAUCGCACUACGCAAAGCCUAGACACAAAGAAAGAAAGUGAGAACUCAUAGGGUUCGGGGUCGGGAGGAAUAUGGAUCAAAAUCAGUCCCACUAUAAAGAUAGGUUUUUAGUUCUCUCAAAUUUCAUUGAUCCUUUGACGCAGUCCGCAGGAUUUAUCCGUAGGACUAUCCAUUAGAAGCACCGAAAACGAUUAAAAGGGAGAAAACGACUCAAGAGGAGUGCUCCGUCGCAAAUUCUUUGCGCCUAAUUAGUUCAGAUAGACAUUCUUUAUUUAGGAGGCGCAAUUCAAUAUGCGAUUGCGUUCCGCUUAAAAAGUCUGAUUCCGAAAAAAAGCUGUUAAAUAGCCAAUAAUAUCCGCGCGUAGGUGCCACAGGGAUAUUCUUGAGAAGAAUAUUGACAAGACUGGUCCGUCCUCCGGACUCAAGGAUUCCGCUAAAGUUUAGGGAAUUUGACUUUGUCUAAGAAGAGAAAACGAGUCCUUCGGACGGAGUGCAAGGCGCAAAGAAUAUUGCGAGAGCCUAACGUUCUAUUCUAAUGGAUAGUCCUACAAGAUCCAGUCAAUCAAUCCGUAGUGCUUUCUUUAUUUCGUAGCUUAAUAUGGAGCGGUCUCGCAACAAAAGAAUAUCCCCCAGUGAAAAUCUUCUUUCUUCUUGGAAGCACGCCUUUAUGUUCGGACUAUUGCGGGGGAAUAUCGAUAUCACCGCUCACAAAGUAGGGAUGUUCCAACCCAUUAUUCAAAGACCUCUUUCCCGAGUCGGAAGCUCUCUUAUUUCAGACGGAGGAGUCUGACGCUUCGCGCCUUAUUCGUUGACAGGAAUGCACCACCCAUUUUAUCAUGAUGGAGAGUACCGCUGGCUCCUUACCGAUCUCGAGCCUGGAUCUUAUUCAUUCAUGAAACCGAGACUGAUGAUUCUGCCUUUGAACCUGUCUUCCUACCUGCUCUGAUUUAGAAAUCUGGUCAAUCUGGGGCUUCUGACGAUUACUCUUCCGCCGAGACGGACUCAGAAGGUGGUUUCCGGUCACGGUCAAACCCGGGAAUCAAGGUAUUGAAUUUCUUCUAGAUUUUUCUUUGGGGGAGGACUACUCGAAAGGAGAGAGCGAGACUGACUGACUUAAUAGGAAAUAGGGAGAUAAAGCCAGAGGGUCCUCUGUUCUUCUAGUUGAUCGGGGCGAAGAAGCGAGAUUGAAUUAAUAGGAAAUAGGGGGCGACCGAAUGAGACAGAGAUUGAAGGUGAAAAGAAGAUUUCGAAAGGCAUCCGUCCCAGUUGAAUAGAUAGAAAGUGGAAGAAGAAUAGAAAGCAUAACUAUCAGAGUUAGAUUGAUUGAGUAGGAUCGGGGGGAUCGGAAACCCUCUUUCGUCAAUGUCCCCUGAACCUGAAGUAGCGAUAGGCCCAGGACAGGAGGAGUUAUCCCUCUUUCUUCAGUCAUCCUAUUCUCCCCGAAGAAAGCCCCUACCCCUAUUUCUUGUCUUUACGCGGAUCUGCUGAGUUAUUGCUGUUAGGCUAGUCCCAUGAAGAUUGGAAUACGAACAUUAGUCAACGGAGACUUCUCCCGAUUCCUAAACUAAUAAUCAGACGGAUUCUGCCGACCCAACCGCUACGUGGGCCCACUCCGAUCCUCUACGUCCCUACUUCUUAUGGCACAACGGAUGACGCGCUUCCAUCAUGAAAUCAGUCUUUUGACUCGAGACAGCGACUACUGAAAUUCCAGAACCUCACUCACUUGCUUACUCUUUCAGUUCCCUUUGUUGACUCAUUAUCUCAUACUCGGGAAAGCAGCUUCCUGAAACUCUGUCUCGCUCAAUUACGAACCUCGUCAACUCAGUAUAUUCAUACCUCGGGAAAGCAGCUGAGCUCAAGACUCGAUACCUGCUCUCCACGCGUAGUGGGGUCGAGGAUUGAAGUGAUGCUUCGCCCUUCCUGCUGCUUUCUUGUUCUGGCUCUUUUUCCGCUGCUCCUUGUUCUCCUUAUCUUAAUCUUCUUCGACUGUUCUAGGUUCUUGCUUCGCUUUGUCCUAUUCCCCCUCUUCUUGAGUGGAAGGGGUCCGGGGAAGUUGAAUAAGCAGUUUCAUGAGAAAAAAGCUCUUUCUCUUGUUCUGGCUCUUUUUCUGCUUCGUAUGCGUCUCUCUCUUGAUCGGAAAGCAUCUCUCCCAUAGGGAAAACUCAUGAUUUUCUAAUUCUAUCAUUUUAUUUUCAUUAUUCAUAUUCAAAAGUGAUACCUCUCUCCCCCAUGUAGCGGUACUCCACGAAAGAAAGAAGUUGAAAAGAAAAUAGAGGUUUAUCAAGCGUCUCGUCUCUUCUUUAAUAGACUAGUGAAAGAAGCGCAUCUUUCUUUCUGAAAGUGAACCAUCGCUUGAUACUCUUUCUUAAAGACCUUUACCAAUGAAUCAAAAUCAAGAAAGGCGGCCGAGCUUUAGUAGUUUGAACCGCGGAGGGGGCUCAGGAAGCCAGAAUGAAAUAAGUUACUACUUUUUUUUAGGGGCGAUGGAUAAGCGCUGGCUUUGAUUUUCUCAAAGAACGUGCUAAGAAGAAGAGAGAGGGAUGAAAUAGCGAGACCAUAGGGAGAGGGAUGAAAUAGCGAGACCAUAGGGAGAGGGAUCCAGCUGCUCAACUUUUUCUACCUGGAUAGUUCAUGCUUUGUCUUUCUUCUCCUGAGAUCAAACUUUCUACUAAGUUAUACGGAGACCGGCUCCUCCUUCUACUUAAUUAUUAAAGUAAAGAGCACCCAUAUUUGACGGUCCUAUCAUGGCCUCGCUUAGUUUAUUUAGGGGAUUAGGCAUCUAGUUUGAGAAAGUAAGGAAAAGAUCGAUAGACAAGGCUAAAACUACCGAUAUGAAUAGUUCUUCAAAGACGAUAAAAAAAAGACUUUCUUGUUCAUGAGCGUCAGCCUAGUUCAUUGGGAAUCUUUGCUUGAUUGAUUCUAUUAAGCUAGUUCCAAUCUCGUUCAAUUCUCAUUGAGUUCCAUUAUCUAAUUUCGAAAAAUGGAGAAUAGAAUAGUUGUUCAAUUUCUAGUUCUCUAGUUCAUAGUUCUAGCUUGACUCAUGGAUCACUUUCCGCAACAUAUCAUUCACCAGCGGAUCGAAGAAGACGAACUUAUACUUCCCUGGAAGAGUGACUCCUUGCUCCUUCCUCCCUUUCUUUAGCUGCUACGGGACACCCACCCAAACCAACCCAGGAACUUCCCCCCUAGCUUAGUCAACUCUAACCUCUUCCUGAGAAAAGAAUGAAACUGCUCAUUCACUGAAUUUCCCCGUCAUUAAAGAAGUUCCAUUAUCAAGCUAGAACUCAGAAUCAAAGGUAGAGGUAUGCUCUUGAUAGAGAGAUUUCGUAAGAGGAAGAAGAAUCAAGGUAAUUUUCAGUGGAAAGAGACAGAACAAGAGGAAUCGGCAGCUAGACCCGACCUAUUCAUAUAAAAAAGAGAGUGGGAGAGGGCUUUUCUAUCAUACUUUCACUCUGGGAGAGACUGAAAAGCCGUCAGUCUGAGGACCCGUUUUGAUUCCAGAGUCAGCUAAACCCGAUUGACGAGACCUGAGGGGAGCCGGAUCGGCGUCUGGAGCAAGAAGAUCUGACUCCCCCUGAACUUUUCCCUUCGAGACCGCGGAGUGGGAUUCUUUGAGCCUUCUUAAGCUGCUUUCGGGUAGAGAAUGGCGAGACCUAGAAUAGAAGUGAAGCAUGAGAUGGAAGAUAAAGAGGAAUCCGUCGAGCAUAUCCUUUCCAGAACAGUAUAAGCGAGGAAAUAAGAGGACGGAUAGGGCACCAUAGAUUCCGUUGGCAACGGGCCUCGAGUUGUCUUAGCCCGAUAUCGACCAAUCGCUUGCCUUGCCUCUUCGGCUUCGCCUUGCCCUUCUAUCAUAGCCUCUCUCCCUUCUUUCUGCUCGAGCAAGAACCUUUUUGAUUUUUAUUGGGAUUGAUUUGUCUAUAUAAGGAGAAGUCUUUCACUGACCUUCGAACCUAUCCAUGAAAGACGAGAUGAGAGGAAGUGAGUAUUUGAGCAGUUUCACUAUGCGGUCUAAGCUCUUCUAAAUGUGUCUAAAACCAAGGAUGAACAUUUGAACUGGACUCUUUGAAAUUCCUUCUUUUCUCUACAUUAUUGUCAAAGGUCUUGAGGGACCGUAUUGGCGCGAGACGUUUAGAACCCCGGAGCUCGAAGAGCGGGUGGCGUAAAAUCACUUGAUUGAAUUUCAUUCCAUACCUCCCAUCUACCCCUGAAAACGUAAACAAAGGAGAAGAAAGCAAGCGUCAACAGCCUCAACUCGAAGAAGACUCCCUCACGCAGGGAACAAGCCAUAAAGUGGUCUCUCGACUUCAUUCCUCAACAGGUAAGGUUCAUUCUCCUUGUGUCGAAAGGCACCCAUUAUGCCGAGUGAGGUCUUGAUUUUCAUGGGACAUAGGAAAUUAUACCUAUGGGUAAAGGACAGCACUGGGCCGCACCACGUAGUGCGGAAGAUUGUCUCUCCCGCUUCUUCUUUGAGAUUUUCAUGUGAAUUCAUGGGUUUACUUGUUUUUCUCUCAUGCGUGAAAAGAAAGAAAGAUGGAACCGGGUCCUUGAAAUGCCCAUAUUUAGAGGGGAGCUCAGGAAGAGGUUAUAAGCGCUAUCAUUUAUAGACCUCAUUCAGAACCAGAUAGGAGAUCGGGGCAGGAAAUAAGGAAGCCACUAAUUAUGGAAGCGAGUGACUAAGGGGUAGAAAUAAGAGAAAGAAGGCUUUCAACCACACGUCCCCUUGGCAUUCACGGAUGGGUUAUGUUUCAAUCCUUUCAGUCAAGAUCUUCUAUCCACUAUGCCAGUGGCGUACGACCUUCUGUGCUUUAGAGUGAAGGUCUAGAGCUCUUUGACUUGAUUCUCCCUCAUCAUUAUAAUCGUAUCUCUUUUUUGAUUUCUUCCUUUUUGCAUGAAAGAGGAAUGUUUUAGCUCGACCAAAGGUUCUUAAGUUCAAUAUUUAAGGAGUACGAGAGGAAUAGGUUUCAUUCUAUUCAGCUGUCCCAUAGGGAGAGGGUAUCACCGAGAAUACGAGGUAAGAGAGAGAGUUUGAAACUCUCACAGAUCGUCUUUCUAGUCUCAGAGUCACUCAAAUAGCCGUUGGCAGCUGAUAGGGAAAUCCAAUAGUCAUUUUUCACUUUUGACCCCCUCCGGUCCUCCGGACUCAAGAAUUCCGCUAAAGUUUCUGACGUAGGCUUCUUAAAAUAGUGAGGCUCAAUGCAAUAUGAGUUGCGAGACAGGUCCGAAGGACUAUCCAUUAGGGGAUGAGAAAGAUUAUACAUUUUUAGCUUCUUAAUCAGUUCAUUAACGAGAAUGAAAGAAUAAUUAGGAUUGAAUCACCUUGUUUUUACGGAGGGAAAUGCUAGGUUUUGCCCAUAGGGAAGUAGCAAGAAAUCAUGAAAAAUCAGUCAUUUUUCGACAAUUUUCGUUAAAUAGAAAUCUUUGAUUUAGUCCUAUUUAGAAGCAAAAAAGCCGGGAAAACGCAAUGAAAGAAGAACUCCUAGGACAGGGAAAAGAAAUUCAGACUUCUAGUUUGAGUUUAUGGUCCGGAUACUGAGAGGUCUAUUCUUUAUUCCGUAAAAAGAAGGUUAUUCAAGAAGAAUGAACUCAUUCACUCGAAUUCAAUCAUAAUUAUGAUUUCAUUGUACUCCUUCAUUGAUUUGGAGAUUGAAGACGGAGUGAAAUCAGCGGAUCUGGAAGUUUUGACCUUAAUUACGGAGAAGAAGGAAGAGCGGAUUCCCCGACAAAAACUAGUACACUAGUACCAGGGUCAAAGAAUUUGAGGAAGAGCUUUUUCCUUUGGACUAGAUUUCGAUGUUGUUCUAGAACCAUUAACAGAGGAGACACUGAUUUUCUUUGAAAAAGGGCAAGCGAACCCCUGAACUUUCCACUUUUUUGCUCCGCCCCUUAUACUGACUUACCUCUUGUACUUACCUCUUCCUUAGACUUUCUUACCUGUUGUUGGGCUUCGCCCCCUUAUACUGACUUACCUCUUGUACUGUACUUCUUCCCCUUAGACUGAUUGUACUGACUUACUUCCUUAUACUGACUUACCUCUGAGAUCAUUCUUUGCCCCUCACCUCACACUGAUUCUUUCUUUCCUUCCUCUCACCUAAGACAGAAUGUAUACCUUUCCCUAACACAGACUUGCGCAAUAUUCUUUGCACCUCCUGCUUAAGACAGAAUGUAUACCUUUCUUUCUUUCCUGCUGUAGGGCUUCGCCCCUCACACUUGUUCUUGCUUUCCUGUUGUUGCUGUAGGGCAGAGCCCAUCAUAUUUUCUUUUCUGAGCUGACUUCUGAGCAAUAUUGCGCCUGCCUCUGAUACUGAUUCUUUCUUUCCUGACUUACCUGUACUGUAGGGCUUCGCCCCCUUAUACUUCCUCCUUAUACAAUACAGACUUCCAGACUGACCUCUUCCUCUUCCUUAGAAACUUUCUUACUCUUCCUCUUCUCCUACUUUCUUUUGGUUUUUUUGGGGUAGGGGUACUCUGGAGCUUCGGUUUUGCUAGAAGUCAGCCGAGUUUCGAAAUCUUCUUUUCACAUCUGGUCCCUUUUAUUUUGUUGAUUGCUCGGAGUUACCAUUAACAGAGGAGACACUUCUUUGAUUUCCCAUGCCUUCUACGGUGGCUUCGCCCUGAACUUUCCACCUUUCCUGCCUGUUCUGCUUUCUUUCCCUUCCUCAAACCUAAAACACAAAGUAUACCUUUCUUUCCUGACUUACCAGUACUCUUAACUCUGACCUGUACUUCUGAACUCUUACCUGUACUGUAGGGCUUCGCCCCCUUAUACUCCAAACCUAGCCUUGUUCAUUUGCGCCUAGACGGGACGGAUAGACGGAAGGAAGAACGGAUUGGUUUACGCCGUCACGGAUGCCUAUGCCCUUUUAACGUCAGUUUUUCGUACUUUGAUGAGCCUAAACAUAUAAAUAAACUUCGCCCCUUCCCCUCGUCAACUCGGUAAAGCUGCUUCGCCCCUUCCUUGAGUCCUUUUCCUACCGCUACGUGGGUAAUAGGUCCGGCUUUUCUUUUCCUUCCAUCUUUUCUCGCUGCUAACUAAUAGGUCCGGUUCUCGCUAACUCACUAACUAACUAAUAAAUAGGUCCGGCCUGUAGUCCGGCUUUUCUUUUCCAUCUUUCAGGGAUAUCGAUCCGGCUGCCUCUAUAUAUUCUAUUCUUUGCGCCUAACUACGGGAUAAAGAAAUAGACAGUAGUUGGUAGUUUACGGCUCUUUCCGCUACGCUCCGCUUCCGCUCCAAUCAAUGAACCGCAAUAUUCUUUGCGCCUUUGAUUGAAUCUUGGACUCCGUCUCCAAAUUUGCACGACUGAUAAGUCUGGUCUGAUCAACUGCUAAAACUCUCUCUCUCCUUCUACACCUUAAACUAGGUCUCGCCGGUCUACUUUUUGAUCUUCUUCUCUCCAUGAUGAGAUCUUUUCUUCUUUCAAUUCGAACUCAAUGAAUCAAGAAUGAGAAUCUUUCUGUAAGUCUUAUCUCUCUUUGUCUUUCAUUCUUUGUGAGUUCUUUUCUUCUUUUCUUAAGUAAUUGCUUUUAGUCAUGAACGAGUAGGCGAGAUCUAAUUGAGUCGACCCACUACGCGGUGUAGAAGGAGAGGUUAGAAGCAGCUUUACCUUAAUUAAGGGAGAGAGAUGAGGCAGAUCAAAGGACGACGGAGAGUUGUCCCAAAAGCCUAACUGAUCCCUUUCUUGCUUGAAAAGAUGAUCCCGUCACAUUCAAACCCGGGAUUCAAGGUGUAGGGUAGCUUUCUUGUAGACCUAGAGGCAGGAGCAGAGCCUUACGCAUCCUAAUUUAUUGACUUUCAUCUUUUAAGAAAGUAUGAUCCCUUACUCAUCAAUCGUCCGCGCUCACUCUUAAUUAUAGGGGAGGAUGAUGAGAUGAUAUUGGUGAAGGAUCCCAGACAAAUCCAAGAUGAGAAAGACAGAAAGAUUCCUACCUUCCAUUAUCAAAAAGGUCAGUAAUUCAAGAUCAGUCUCGGCCCCGUGGGGGCCCAGGCAUAGUUAGCGAGACUGGGAGUCAGGAAGUAUCUUUAUUCAUAAGUCGAGGCAUCCGGACUAUGAGAAGGAUUUCCCCGCCUAACCUCUUCUUUAUUUCAGCUCCGGAAGAGUUCUGGAAAGGGAAGGUUAUCAGAAAGGAGCCCUUAUAGUAGGGUGAAGGAAGUCGAGAUUAGGCUCUGAAAGGGGAAGGAGAGAGAGAGAAGUCAGUUCUUGAAGUUCUACUAGAUUUUAUGCUUCACAAAAGAAAUACGGAUUCCUAGACCUAAUCCAUCAAUAAGUAAGGUAGCAGAAUAGAGAGGCACGCUCGUGCACGCGCUAAACUCCACGAGGCGGACGCGCAGAGGCAUGAAGAAGAAGAAUGUGUCCGAAUUCGAUGAAGAGGCGGAGGUCCGCGCGGCUGGCUGAGAAGUCAAUUUCCUUCACCUUUUUCAGUCAGAAAAGCCCACGUAGCGGUUGAGGAAGAUGCAGUGGCAGCUGAGGAAGUGGAAAGAGAUUGAAGAAAGAGUUUAGGAUCUCGACGAUCAGAGGUUAUGGAAUAGCGAGACGGAGAGGAUGCCUCAUCAGUCGAUCGGGAUAAGCAUUGAGCCUCAUCUCUUUGCCAAGGCUUAUAGCGAGCCUUUCUUUGAACGAGAAAUCCUUUUCUUGUUCUGAGCUUGAUCCAUAAAUGAAUCACCGCCAGGCUUCAGGCCUUACUCAAGAGAUCGCAUGAAAGAGCAUAACUAAACUAAGCCACUGAAGAAAGAACUUCUGCUACCGCCUCCGCUACAAGAGCUGAGCUGAAACUGGGAAUGAAUACUCUUUCUCUUCUGCCGAGCCAGAUGUCUUCCCUUAUUCCGAAUUCCGCAAAUUUCACAUAAUAUCAUAGCCUUUCAUAUUUUGCUUUCCGCAAAAAAGUAUUAUGGAACGGAUGAAGAACCGAAAAGUCUUUUUUCUAAUGGACCUGAUAGUCCUUCGGACGUCCGAAGGCGCAAAGAGAUUAUGCUGAAGGAGGAGCUAUUCCACAAAAAAUCAAAGUCAUGAUUACUCAAAGAAUUUGCGAAUCCUACUACGCUUUCCUUGCCGUAGGUCUUUUUACUUAAGACAUGCAUUCGGAGAAAGCUAACCUACCAUUGAAUUGAUUGAAUAAUUAUUCUGUGCUUCGUCAACUCAUCUGGAGCUUUGAUUUUAGGUACCAGCUUACUUUGGGUCCUCAAUUGGAGCAUCACCUUAAGGGUGAGCCAGUUCAGGACCUGCUUGCUUAUGAUCUACAUCACCGCUUACGACGAGGUAGACUUGCACCCGCGCGGGAAAGGGCCGCAUAUUUGCCAUGGGCCCGAUCACAUUUCUCAAGGUCCCAUUGAAGGACUGCUACUCUUUUUCUUUCUUGCAAGGGGGCCACUUUCAAUAAUGAAUAAUAUGAUGGUCUUUUGGGGUCCAACCAUGUCCACUGCGAUCGUCGACCUCACUCUGGGCCUUAAUCUCUUCUCCACCGCGGGGGAGUCCAUUAUAGGCUUUGUGUGUGGUCAACCCCCACGGAUUCAAUCUUCUUUGAACCUAUUGUGCUGGGCACUCUUCUCACUAUCCCACCAUUUUCUGGUGUGGUUAGCGGCAGAGCAGGUUUACCCGAACCAAGGGCCUUUCACCCGGUCCACCGUUGGGCUAUGGACCUUCUUCGGUCUAUCAAAGCCGUCGCUAACAAAUACCAAGAAUGAUGUAGGAAAUUCUCGUAACUAUCUAUCUUUUUGAGUCUCCGCUGUGAUACUGGAUGCUUUGAGUUCGCCAAGAAAGAAUUUCUCACUAGUGGGAAAAGGGAAAAGCAAGAUGAAUCUUUCCCCAGUCUCAUUGGUGGAUUUGCCUUCCGCCAGGUCCAUUCAAGGUCUUUGUCAGCUCAGUCACCCAUACUCUGUUACCAAUUCUUGAGACUGGGCAGCCCGUUCUCGACUCUAUUCCUCCAAGCGAUAACGAAAAUGGGAGCGCUUGUCCUACCCUUGCCUAUCGGUUCAUCUAAAUUGAAAUUACCCUUGCGGGGUAACCCGAUCAAUCCCUAUUUGAGGGGGCGGAUAAUAGAGAUCUUGAGACGGGAGCUUAAGCCGAAAGAACUGAGACUUGCUCCAUCAGAGUUCUUCACCAGUGAUAGUGAUGAAAGCAUGCGUUAGUAUAUAUACCCUUUACCGAAAUUGGCUAAAUAAAAUAGCUGGAUGGGUAAAGUGCUAUGCUUUAGUUCUGAUCCUUGUCCCACCAUUGCAUCACUCUUUUCUUUUCUUGAUGCUCCCAUCAUCGGCACGAUGUGGAAAGUACGAGAUCCGGACACAGAUCGGAUCAAGUAUGGACUGAUUUUGAGCUCUUUUCAUAUUCUACACAAGAAGAAGAAUUUCAUUUUGAGUCGAUUUGGAAGGAAAGCCUAUCAAUGAAAUUCCAUAAAUCAGUCCGACUAUCCUACUAGGUAGGGGGAUUAGCAAGAAGGAGCUCAGCAAGCGAUUUCAUUCCCUUUUCUCGCCAGUGAUCGAGAGCUUUCAAGAGGGGCUUUCAAAUGCGGAGGCAAGACCACUUCUGUCCCCCGUCCGGAGGACUUAUCCACUAAAACGAAAUAGACUUUUCUUUUACCGAUAUGUCUUGGAUUGGAUUAAGAAAAAUGCUUCCUGCGCAUAGACUAUUACAGUCUUGCCAACGAACCUCCUUUUGAUCUUGAUCUUGAACCAGCUAUCUCUAACUUUCCUGCUGUCUUAACUGAUUCAUUGCCCAGAGCAAGAGAGUCAAGCAUAUCGCAUAUCAUAGUAGUUAUGGGGUUGAGGAUCAAUGAAAAAAAGAAAGAUUCAACGCUCCCCGCAUAUUGAAUUGCGCCUUCGGACCGUCCUCAGUCCUAUCCAUAUUAACCUGUGACGCCUCCGGACGGAUAAAGAAAGGUGCAAAGAAUAUUGCGUCAAUGAACAAAGGUUUAAGGCUGUCCGCUACGCUACGCUUCCGCUCCUUCUAAUGGACCAGUCCGAAGCCUGAAUUAUCGAUUUUCGGUUCAUCUUUGAAUUUCAGAUUUCUUGCGUUCCGUAUAGGCCCAUUUCUGACUAAACUGGCAUUUUCUUCAUUUUAGCUAAUAAAAGAGUCCCAAUCACGUCACGGGAUUUGACAACAAAACUUGUGUCUCGCCUAUGCCCCAAACCUAGUAGUGGGGUUUUUCACAUUUAAAUGGCGGAUGGGUCUCGGGUCGGAUCGUCCAUACGAGUAUCUCCGUCAUCAGUCACUCUUUGUGAAAGAGGGCAUAGUCAGUCUCACGUUCUUAUUUUAUUCUCAAUAGGGGACGUGGUCUAAGGCCAAGGAGAGGUUCAAAUCCUUCUGUAUCCCGGUAAUUAAGUAAGAGGCCGUAAAACAUCCCCGUAUUUCCGUGCAGAGGUUAGAAUAUCUUUGAUUUCUAUUCCGAUUAUGAGAAGCGGCUCUAGCCCAAUGGUCUCAAGAUGUCCCAUUCCGGAUGGAUGGACGCGCCUAGCAGCCGAGUUGGUGGAGUCAUAAGUCGAUCUUUCAUCAUAUUGAUCGAAGAAAUCCCUCACUCAAUAAUCCCCAUGAGACAGAUCUCGAAGGGGUCCCCCACUCCGCGGUUGAGGAUUAGGCAGCUGGAGGUCGGGUUACUGAACCCUGAUUAUUUAUUGAAAGACAAAAUUCCCACGUAGCGGUAGAACGAGACUACUCAAUCAGUUCUGUCUCCACGACCAAGUCCGGCAUACCUACUUACAUUCCGAGUUUGAAGAGGAAAGGUCAAUAUUACUUUCCGAAAAGAAAGGCUCAUACAAUAGGGAAAAAGUCCCCACCAAGAGCAGAGGAUCUCUACCAGGCAGCUCAAAGGCGCAUGAAUAAAGGACGGGUUUACCCAUUGUGGGAAAGGCGCAUAUUGCGAGCUCCAGAUGAGGCGCAAAGCAUAUUGCAAGCCCACUCCGUAUUAAUUGACUGGAUCUUGUAACCCCUCCCCCACGGUGCGGUGCAAAGAAUAUUGCGUGGAACUGAAAGGAGCUCCGCGGGCUCGGGUUUCAGGCGAAAGGCGAGGCCAGUGGCAUCCGUCUCAGUUUCCGUGUCAUAGGACUAGGACGCCGAAGCAGUUUAAGAAGUAGACGUUGGUCCAGCAGUUGUUCGCCUUGCAGACUAAGCCGAUCGUCAGGCCUAAUGCCUUCUUUCUGCAUUUCUUUUCUUCCCAACUUGAAAGUGAACAAUAAAUAGAUAAGCUUUUGCUUGACCUAGCCUCCGCUUAGACCUAAAGCUAGAAUGAAUAAGCAAGAGUAGUUCAAAUCUCUGCAAUAUUCAUUCUUUAUAAGCUCCACUGGUCGCCGAGUGGGAUCGGGGUCGGUAACUGCAAGCAAGAAGAAAGGGAGCCGAGUACCGAUCGGUUAGAGUAGCUUCCUUCUACGAUGAUUUGGUGGCAAAUGAUGCUGAUUUGAGCACCUACUCAGAUGAACAAGGCGCAAUAUUGCGAGGCGCAAGAACACCUUUGUAAUACAUAAAUUGAACUGGCUUUUAAGCCAAUAGAAUAGGCCGUGUCCUGUCCGAGAUUGUGGGUCGUACCUGGGUGAACUCCUUUGGUCUUGCCUUCAGACCCACUAAGUUUGAGAGUCUCAAAAGGAUUACCCAUAUCGAGAAAGGGCCCGUGCUGGUACCAUUGAAGAGUCAAAUCCCGCCCCUCCUUCAUUGCCUUCCGCUCUUUAUUGAGAAAGUUAUGAAAAAGCACUCCUUCUUAGUAAGCUAGCUUCCGCCGCUAGCCCGGAAUCAAUGCUUAGAGCAAGACGAUGGAAUACACUUGCCUCUGCCCCCUAGAAACUACUAUCUCUUUUCUUUAUCCUAUAUUGUCAACCUACCCUCUUAAAGUAAUAGGAUGAAUAGUCCUAAUAGCUAAGGAUAUUCUUUCUUCCCGUGUAGUGGUCCUCCGGACUAUCCAUCAGGGAGCGUAGUGGGUCGCAGUGAAUUGAGAGGAGCGGUAGGCUUGAUCUUUCUAUAGUUAUUCCUAGACUGGGCAAGAAGAAGAGGAAAAAGGCAUAAGUAGAAGAGUAGAAGGACUUAUAUUUUGGACCGCGAUAAAAGAUAGGGGAGGAAUCCCGCUCCGUCUUCCUUUAACGAAAAAAACUGCUUUAUAAGGAUCAUGACUUUGAUUUUUUGUGGAAUAGCUCCUAACGUCAAAUAAUCAGCCUACGUUCCCUAAUGGAUAGGACUGAGGGCUCGACUGAAAGGAGAGAAGGCGCAAUUCAAUAUGCGAGGUCUUAAGACUCCUUUCUAUUUAGGGCAAGUCCGGAGGACGGGGGAAUAUUGCCUCUUUGCGCUUUUUUAAGCAGCUGCAAUCAGAAGCCGGAGGCUGGGUCAAGACGAUGCUCUUUUUUUAGAAAGAAUGAUCGCGACGGACGGACAGGUCUCGCUAUUACAUAACCUACGUUUCGAAGCUAGGUUUUCAGUACUAUUCUCAUAGGUCCGCUCUCUCUUUGGAAUUCCCAGUUUCAUGAUCAGGAUCGGGGAGGAAGAGUACUUACUAUUCUAAUAGAGUAGAUAUGGAGUAUCCCGCCUCAAUGAUUCCCGUAAGCGAGAGGAGCUAUUCUUUCAUUCUGGGUUAGAAUACCAGUUUCCUUUCAUAGGUUUCCCAAUCAGGAUAGGUGUUCAUAACGAAACUGAUUACGGGAGAGUCCUCCUUAGUAGGGUCCCCUGAAGUAGGGGAGUAGGUAACUUCAAUAGUCAGAGUUCCUUCCCGAGUGGGAAGGUAUCAUAAGAAAAAUAGGAAAGAGAUCGGAAUCAGGAUAAGUUGAAGAAGAGUCUGAGUCAGUUCCAACAACAAAGAGGAUCAAGCGGAAGUGAGUAUUCUUUGAAGUUAGUAUUCCCUCUUGAGUCAAGCAAGUAUUAUACAGUUGCGGAAAGCUAGAUGCCAGAGUCAUGAUCGGCCGGAAAGGAGAGGACAAAGUCUCGACCAAAUAGGAUAGAAAGGGCUUACCCAAGCAGCUAUCCAAAGUAGUCCUCCAGCUAUAACUAAGAAGCCUCAGUUGGGUUAGGAGUCUUGCUGCUUAGUCAAGCUCGAACUAUGAGACAUAAUAUCUGGUAGGGUGCGGAUGUCCGUAUAUUCUCUAUAUAGAGGCUUUACCGAGUUCUAGAGUAGGGUAUCAGGGUAUUAUAGAAGAAAGAGGGAUAUCGGAGCAGCUAACCCUUUUCCUCGUGAACUAGGUCGCUACUUCUAACGGGAGCUACUUUCUUUCCUAACCCGGAGCGGUCAAGCUUCAAAAGCAUGUAAGUGGAUCGGAAGGCUAAGGGCGAGGUGCCAACUAACCUUUGUCCCUGUCCUACUCGUCAACUCUGGAUGGAACUCUCUAUCUUUUAGAAUAGCCGCAACUCAAUUCAUUCAGCCUCCGUCUCAUUGAUAAUAACUAAGGAUAUUCUUUCUUCCCGCUCCUUCUCAAAUUCUUUGAUCCUCAGUCGCUUCUCAAAUUCUUUGUCAAUAUUCUUUGAACCUUGUUCUUAAAUAGUGGGACUUCUUAAGAAAACCAUAUUAAUCUUUUGUCGAGACUCGGCGACUAUCCACUUAAAGUCCCGCGCAGCCUCUAUCCUAUGAGGAAAGAGAUACUUAUCCCGCUCCUUCUCCGUCUUCUUGAUUCAAACCUAUAUGAAAUUCAAAGAAAAGGAAAUGGUCAAAUAAAUAUUCUUUACUCUCCACCAGUUCAGAAAGAAUAGAAUUCCUGGUCAUACUCGUUUGGCUCGACGGGAUUUUGAAUAUAGAAAGAGGGUUAGUAGACGAGCUAUAUACUCCGAAGGACGUCCUCUGGACUCGGUAAAAUGCUAUUUUUCAUCUAUCAAUAUCCGAAGUAUUAGGCUCCAUAAGACAGGGAUAUUGUAAGAAGUAUGAAACCCAUUAUAAAAACGACUGUAGGAUCAAUGAGAGAAGGAGUGAAAGAGUAGGCCUUUGCGGGCCGAGGGCACGCGCUGCGAUGCCCAGGAUUCUGUCUGUAUAGCAGAUAUGCACCUUUACCGCUACGUGGGACAUUUGAAAGAGGGACCGAGGUAAGGCAAAGAAUCAAAAGGUCGACUCGGUCUUCUACCUCGAGAAGGCAGGAGGUAAGGGUCACUGAUCCCUUUUCAUUCUGAUUGGCUACAAUAUGCUUUGACCGCACGAGGUCGGACCUAUUUUGACCUCAUGAAACUCCAAUGCAUUCCCAUGAGAGUUGACCAUUACAGAUGAGGAGGAUAGAUAUCUCGCUUUCUUAUCGAUACUUAUUAGUAGCUUAGUAGUUCUCAUUCGAUUGCUUGCCCCACGCCACUGCCCCUUGAUUCCUCUAUUCUAUUUCAGGCACCCACCCUUGUUCAUUGAUUGGAUAAUUUUUCCUUUUCAUAAUACCGGAGAUAGAUGAGAAAGAAUAUAUAUAUAUAAUCCACUUCACAGCAUAUCCGUAGAAGGUAGUAGGAGGAGUCGAUUUGCGCUCAUACUCACUUCAUAGGCUUCGCUUCGCGCCUUGCUUCUUUUUUGAAAGCCGGUUCCGGGCAUCCAAUGUGGAUUUUUUUUCUCUGAGAAUGAUGGUAUACAUAGGCUAUGAUGGACUUCAUUAAGCUUGAAGUGAGGAAUACGCAGCACUUAUCAGAGGUUGAACUUCUUCCUUAUAUUCUCCGGAUUACUCCGUCCUUUAUUUACACCACUCCUACAAUAAGAAGAAAGAUAGAUAUACAAGAGAGCAAGGACAGAGGUUCUAAUAGAUUAGAUCUUCUCCUAGGCUAUAGGACUAAGAGCGGGAGCUGCAACCUAUAUAUCCGAUGCCCUUAUCUGCUUUAUCUCCUUUGGUAUUCUUUUUUUGAUUAAGAAGGUUCAAAGGAUCAAAGUAUUUGAGCUUUGCGCCUAGGGCUGGCCUUCUCUCCUCGUCGAGUAAUGACCGGAAUAUCUCUUCGCUCUCGCCGUAUAAUGAUUAGGAUUAGCUCGAGGCCCCUCCUUCUAUCAUUGGUCCUAUCAGAGUAGAAUAUCAUAUCUCACCCCCCCGGUAUGAACCGGUAUGAAAGGUUCACUUCUACUUUUCUUUUUUUUCACAUAAGGCCUAGCAGACCAAUCCGAUGUGAUCUUAGAGGACUCUACCCAAUCUAAACCGAGGCUUAGUCUGAUCUUUAUCCGUCCUUCUCCUGUGAGCGAGUCCGAAGUUUGAACUUAUUCUAAAGGAGACGGAUUUUUUGAAAGGUAAAAGGCGGAAAAUCCAUUCUGCGCGGAUUUCCUUACUUUCUGAAAGGCGAGUUCUACUUCCGGCUUCUACCAGCUUGAGCCUUAAUUUCGAUUUCCACCCCUUUGCUGCGACUGAGGCUCCAAGCUAAUAUGUCCUUAUCAAUGAGACGUCACCUGGACCCGUACCGGAGGUGCAGAUGAGUUUCAUUACGUUUCGGUUCAACUCACGCAACUCAAAUGGAUAGUCCUUCGGACCUGUCUUAUGGCGCCUUCGGACCUGUCUUAUGGCACCGCUACGUGGGCUUACGAAAAAAGAGAAUUGAGGAGAGAGGGGCCCAUCUUCUUAUAUAUAAGAGUGAUCCAUCUCCGGGCCUAGUCAAGUACCCCAGAAAGGUUUUCUACUUCUGACCGCUCCGUGGGCUUCUGAGCUGCCGAGACAGCCCAUUAUCUAACUCUUCUUCUUCAAGUAAAGAAUGUGUCAACCGAGGCCAGGGAAUGCGGAUGUCUUCAUAGAAGAUUCAUCGAUCCCUACUAGGAAUCGCCCACUCCGCGGUAGGUCCUUUGGGCAUAGGGAUUCGACUAGGAUUCACGUGGGUAGCAUUUUCAUGCGUGGAGCACCGAAAGCACGGGAUUCUACUUUCUUUUCUUUCGUCCUAUCCUAAAUGGGUCUUCGACUAGGAGCUUGAACGUGGAAAUAGAAGUAGGUAGUGGGCGGCCAAAGGCGAAAGCGAAAGAGAUCACUCAAAUUCUUUGACCCUUGUCUUCUUCUUGUCUUGAAAGAAGGGAGAUCUAGCCAAGCCAAGGGCAAGGACUUUUUUCAAUGGAGAGGGAAAUACCAGAAGGAAAGUGAAAGUAGUCCAAGAUCAUAUGCCAUCAGUGGCCAAGAAAAAGAGCAAAAACAAAGGUCCAGAUGAGUCAGAAAGAUUUCCUUAAGGACCACUGCUUAGUAAGAUAGCAGCCAGUGAAAGAGUAUAACUCAAAGACUAAGCAUGAACAUUCGAAGAUGAUCCAUCCUUUAGUUUCGAUUCCAUCCUCAAGCUCUUCAUUCUUUCACCAAACGAAAUGGGUACGAUGUGGAUUAGCCUUGUGCUAACCAUACCGGAAAAUGGUGGGUUAGAGAGAGCCCAAGAGCCAUAGUAGCCCAAUGGUUGACCUGAAUACCAUUAUCAGCUCCAAUGAGAAUUUCCUGAUAUACGAAAGAACUUGGGAAACUCCACUUCUUCUCGAGGUGGUGUAACCGUAGGACUCGUCCAAUGGAUUCCUUCUCUGACUGGCAUGGUAAUGAAAGGGGAAAGAAGGAUGAAAGGGGGAAAGGGUCUCAUAAUUUUCCUAUUAUGGGAGAUAGAAUGCAUUAGAGACCUAUGAUCAUUACUCGGAAACCGGUCACAUAUUAAGCUGCUCCGUCGGUCGUCCAAAACCAAAAUAAUAGUAUGAAUCUCGCAAUAUUCUUUGCGCCUACAUCAAGAUCAAGCCAUGAUUUCCUUAUCACUCCUAACCUCAAUAUUCUUUGAGCCGGAGUUAGGCGCAUAAUAUGGAUUUCAGACUCCGCACUCCUUCCCAGUCGCUUCGCUUCGCUAGGCUUGAUCUUUCGAGAGUCUUCUUCCAAAUCAAAUAGUAGGUUCUGGAGUCUUAUUCCUUGCCGCGUAGUAGGAGUCUUCUUCCUCUCUCAUCUUAGCCUGAAGUCUUUUUUUUAGGAUAGGUCAACUCAUCUGGAGCUUGAUUUUUCUCCUCUGAAGUCGCUUCCCUUCUAGCCUCUCGUUCGCGCUCUUAGCUCUGACUCUUCCUAUUCUACGUCUUCCUAUUUCAGUGUGAGCUACUUUCAUACUCUCCUCCCACGGGGCGGUAGGGUCUCGCCGGGUACCGAGAAUUGAGUUCAUAGGAUUCUUCUUUGAUGAUAUUCAAAAUCUGAUUCUGCAAGCGGAAGAACAAAAAGACUGAUUUUACGUGCAAACUCUUCUUAUCAUCUUUACGGGAAAGGAAAAGCAUAUGAUAACCUUGAAAGGAUAGUGAUUAUCUAGCUUUCCGAGACUUCGCCCCUUGAUGACCCUACGUUCUAGCUUCUUGCUGCUUCCCUCCCACGGGGCGGUCGAGUUUCUGCCUUACCUAUUCUUCUUUUCCUUCUUCUGCUAAUGUAAUGGAUGGAAGUCAAGACCGGGAUAGCAGCUAUACGGUCUCCUCAAUCCGGUCUGUCUGGUCUGGCUUACUCUGGACAGCAGCCACUUCUUGAUCAGUUUGCAUGCUGACUAUUUGGAAGCUUCUGAGCUUUCUCUCUUAUUGGCUAGGCCCAUGAGGGGAAUCUUAGCAGCUUGCUUCGCACCCUUUGUUCAUUGAUCUUCCACUUCGGAAACUUGUAAGGCUUCUAAGAAAGAAUAAGAAAGUAGAUAUGUAGAUAGCAAAGGGGCUAGCUUUCCAAGUCAAUAUUCUUUUCACCCUCUGAGAUUCCCUUUGAAACUCUAUCUCUUUCUAUUAGAACCUAUAAAUAGGAGUGGGAACUGCUGAAACUGGGUUGAGCUUUCAUGAGGAGACCGUAUUUCAAGAGGGACUAGCCUAGGGCUCGACUGAAAGGAGAGGAAUAGUCCUCCUUUGUCUUUAAAGCAUUAUGUUCACCUGGUCCGAAGGAUCAAUGAAAUUUGACUUUGGUCCUUCGGUUUUUUAGUUCCAAGAAUAUCCCUGUCUUAUGCGGCCUCCGUAGCUUAAUAUGGACGAAGAUGAAUAUGGGGAAUCAAUAUAUAAAGAAUAGUCUAUAUAUUCUUUGCGCUCAUUGAUAAGGGCAAUAUUCUUUGCUUUUCGCAAUAUUCUUUGUCACGCAAACAAUAUCCCUUAAGUGGAAGGCAAUAUUCUUUGCGCCUCAGUAGCUUAAUAUUCAGGGGUGUCACGCAUUGAAUAGAUUAUGCUGAAGGAGGUCCGGAGGACUAUCCAUAUUAACCUGGAACUGAAAGCUCCCCACGGAGCGGAUCAAAGAAGAUUUCGAAAGAAUGAGAGUUUUCCUUUUGGAUGAAUUUUCACCUCUCGUCUGAAGUGCAUUCCACUAAUAUUCUUGUCUUCUCUCUUUCUAGAAGCAAGUCCAGAUUGACCAAGUCAGAUUUUUUUUAUGCCUUCCAUUAUAGCAGCCUUCUUUUGGCGCAGAAGCGAGACAUCAAGAUCUAAUCCGGAAAAGGUGUAAGGUGUGUAGGGUGUAAAGUUCUGAUUUCGAAUUCCCCUGAAAUAGGAGCAAAGAAUUUGCGAAGCGUACAAUCUCCAGCUCGAAGUUAGUAUGAUCCCAGUAGUGAGAAGGUGGCUUUGGCGUGGCAAAGCGAGCGAUUGAUCCAGUCAGACGGGGAAGAUCAUUCAUCAGAGUUCCAAGACGUACGAUUUAGUUAGUUGGCUUAGGCUUUACCCGCUCUUUUUGUCGUAUUUUCGUAAAAUAAGUGGUUUUCAAAGUAAUAGCUAUUCAUAGUCAGAAAGUCAGAGCUAUCCCUAAUGUUCAGCUUUGAGCCUCCCUCCAUUAAAAUAAUAGCUAUUCACGCAAUAUUCUUUGCGCCUCCUACGCAGCUUCUCACGCAAUAUGCUUUCGAACGCAAUAUUCUUUCGUAGUUAGGCGAAUAUUGCGAGACCGCGUAGAAGGAGUCUUAUGAAACCUGGACCCUUCUUUCCAUAUGGAUAGUCCUACGGAUAAAUCCUCCGGACUCUAAAACGGAGUGGGCCAUAGAUCUUUGCGCCUUUCUUUUUUCUUUUUCUAUAGUAGAUUAUAUAGUAUGAGAAUGAAUAACUAGAAGAGCUCGUGAAAGAAGAUAAGUGAGUAUUCUCGGGCAGAGGGAGGAAGCGAAGCUGCUUUACUGUACUUAAUAGGAGAGGAAGCGAAGCUGCUCUUUCUAAUGAAAAGAAACUAAUAUUUUGGAUAAACAAGGGUUCAGACGACCGCGUAGAAGGUGCAAAGAAUAUUGCAUUGCCUUCCACUUAAAAAAAGGUAAGCCCACGGAGCGGCGCAAAGAAUAUUGCGGAGAAGAAUUUGAGGAGCAUGAAAUGGAGAGGCGCAAAGAAUAUUGCUGAGGAGUGCAAGGUGCAAAGAAUAUUGCGGAUUUGAAUAGUCACCUCUAUUUUAGCAAGGAGCAAAGAAUAUUGCGUGGAAAUAAUAUCCGUUUUAAGACCGUUUCAGUUAUUUAACAGCUUUUUUUCGGCUAUUUAACAUUUUGAAGCUAAAAUAAUUCAAGGGAUCAUUCAGAAAAUCAAUAUCCCUGUCUUAUGGCACCUCCUCAAAAAGAAAGAAUGUCUCAAUAUCCUUUGAGCCUUGUGCAAAGAACAAAAACAAGGGACCAGAUGAGCAAAGAAUAUUGACAAAGAAUUUGAGAAAUGGUCGUUCUCAUUUGCUUGGGAAAGAGAAUGGGGUGGCGUCAAAUCCCUCAAGGAUGAAUCUCCUCCAUGACUAAAAUCCCACUCUCAAAUCUGAAAUCACCCCUAGGGCUAAAACAAGGGAGGUCCAAUGGGUGGUAAAAAGAAGAAAUUUUCUAUGCUCAGUCGCUGAUUUAGCUAAAGCUUUAGGAAGUCUUUACUACUGAUUUCUCGGUGGAGAAGUUCCGGUUGGCAUAUGCUUACCCCGAUCGGUGACCUAUGUAACUAAACCCAUAUGGGGGAAAGCGGAAUUCCUUCUCAAAAAGGCACACCUAGGGGUACUGGAACUAUAUCAAGGACGCGGAUUGAAGAACAAGACGUAAAGCUAAGCUUUUUCAACAGAAACUGAUCGGUCUUCGCCCGUGGCUCUUGCUUGAGUUCUUUCUUUUCUUUCUGAAUUCACGGAUUAUGUAAGUGUGAAUGAGAACGAGUAAUAAAUCAAAGGUGCGAAGAAGUUCUAGUUUCUAUAUAUCAGUUGAGAAGAGCUAAGCUCGAACGACUUCUUGCCUAUUGGUCUCAAGAUGUCCCAUUUUCUCGUAACCGCUAGAUGAAAGGUAAGACUUGAAGGAGUUCAUUCCCUCAUGAGAGAAGAAAGCCUCAUACAGAUCAAUGAACAAGGGGGCGAAGAGCAGUCUUCACAAGAGCAAGAAUAGGUUGAUCGUAAGGCCUCUCGCCUGUAACCUACGGCAAGGAAUGCUCCUUCUAAGAAGAAAAUCAAAUCAAUGAACAAGUCAAAGGAACCUAAUAAAUACUGGAGGCACUACAUCUCCUCCGGAUACGCCAUAGGGUUCGAAGAAGAUCGACUUAAGUCAAUGAACAAGGGAAGCGCAUUUAUCUAAGAAAGGAUGAAGAUAAGGCCUAAUUUUUGGAAUCAGACUCCUCCUUCAGCAUAAUCUAUGAAUGAUCGGAGCAAAGAAUAUUGCGGAAAAGAAGAAAGGAGUGCAAGGCGCAAAGAAUAUUGCGAGAGUGUCCAGGAUCAAUGAACGAGUCAAUGAACAAGGGCUUGAAUCUUUUUAGUAGAUUUGGAAGGCCUUCGGUAUUAUUUUUAGGCAUUAUAAGGCGCAAAGAAUAUUGCGAGAAUUUGAGGAGGAAAGAAUAUUGCGGAAAAGAAGAAAGGAGCGCAAGGCGCAAAGAAUAUUGCCGGCCUUUGGAAUCAUGACCUUCAAUAUGGCUUUGAGCAAAAAGAAAGAAUCUCAUCUUGAGCCUGAAUUUUCUGACUUAAGAAUGAGGCGUCGGACGAUGAACUUUUCCCCCCUAGUAGGAUAGUCGGACUUCUGAAUUCCACUUAUCAUGUUCCUGCUUGAUUUCAGCUAAUUUAUGGAUUUCUGCUUCCUUCCUUUUAGUAGAUGUUAAGUCGCUUCGCUUCUUCUCAAAUUCUUUCGAAAUCUUCUUUGAUCUCUUUGUAUUUGUAACUUAGUAGGUUCAGAAAACACAAGAUAAAGAUAAGUUUUGAUAAAGCCCUGCUCUGAAACUUCUUUCUUCUCUUCUUUGUCUUGGGAAAGCCUAGCCGGAGAAGGAGCUCCUUCUUUAUUCCUUUUCUGCCUUUUAUUUGAUCAAGCGGAAAUCUUCUUUUCACCUUUAUCUUCCAAUAAAGCAGCAAGUUUGAACGUGUUUCAACUGUCUUUUAGGAGAGGUUUAUACAUGAAUAUCGGACAAGAGCUGCUUUACGGUCGAGCCGGAUUAGUCUUAGUCUUGAUUCCGACCGGGGACCCUAGGCAAAAUCUUGUGCUACUGCCUUCUUAGUUCUAGCAACUUACGAAAGAUAGUUCGCGCGGACUCUCCUAUAUUAAGUCUCGCUUCUUAUCUCAACUGAAAGAACUCUCCCGCGUAAACGUAGUCAACUCCUAUCCUUAUAUUAGCCUUCUAUCCUAUUCUUUUUUAUCUCUCUCAUCACUUUUCCUAAUCUGACUCGAGAUCUCCCUUUGGUCUCGCCUACGUAUACGUUAGAGCAAGACGAGAUAAUCCCAGUCGAGCACUUGCUCUCUUCCGCCGCCGGGGUCCUGUCGAUCCGCAUGAAGAGGGCGAGGUCUCUACUGCUCGGCCAACUCCUCUAUCUCGCACGCAGACUACUGACGGAAAGAAUACAUACUAGCCUACUUCGUCUUUCAUCCUAUCCGAUCGGUCGUUCAAAUCAAAGGAUGAUAAUUGACAUAGGUUGAAAUCUCGCCAGCCGAGUAAUGUUGCCAUUUGGUUAAAGGUUCCAUCACAGGGCAAAAUGUGGAUGUCUCAUUCAUGCCUGUCCCUUUCGGAGAUCCGCUAGUGCUUCUCUCCCCAAACAAGCCGGAGAGUAGGACUAGGUCUCACCGGCUAUCUUUGAUUGGGUUGCUCUACGUUCCAUCUCUGGAUUAGGUUGAUGGAACCAGGUCUCCAUUAGUUUGACGACUUGUGGUGGCCCUCGAUAGAGUGGAAUCGAAUCCUUUGGGUAUAGACGUCCUAAGUGAAAGGGGGAACGUCCACAGGGACUUGAGGAAGAGAAAAGUGUUCUUGGUCUAAUUGUUUCUAGAACGAGACGAAUCGUCACAAAAGGCCACCUCCACAAAAUGUAGUAGAUCGAGCUCUAGCCCAUGACGUAAAACCAAACUCAAAAAAAUACGAUAAUGAGAGAAAGGGACUUUCUUAAGAAAAGGGAGAGACCAAAGAUAAAAGACUAAAGCGAAGAGUGAAUGAGAAGAUCCUAAAGAUCAGGACCGGACGUUAGAGUUGUGGUGUGAGAAAGCGGAAGCAGAUAUGCCGAUGGCUGGAAGGUAGCUACACUCCUAAAAAAAAGCUCAUGACUGGGCAAGGAAGUCGAAUCAAUAGAAGGACUGAAAUCUAUGCUAAUUAAGUUAAGGCAUGCUAGAUACCUUCCAUUCUCUUGUCUCCGGCGAUUAACCUAUUCCAGAGCAGUCUGGUGAUUAGCCUAUCUCGCACUACUUUCAGUCUUCGUAAACUCAUUGUCCGUAGUGGAGGUUGCUGUGAGGAGAUCCUUGUGCCAGUGAAGAUUGCUUCCUGUGAUCGGUAAACAAACCCUAAAGAAGUCGGAAUGGGAUAGAAAUUUCUUUCUAUUCUCAGAGUUGGGAGCGAAGGAAGCUAUCCCGGCCGGAUUGGAUUGACCUUUUGCUUCCCUCCUUUCUUUUGUUAGGAAUCGAUCCCUUCUAUUUUCUUGGUCGGUUAGGUUAGUACGGGGCAUUCUAUUCUCUUGAAGAAAGAACUGUAACAAGGCAAAAGCCUAUCUUUUCUCAAGCUUGAUUCGCAAUAGCUAUCAGUUCAAGCAAGAGAGUCCUCUUUGUUAAAUGGCCGAAUUAGCCACACCCAUAGAAAAUAGAAGGGAUCACAAUCCCACAUUCGGCUCAAGAGAGGCGAAGAAAAGAUCAGAGUCGGCAUUAGCCCCGUUCUUGGAGGAAGGCACUACCUACUAGUAUGGUGAGGUAGUUUGCGAAAGAGCCGAUGAUCGAGCAGAAGUCCAAAAGCCAUCUCGGGGCCUCCUCUGGGGAAAUGUCUCAUCUAAGCUUCUUAGUCAUCAAUGCGGUGAAGGCUCAAAGAAGAUUGAGAAAUCCCGUCCUUCGGACAGACGGGUUAAUAUGGAUAGUCCUUCGGACCUGUCUGUCCUUCGGUCUUAAGACUCCUUCAAAUUUCAGGCAAAGAAUAUUGCGUGAGAGAAAGAUUAGACUUUAACCCCCGCGUAGUGGGAAAUGAGAUUCAAAUGUCUGACGAGGAGAAGAAAGCAUGAUGUUCAUCUGUCGGAUAUUCUUCAAUCUAUGAAAAGAGAUGCUAAGAAAGAAUUCAAGAAAGUCCAUUACUGGUGAUCUCGUCUUGCUUGCUGGGAGAGAGGACGGACCACCUUUUGAAGGCAGAUAGCGAGCGAUCACUCAGCAAUUCAGACUAAAAGCGGCCGAGAAUUAGUACCUAUCCCUUACGGGAAUCGAACCCGUGUCUUCGACAUGAAAAGACGAUGUCCUAACCACUGGACGAAAGGGACCAAAAAGCCAUUCUUCAUAUACCUAGUAGUGGGAUCCGAGAAUAGAAGUCCUUCCUUUGAUUGAUAUACGCAAUUCGACGAUUUCCUUUGUCUGAAUCUUGGCGAUUUCUGAUUCAGCGGGUCCUCCCCCCUUCCACCCACCGACCCAGUGAUAGACCAAGCACCGUCCUUACCCUUAUUUUGAAGUCCCCUGAUCUCUUUCUUUGUCUUUCAUCCCCCUCUGAACAGAAUAAGUAAGGCUUUCUAAUGAAAAAAAGAAUUCGGGCGCUCUGCCUAUGCUAAAGUAAGAAAGAAAGUAGGUUAAGCUUACGAUCUUUCUAUAAAGAAAGGGAGGCGUCGGGCUUAGAAAGUAAGGUCAGCUGGUGUGGAUAAAAACAAGUCAGAAGGCCUAUCCAUUAGAGAAUUUGACUUUUUGCUUUCUUUAUUUCUUGAAAAUCAUCACUGAGCAAUAUUCUUUGCGGAUAUUAUUUCCACGCAAUAUUCAAAGCUCCUACUAAGGUCUGCGGUCAGUCCUUCGGACCAGCUGACUCAGAAAAUUUUCCGCUUUCUCAUUCAUUCCUCAAAUUCUUUGAGCCUUCGGACCUGUCUUAUGGAUCCUAACGGAGGGAGCGGAAGGGAAGAAUCCUUCUCCGACUUAAGGAAGAGAAGACUCCUUCGUCAAAGCCUUAAGGAAUUCAGACGAGAGGGAAGAUUUAGGCAAGGAAGAAUCAGACGAUAGAGGUGCAAAGAAUAUUGCGGAGUUGCGUGAGUUGCCCCACUACGCGGUGCCAUAAGACAGGGAUAUUGUAGAGCGGACGGAUAAAAACAAGUCCCAUAUUAAGCUACGGAGGCCCAAAGAAUAUUGCGUUCUUAAGACUCCUUUCUAUUUUUUUCUUUAUAAGGGAUCAUGACUCAUCAAAUUUCAUUGAUCCUAAGUCUGCAACUUUAGCGGAUUUAACAGGUCGUUUUUGGAAUAACUCCUACCUCCGGCCUAUCCAUUAGAGAAUUUGACUUGCGAGCCUGAAUUAUCUCAAAUUUUCGGUUCAUCUUUUAUCAUCUUGACCUUUCUUUUUCCUAAAAGUAGGCGUCUUAAACCGAAGGACUAUGAAUAGCUAUUACUUUGAACCGAAGGCGCGAAGAAGAAAAAUCAGGCGCGGGUGCAGAUAGACUCGGCUUUCUACCCACGUAGCGGUAAGGAGUGCAACUGAUUAAUGGAACUUUCAAUGAAAUAGUGGGACUGAUUUUGAUCCAUAUUCAAAAACAAAGGUCCAGGUGCAAAGAAUAUUGCGAGGAGGAGCAGCUUAAUUUCCAAUUAAAUAUCGGUGAAGGAGACUCUACCCUAUUGAACCUCAGUCCUAUCAAUCUAUUAUUUGAUUUUGACACUUCUCAAAAAGGAAAGAUGAACCGCCGAGUCCUUCCGCGCUCCGCUCCUUUCAGUUCCAUAAUACUUUUUAUAUUUAACACGGAACGCAAACGAAAAUUGAAUUCAGCCUUAUCCAUAGAUCUUUGCACCUAGCGCCAGAAAAGAAAGAAUCUCAUCUUGACCUCAAUAUCCUUUGAGCCUUGUAGAGGCGCAUAUUGCUCAAUUUGAGAACUAAAAACCUAUCUUUAUAGAAGUCAUCGACCGCCUUUCUAAUUCUUUCUAAUAUUUCAAAAUGAAAGAUGAACCGAAACGUAAUUCAGGCUCCGUGGGCUGCACCCGUCUCAUUGAUAAGGACAUAUUAGCUUGGAGCCUCAGUCGUCUCAUUGAUAAGGACAUCUUUGCAAAUUCAGACCGGAGCGGUUCUCGUUCUUUAGUAGUUCGAUCGGCUACUAGAGACGAGCAAAGAGCCUAACUUCAAAGGAGAAAGUAGGGUAGAAAGAUGUCCCAUCUCGAUUCUACUCUUUUUGCCCCAGCCUCCAGCUUCUUAUUUGACUCCUCCGCAUUCCUUUUAUUCAGAGUAUUUGCACAUGAAAAACCUAUUCCAGCAAAAAGACGCUCACAAUCGAAGCUAAGCUCUCACUCUAUCUUCCGGGAAGAGGGAUUCACUUUAGCCCUUCCUGCUUAGUAUUCAGCGAGAAAUGGGGACAGGCAGGCAGGUAAGCGACCACCCAAUACCUCCUUUCCACGAAAACUUCAACCGGCAUAGGCAAGAGAGGAAGAGGUAAAAGAGAUCGGGUCGGGCUUCUACGAACCAUUCCUAGACUGAAAGCAAAGUUCUCUUAGCCGGCUCAAAUUCCGAUCAACAAGUUGGAGGUAUGGCUGAGUGGCUAAAGGCAUUGGUUUGCUAAAUCGACAUAGAAGAAGAUUCUAUCAUGGGUUCUCAUCCCAUUUCCUCCGGCACGGAAGUGGAAGGGGCGAAAUUACGUGAGAGAAAGAAGGGUGGAGUCCCCCCGAGGACUGAAUAGCAGAACUUAGUGACUAGGAGAUAGAGUAAGUUGCGCCUUCUUUUUCUUUGACCGGCCUAUCCUCUUUCGAUAAUUCUUUCUUUUUCAAAUAUUCUUCAUAGUCCUACAAUAUCCCUGUCUUAUGGAGCCUCAGUCGCAAAGUUCAUUCAAAAACAAAGGUCCAGUCCGACAAAGAAUAUUGCUCAUUUGAUAGGCUUUCUUUUCACACCGUCCGAAGGCGCAAAGAGCGGUCUAAUCUUUCUCUCCGUCCGGAGUCCGCAGUCCGCAGUGCCAAAGAAAGGUCCAGGUGAUUUAUCCGUAGUCCGGAGUCCGGAGGAUUCUUAUCCGUAGGACUAUCCAUAUGGAAGUAGGACCAUCCGUAAUUAACCGAAGUCGGACUAUCCGUAAUUAACCGAAGUAGGACUAUCCAUAUUCAGGAGCGGAAUCAAGAAUAGACCUGUCAGUAUCCGGACCAUAAACUCAAACUAGAACUGAUCCAUGUGAAUUUCUGGGAUAGGCUUGAUUCUUUCAUUGCGUUUUCCCGGCUUUUUUGCUUCUAAAUGUGACUUUCUCGGUUUUCUCUAAAUAACGAUAAUUGUCUAAUUUUGACUGAUUUUUCAUGAUUUCUUGCUACUUUAUAGGCCCAAAACCUAGCAUUUCCCUCCGUCAAAAAGAGAGUAUGGAACUGCCCAUAUUAAGCAAAGAUGUCUGAAAUCUAGCAGAUGAAUUUUGUUUUGAGCUUCUUUCAUUCUCGUUAAUGAGUUCAUUCUGCUUUCAUUCGAGUUAAUGAGCUGUCCUACGUGCCAAAGAAAGGUCCAGGGUCCGGAGUCCGCAGGAUUCUUAUCCGGAGUCCGGAGGAUUUAUCCGUAGGACCAUCCGUAAUUAACCGAAGUAGGACUAUCCAUAUGGAAGUAGGACCAUCCGUAAUUAACAGAAGUCGGACUUUCCGUAAUUAACCGAACUUUGCGCCUUCUUUUUCUUCUUUGGGCCUUCUACGCUUAAUAAUGGGGAUCUGCUCAAUGACAAAGGCGAGAAGACAGGUCCGAAGGCGCAAUGAAAUAUGCGUUGCGUGAGGUGCAAAGAGUUCGAGACAAGACGGAAUUGACUUCUCUAAUUACGAGAUAAUGGGGAGAUUUCUCAUGCAAUCCAUUCGUUGCCUGAACUUUGCUUUGCAAUACCGCUCUGUGGGAAUCAGACUAAUCCGUGUACAAGAAGAGAGCUCUGGGAAAACUCCCCCGAUCUCGGGAACCUUCUGCGCCCCAGCCCAAGCAAGUCAAGCCUCCUUGAUCGACCUAUGUUCUACCUUCAUUCUCGUCCUUAUUCCCUGAAUUGGGUUGAGAAAGCACGAAAAAUCCUCCAUUUGAACAUCCAAAGUAGUAGGUAGGCGGUUGAAUCAGACCCCGAUCUGAAAAGAGGUGUCCCUUUGACGGAGUCACUGAGGGAUGAGAGCCAGAGGAGGCGUGGAUAGGUGCCCAACCGCGCUCGGGCCCACGUAGCGGUAGAAAGAACGAAAGUCGAGCAGGAAAUCCGGCAGUUAGAGGUCUACGACCGAUAGCAAUAGGGUGAGUCGGGUCUUUCUUUCUUUUCUAUAUUCUGAAUUCCAUUACUGAAUUUGAGUCAGCUAGGUUCAAAGAAUAUUGACCAGCUAAAGAAAUUUCCUACUCAAAGAACCGCGUAGUGGGCUGAAAACAUGAAGACUAUUAUUCUCUGCCUUAUUAAUCUUCCGAGAACAUCGAUAACUAAAACCUUCCAACUUUCUCUCUUAUGUUUUGUUUAUGGCGUAGAAGGCGUAGAAGGAGGAUAGGCGAACCUCUUACUAGUAGGCAAAGCAAAGGCAAAGGACGGCUCGACUGAAAGGAGUCAAUGAACAAGGGUCCAAGGCUUUCUCGUUCAAAGCCAAUUUGGCUAAGAUCUCAUUCCCCGAGCCGAGAUAGGAUGAGGCUAACCCUCUUUCUCAACUUCUCUUUCUGAAAGAACCGGAACUCUUAAGCAAGGAAUUAAGCAAGGAAAUAGGUCCCCGAGUCUUCUUUCUCUUUAAGUUAUUGAAUUAGCCCAUCAAAAAAGACUCCACAAGAGCGGACUCAGACUAAAGAGAUCAUGCCGAUCCCACUCCUUCCCCUCAACCUCUAGACCGAGGUCUCUCCUUCUAACCUCAAGAGCUGACUCUUCAUCAAGACCUUCCCGCGUAGUGGGCCGAUUCCCUGCAAGAAGGACCUAACUGCAUCUUCUUCCUUAACUCUUCUUGAUAUCGCCCUUCCCUUAACGGGAUACCGAAAGAAGGACUAAUGACCGGACUAAGUCAACUUCUUAACGGAAACAUAGAAUGAAAGAGAGAAAGAACAAAGCAAAGAGAAGAAGAAAGGGGCACCCAACUCGGGACAGGACAGCAGGCACUACAGGGACAAGAACUUAUGCAAGAAGAAGAGCUCGCCUUUACCGGACGGUAGGGCGGUCUUAGGGGAAGAUUCAGGGAGAGGAGGGGACAGAAGAGGUCUUAGGGGACACCCACGGAGCGGGGGACAUCCUAGGGAGAACAAGACAGCAUAUCAAAACUCUCUUGAUAAAGGGUAAAAGAGAGAAGAACCACAAGAGGAAGAGCUAAGAAACCUCUAAGCUCAUCGGACUUCCUUCUUUCCACUAAAGAUGAACGGAUUCAUUCUGAAAAAUUCUUUGAACCAGAGCUUGAUUUUUCAAGAACUGCUGAAAGAAAAGCCACUUAAGAAAGACAAGAUCCGCGCACCAAGAUCCUCAACCUCUCCCACUGGGGACAACGGGCCGAAACAGGGACCUCUGGUCGGGUCCAGCCAGGUUCUUCGGGGAAUGAGUCUCACUCUCUUUCCGAAGGAGAGCUCGAGCUAAGAAGUUGACCUUCUUUAGGAGGGGACUAAAGCUUGAUCAUUCCUAGCUAGCCCGCGCCCAGCCUUAAUGUGGGAUCUUAGAACAAAGCGCUUCUGAUCUGGGGUCCGCGUAGGAAUAGGUUUCUAGAUCUAUAACCUAUUUUCUCCUCAAAGAGUUGAUGAGCAUCAAAAACUUGGCUAUUUCCCUAUUACAGGAAAAGUGGAUUUUCUAUACUUUUCUGAGAGAUAGAUAAUCAAGAUUUUUGGAGUCCCUCUUUUUCAUUCAAAGUGAGAGCUGGAAUGGAAGAAAAAGAAGAAAAGACGAAGGCAGAACCUACUAAAAUACUAAAAUCCACUUAAGGCGCAAAGAAUAUUGCGGGAGGCAAGGCGCAAAGAAUAUUGCGAAAGCCUAGCGAACGAGAAAAAGGAAGGAAUUGCAUUUUGAUGCAAAAGGAGUGGGAACCCACUAGUAAGAGGAAAGCCUACCAUAAAUCGAAAGACAUAAAAUAGGAUAAGUUCCAUUAAUCAGUCCCGCAAGAAAUUCGUAAAUGAAUCAAUGAACAAGCAAUGAAAAAUCAAGCUCCAGAUGACUUCACCCGCACUGAAACUCUGAUGAACGAUAAUAGGCAGCAGCUUACGAGGUUCUUGCUGUGGUUGCUGGAGAAGUUAGUUUUCUUGAACUGCUUGUUCUAGCAAAGGGCUAGUGAAUACCUCGAAUGAGAAUGCUACCGCUCCGUGGGCUUCGUCCGCAACUGAGAAUACCACUUGAUCUUAGAAAGAGUAUCAGCUUUCUGGAACCUUCUAGAAUCAGAGAUAUUCUACCCAACUCGGCCAACUAAGCUUCAACGGAGGAAAGAAUCAGACUCAUUCUUAGAGUCGAGCUUCUUCCUGCAUUGGUCGUAUUAUUUCCGCUAACCAAUACAGUCAAGCCUGCCGAUUCGUCCUGGAACGACUUAGAUUCUGAGUUAGGAUGAUCUUACCUAUUACGAAUAAGUCGUACCUCACCCUAUUCUUGGAAUAGCUGCUUGGAAUAGCCGCUUGGGAUCGCUCCUUCUUUCUAUACAGGAAAGGAUAAGGGUGGAUGAUAGCAGGGCCUAGCUCGGAAACAUCCCUUUCGAUUUCUAUCUUCAAUUUCAGAAAGAGAGCAAAGCAAAGAAGCUCCGCGGGAAAGCUUUCCACUCCACUUUCUAGUUUGAAUGUCGAGCAGCUUUGCUCAUAAGCCUAUCGCUAUCGGCGCAUAUUCCAACGGAUGGAUUGAUUCCCUUUCCUCUUUAGAUAUUAUGUCCACUGGGACCCGUCCAGAUCCCCAUAUUCAUUAAGCGAAGGACUAGAAAUCCAUUAUUUUUCAUGAGUGGAAUCUGAAUGGCUUUCCCGGCCGAGUCUCAUUCAUCUGAAUUAGUAGUAGGGUCGGUGCCCACGUAGCGGUAUGAACUUAAGCGAGUUCUAGAAGCAAGCUAGAAUACGAGACUGAGCCCACGCGUCUUUUACCUCAAAAAGAAAGGCAAUAUUCUUUGCGCAUCUGCACCCCGUAGAUAGGAGCAAAGAAUAUUGCUCAAGAAUUCCGCUAAAGUUUCAGCUAAGAGGAGCAAAGAAGAAAAUAAAAGGGACCAGAUGACUAUCCAUAUUGCCUCUAGUCUGAUUCCAAAAAAAAGCUGUGAAAUCCAAACUUUAUACAUGCCUUGCUGAUUCUUUUCUCUUUUUCCAAACGAUUCAUUCCGCCACUAGGCCGCCCCGUGGGUGCUUCAGCCUGAAAUCAUUCUUUCAUAAGACACAGGAAGAAGGAAAAAAAGAAUAAAUCAGACUGAGUCUCAUUGCCGGAAACAAGCCAUUGAUUGGCUGCAAGUAGAUUUAGAAGAUCAAGCAUAAAGCAUAUGGCUCGCCUCAGAGAUAGAAAGCUAGGGAUUCCUUCCAAAAUCUUGAGUCGACCUGGGUCCUCCGUUUUAGAGUCCUACUUCUGUUAAUUACGGAUGGUCCUACGGAUAAAUCACCUGGACCUUUCUUUGGCCCAUAUGGAUGGUCCUACGGAUAAAUCACCUGGACCUUUCUUUGGCACUCCGGACCUGUCUUAUGGCACCGCUACGUGGGCUUUCUUUGAUCAUGACUCAUCAAAUUUCAUUGAUCCUAACUAUUCCUUGCUCCUCCGGAGGGAUCAUGACUCUGAUUUUUAGUGGAAUAGCUCCUAACUCCGGCGCAUAUUGCGAAGGCGCGAAGAAGAAAAAGAAGGUGCGGGUGCAGAUAGGCUCGGCUUUCUAUUAAGGAGUGCAACUAUUCAUCAUAUUUUCUCGCAGACGUUAGGCUCAAUUCAAUUUGAGGCCUAGGCAGAAUCAAUUUCAUAUGUGUUUUUCUCAAUAUUCUUUGAGCCUCCCCCACUCCUAUUCAGUCGUUCCGCUUCGCGCCAUACUAAUGUUUUGGAUAGUCUUCGUCAUCAUCAACACCUCUUGAGUCGUCUGAACUUAUUCUAUAUAAACCAAUUAAGCUUCGCUUCUUCUCAAAUUCAAAGAGCCUUGCCUCCGUCCUUUUGACUCGUUCAUUCCUUGUUGUAGGUCUUUUGAUAGUCUUCUUUAAUGGAAAGAAAAAGACUACUCCGUAGGAGCGGUCCGGAGGACAUUCCUUGUACUUAAAACCUUGCCGUAGGUCCCUCUUUCUUUCUCAUCGACUUCCACAACAACUACUGAAAGAGCUACUUCAGCUUCAACUGCUACAAAAAGAACUUUUCUGUCAGCAAUCAAUAAACAAAACAAGGCUCUUCUCAAUUAAUCUUCGCCUUUCUUCUUCAACAGAUAAUUCUCUUUCUAAUUCAAUACCUAUAUAUAGAAUACUUGGGGCGAAGGAAGAGCCACUAGGUGGUGGUAGGCCCACUACUGGGAUUGGUUAGACUCGACCAAUAAGGAGAGGCGAAAGGAGAGGGAUGAAAUAGCUCGACUGAAAGGAGAGGGAGCCUCAUCCCUUUCAUCAGUGGCUGCUGCCUGAGGCAGUAGCUUUGAUUGUUCCGGUUGAGAAUAUUAUGUAGAUAAGAGUAUAUUCACUCAUAUUCCCAUUAGUAGGAGAAAUGCAGGUUUAGAAUAUUUGACUCGGCUAGGCUUUCGACUUCUUAGUGGAAUUCAUGAUCCGACCUAUCUUUCUUUGAUACAUUCUUAUAUGAGUCCGACUAUCCACUAGGGAAUGGUAAGAGGAGUGAGGCAAGAUUUUUCUUGUAGUAUAUCCGCUACAUGGAAUAGAGUUGACCGAAGAAGGGGUCCCACUUGGAGAUUCAGUCGAACUACCAUACCUUGCGCGGUUCGAGUGGUCCGACGUCUUCUUUUAUUUCAGACUGAUCUUCCUUCCCCCUUUAGAGCUGGGGCAAGAAGGAUGCAUUCAGGAUUUCACGAAGUAUGUGUCCAGAUAGCCCAAAGUCUCGAUAGUUAGCUCUCGGUCUUCCGCUUAAAAAAGAAGGUCGAUGAUUGCUAACGUAGAAAGGUGGGGAUUUUUCCAUGAAUUUCCCAUUUCUCACUCUGGAACUUUGCUUCUUUCUUUUUUGAAGGAUCGAGGUGCAAUGAAAUAUGCGAAUAAUAUUUAACAAGGUGAGGCGGAAGGAUCAAUGAAAUAUGAUUGAUGGCUCAGUUGUUCACUUUGCAUAAAACCCCAAUUUCAUUUAGGUAGUCACUCCAUUUCCUUCUUGUCCCCUGAGCCUAUACCCUCUCCCUAAAGAGAAGAACCUACUAUUUGCAAGAUUAAGGAAGGAUGCCUUCUACGUGGGCCGCCUUCUUCGGACGUCGAUCAAUCUAUCACAGGCCGCUCUCUCAUUGUCUGAUUUUUUGUUGUCUGAUCACACUCAAAAUGAUGUAUCUACUUAUCGUAUUUUUGCCCCUGCUCGGUAGUGGAGUAGCAGGUUUUUUCGGACGUUUUCUAGGAUCUGAAGGAACCGCUAUAAUCACCACUACGUGCGUUUCAUUCUCUUCUCUCUUCUCUUUUCUUGCUUUUUAUGAAGUCGCACUGGGAGCUAGUGCUUGCUAUCUAAGAAUUGCUCCAUGGAUCUCAUCGGAAAUGUUUGAUGCUUCUUGGGGCUUCUUUGGCGACCGUGAAGUCACCGGAUGAAUUGCCGAGUAGAUAGAUCACAGAUCCGGACGCGGCUCUUGCGUAGCGGCGAUACGGACUCGACCCGCUCCUACCCACCCCGGGGCACCAUAGCAUGUCGGGAAUAAGGGGGGACAUACUAGACGUAAGCACUCCUGGGGGCUGUGCCGCCCUGCCUUUCGAUCGAUACACAGUUGAGUAGGCCGAUCACGAACGCUAGAGGUGUGGGAGCGAUCCAGGUCAGGGAAGGCUAAGACGGCGCCUCGCAUAUGGGUAGCAAGAGGGCGCUUAUGCCCCGACGGUGGGGCCUUAUGGGGAAGGGCCCAGCCCAAUAGGGACAGCACACCCCCCACUGAAAGCGCACCUCUGUAUCGACUUCUCUUUCAGUCUAGUCGGUGGAACCGGUGAACCACGCGAGCAGGUUACAUGC